rnacentral:lncRNA from 1 species
UUUUUUUUUUUUUGCCCGGACGCACUUCCUUGCGUGCGAAGAUGUAGCUGGUGGGUCCCAGCAGUCAGGGGAAACUUUUUUCGCGAAAUACAGUGGCCCAUCCAGUGGGUCCCAGCUGUCAUGUGGAGGAAUCAUUAUUUUCCGCGUAAUAAGGAGGCACUUCCUUGCUGCGGCCGUGGACCCAGCUGUCAGCGUCUCCACGUACAGUCCACGUCCGAUGAAAGUCGUUCCUUGACCACGUUGACCAUGCCGCGCCGAGGGCACCAGGGCGGUGGACGACGGCGAGGCCUAGGAAGGGGACGAUGGGGAGCCGGGGAAUACGCGGCAGUGGAAGCCCGCGAGGAGAGGAGUACGAGGGUUCACUGGUUCGGCUGCGGUGUGAGGCUGCCGUCACUGCAGGGCCUGGCCAGCGGUGAGGCCUCCACGGCAGCACAGCCGGCCACGGGAGGCAGGAGCAUGCAGCACGACCGGCGCUGCUUUGGGCGGCUGGAGCAAGAAGACCAGAGGUUGAAGAAGCACUACGGCCGUUGGAUGGACAUCGUACGGUCACUGGAGCUAGAAUCGUUCAUAUUGACUAAAGUUGACAAAGGCCCCCGUCCCAGUCAACUUAGUAGGCCCACAAGUCAGCCUGCCACUAUACUGGGUCCCAGCUAACAGGGGGAGUAUUCAUUUUUCUUGUGCGUAAUAAGGAGGCACUUCCUUGCGUGCGAAGAUAUAGCUGGUGGGUCCGAGCUGUCAGCGGUGGUAACGUUUUUUUUUGCGAAAUACAGAGGCCCUUUCAGUGGGUCCCUGAUGUCAGGUGGAGGAAUCAUUAUUUUGCGCGUAAUAAGGAGGCAUUUCCUUGCGUGCGGCCGUGGACCCAGCUGUCAGCCUCUCCACGUACAGUCCACUUCAGAUGCAUGUCGGUCGUUGACCACGUUGACCAGGCCGCGCCGAGAGCACCAGGGCAGUGGAUGACGGCGAGGCCUAGGAAGGGAACGACACGGAGGCAGGGAAGACUCGGCAGUUGUUUCCCACGUGGAGGGGAGUACGACUGUACGAGGGUUUACUGGUUCGUCUGCUGUCGCCGGAGAAUAACAGCAGGUGUGGGUGAGUAGAGGGAUGGCUAGGCCAGCGAUGGGAGUACGGUGGGGCGGUGAGGCCUACGCGGCAGCACAGCCGGCUGCGGGGAGAAGGGAGCAGGCAGUCCCGCCGGCGCUUGUUUGAGCGGCUGGAGCAGGAAGAGCAGAGGUUGAAGAAGCACGACGGCCGUUCGAUGGACAUCAAACAGUCACUGCUUGUGCGCCAACCUUUUUUUAGGAAAGCCUCAAAUCUGUGGAAAACAGCAUACAACCCAUCUGCCAUUAUUUCUAAUAAUUUACAGCCCAUUUGCUAAUUCUUAAGGUUUUUUUUGGGGCCCAUAUUCUUUUUGUUAGCAUUACAGCCCAUAUUGUGGCCAUGAUUAAAAAAUUAUACGAAAUUUUGCAUAUUUCGGUGCGGUCCGAACUGUUUUUAAUCCUGAAAUUUCGACUCACAUUCAAACUGAUUUUAAAAAUAAAUGUAUAUCAAUAUAAAAUCCAACAAAUUCUCCACGCAUAAAAAUUAAUGUAAUUUAAAAUCUCGAAAUGAAAAAAAGAUAUUUGAAACUAAUUGCCGGUUUGAUGUGUUUUAAAAAUGUACAGCCCAUUUCUCAUUACUGAUAGGCCAUUUUCUCGGCCAGCCGAAUGAAGCUCUCCUCUUCUUGAAAGAUUUGUAGCCCAACAGGCCUGACAAAGCGACUUACUUGGCAAAUCACGAAAAAACUGGGAUGUGGCCGUGGACCCAGCUGUCACCCUCUCCACGUAUAGUUCUCUUCCGAUGGAAGUCGGUCGUUGACCACAUUGACCACGCCGCACCGAGAGCACCAAGGCGGUGGACGACGGCGAGGCCUUGGAAGGGGACGACGCGGAGCCGGGGAAGACGCGGCAGUGGAUGCCCAUGCGGAGAGGAGUACGAGGGUUCACUGGUUCGGCUGCGGCAUGAGGCUGCCGUCGUCGCAGAAUAACAGGGGGUGUGGGUGAGUAGAGGGAUACCCUGGGCCAGCGGUGGGAGUAGUAGGGGCGGUGAGGCCUCCGCGGCAUCACAGCCGGCCAAGAGAGGCAGGAGCACGCGGCCCGACGGGCACUGCUUUGGGUGGCUGGAGCAAGAAGACCAGAGGUUGAAGAAGCACUAUGGCCGUUGGACGGACAUCGUACGGUCACUGGAGCUAGAAUCGUUCAUAUUGACUAAGUUGACAAAGCCCUCCGUCCUCAUCAACUUAGUAGGCCCACAAGUCGGCCACCCACUAUGGUGGGUCCCAGCUAGCAGGGGGUAUUCAUUUUUUGGUGCGUAAUAAGGAGGCACUUCCUUGCGUGCGAAGAUAUAGCUGGUGGGUCCGACCUGUCAGCGGGGGGGACGUUUUUUUCGCGAAAUACAGAAGCCCUUCCCACGUACAGUGCACGUACAGUGCGUAAUAAGGAGGAACUUUCCUUGCAUGCGACCAUGGACCUCGUGGGUCCCAAGCGUCAGGCUCUCCACGUACAGUCCUCUUCCGAUGACUCUCGUAUGUUGACCACGCCGCGCCGAGCGCACCGAGGCGGUGGACGACGGCGAGGCCCCAGACUGGAACGACCCGGAGAUGGGGAAGACAUGGCAGUGGAGUCGCAGACGGAGAGGAGUGGGAAACUUGACUGGUUCGGGUGCGGGGUGGGCCUACACUCGGCAGAGAAUAACAGGAGGUGUGGAGUGGAGGGAUGGCCUGGCCGUCGGCGGGGUAGCGUUUCGCUGAGGAGCGCAAAACAACGCCGCUGGACGCCGAAGGCUGGAGCAGACGGUUCCGGCAGUGCUGGGGGAAGAAGACGAGAGAUUGAAGAAGAAUGCCGGCCGUUGGAUGUAAAUCCAACGCCUUCUUAGGCUUCGACCUACUGGCCCACAUGUCAGCCAGUCCAUUUGUUUUUUAGUCCAUUUGGUGGGUUGGUGAAACAAUGAUGUAGCAUCGAUGCAGCCCGUUUAAAUCCCAUUUGUAUUUUCUCAAAAUCCGCGGACUUGCUGGGCUGGGUGAAAAUAUCAUGUUGGGCUAGACGGAGAAAUGUUAUAAAAACAUAAACACAUGAUUGCACGUCAGUAAAAUCUUUGCAAGCUUAUGUACGCAAUCACUAGGAGUUAACUUGCCAAGUUAUAUAUAAACAAUUAUUAUUAUUAUUUUGUAAGAACUUUCAACUUAUGAAAUAAAAUAUCAUUUAAUUUUUUUUAGGCUAGACGUGGGACAGUUGAGUUGGUUCUAGGGGAAAGUACUGGGAGAAAACUUAGUUUACAUCGAAAAAGAAAGUGGGAGAAAAUUCAGAGACCUGCUGGGUCCACCUGAGAAGGGGAAUAUGUUGGGAGGAAGGAGAUUCAAAGCACGGCAGCCGACUGAACUAGUUUUAUUUUUACGGACAAGUGAACUAGUUUACAUACAUAAGCAAAUAGCCACUAAAAAAAGCAAUCAGGUUAAUGGGUUCUUAAAAGAAAUAUUUCGGACAAAGCAGAUAAUUACGACACAUAGGCUAAUGCAUGAAACACUCAGAUGAUAAAGGUGCUUAUAAACAGAUAAAGUACAACAUCUAGACCUUCCUGGCACGCUUGAUCAUGACGAUGCGGCUGUCCGUGUACUCGUCGGUUACGGGAAGCAGACACACCCUCAUGUCCAGGAUCUGCCUGUACAUGUCGUAGCAUGCGUAUGCGUCCUUGGCCGCGUAGGUUAUGUAGGCUAGAUUCAGAGGUACCUCCCACGUGUUCUGGUCGUCUUCUUUCAUGUUGGCAUGUCAGGGGUCGAUGAUGGUCUCAGCGAGGUCAACCACGGAGUCCUUCUCCUGCCCAUUGCUGAUGAUCUUGUAUUGCUUCUGGAUGUCGACAAGCUUGUUGCACCAGAUGGCCGAAUCGUCGCGUUCUUCCUUCUCUCCACCAUAGCGAAGGUGCAGUCGGCGCUGCCGAUGAAACGGGCGAAUGCUCCAAAACCUGGUGCAGCCAUAGGACUGAGGCGAGGCAGAGCUUCACCGAGUCCGUAUCGUUGGUGUACAUCACAUUCAACUUGGUGCAGCCAUAGGACUGAACGGCGAACUCAAAGAGGAACUCCUUGCUGAAGUCCAUAUCCAGCAGGCUCACCCCUCGGAUCGCCAUUGGAGUCUCUUCGAGUGAACGAGUGUGUAGGCGGCGGCAACAGUUCAUUUUUCAGCUCUUGGGGAACUGGAUUCAACAGUAAGCUGAGUGUGUACAGGCGACAACAGUUACUACCCCUCCCUCAUCCGCUGCACGCCCGACAAAAGAUGCACCCUCGGCCACACGUCGGUUCACGAGCGGGUCUGUAUUGGUACUGUAAUAACAGGAGUUAGUGGUCACUUUACUUAAAUUUAAUUAGCUUUAAUAGAAAUUUAUACUUAAAACAAGCAAUGCAUUCGCUCGUUCUAUUAGUGCCACAGGAUCAACAUGCACAACAAUUAGAAUUAUUAUUCUCAGGACGCUCACGAUCAGCACAUUUUUCGCACUUUCACAAAGAUAAUACUACCAAGUUUGAACUGUUUGUUAUGGUUGUUGUCCUCUGCAUCAUCAUGCCGUGUUUCCCAGCUUGCAAGAUUCAGAACCAACAAAUAAGAUCCAAAUAAUAAGUACAACAAAGAUGCCUACACAUCUCAUUGAUUCCCAGCUUGCAAGAUUCAGAACCAACAAAUAAGAUCCAAAUAAUAAGUACAACAAAGAUGCCUACACAUCUCAUUGAUUCCCAGCUUGCAAGAUUCAGAACCAACAAAUAAGAUUCAAAUAAUAAGUACAACAAAGAUGCCUACACAUCUCACUGAUUCCCAGCUUGCAAGAUUCAGAACCAACCCAUUAGAGCCUUUUGAUAAAGUGAAUAUCGGGAUUAAGUCCAUCUUGGCUAGCCAUGUCAUACAAUCGAAGAACUUGGCGAAUGCUCUUGACCGUCACAACAUCUGUAGUUGAGUAUUCCUGUUUGCAUAGCACAGAUAAUAAAGAGCAUGAUUACUAUAAUACUGGCACUAAUGGAAGUCAACCUGCAGCUCCACUCGAUGAUUCAAUUCAUGCCACUUUUUCUGCAGUUCGCCUGAAAUGAAGCAAAUAUUGCAUCAUUCAGCUACGGCUCAUCUUGCAAAGGCUAAUAAAAUGUUGCACGAGAUUACCAGCAGAAUUUGACGGAGAUUUUGGAAACUCCAAUCACCAUUUUGUGCAGUUCCACCAAAAUUGGGAGAUGUUGCCCAUGUAACAUUUUAGUUGAACUGCACAAGACACUCAUUCCAAAAAAGUGUUUUGUGCAGUUCACCAAAAGGUCACAAUAGCAACAAGGUGAAAUGGAUAUCCCUAUCUACACAAAAAGAUAGAAAGUAAAUAGUUGCUGGUCAAUAAGAAUAUACGAAACAUAUACAAAAUGAAAAGAAGCAUCUUAAUUAUGUUCAUGGCAAUCACGCAAGGACAGUAGAAAUUUUAAAACGUCAGCAAUGCUUCAUGUUACCAGAAGCAUUACGAUCAAGAAUGAGAUUCCUCAAAUAUGGGAUUACUUUAAUGGUGGCAUUGCUUGUUUACCAGACACAGUAAAUCAACAGCAGCUAAAGAGUUGGUUUAAGGGCAUGGGACCGUGGGGACACAAGGACACUCAGCAGCGUAAAGGAGCAACUUACUUAUCAUACUGGGGAAAACAGCAGGAGUGCCAUUUGUAACAUAGUUUAAUUGCAUCUUAUCACUGGAGGCAUUAGAUUAACAAUAACACUGGUUAGACAUGUCCCUAAGGUAACAGUGUGAUCACUUCAUUUUACAUGCGCCCUUACAUUAACAACAGCAAAAGGUUGGUAUAAGGACAUGCGACAGUGGACGCAUCAGCACAAUGUACCUACAAGGAGGCAUAAAGUGGUGAUGCCGAGUUUGUUCAUGCUAUGUGAGGGCAGCAAACCUAAUCCUGGAGACCUUUUACUAUGUGAGGGCAGCAAAUCUAAUCCUGGAGACCUUUUACUAUGUGAGGGCAGCAAAUCUAAUCCUGGAGACCUUUUACUAUGUGAGGGCAGCAAAUCUAAUCCUGGAGACCUUUUACUAUGUGAGGGCAGCAAAUCUAAUCCUGAGACCUUUUACUAUGUGAGGGCAGCAAAUCUAAUCCUGAGACCUNNNNNNNNNNNNNNNNNNNNNNNNNNNNNNNNNNNNNNNNNNNNNNNNACUAUGUGAGGGCAGCAAAUCUAAUCCUGGAGACCUUUUACUAUGUGAUGGCAGCAAAUCUAAUCCUAGACAUACUCUGUUGACUUGUCCACCAGGCGCCACUUUCUAUCCUUUUUUCAACCAAUAAUAGAUCUGUUCCUUAUCCAGUUUGUACGGCGUUUUCCCAUUAUUUCCCUUUUCAACCAAGAGACCGGUUGGGUAUCCAGUCUCUACUACUUUCACCAUAUUAUUUCCUCUUUGAAUCAAGUACUAGAUUCAUGCUACAACUUUCCCCCUUUCUUCGUUGUUUGAACAAAGCCCUAGAUUCGAAUGCAUGAAGUAGAUUUACCUCUAAUAAUACUAAAAAUUUAGGUGGCUUUGGAAGAGCUGAUGGGAGUAGAAAAAGAUGCACAUGCAGACACGUGGGGAGCUGGGGCAGGUCGGAUCUACGGACAAUACGGCAGGGAGGAAGAAGGGUCGGAGGACCUCCCGAGCCGGCGCUGUGUCAGAGAGAACGGCACGGGCAGAGGAUCGGGCCCCUCCGGCAGCUGUGGGUUUCCUCCCUCGGCGGCGAUGACCGCGUGAAUGAUGCACCUUUUAGUCCUCUACACACACCGGCUGAAGGGAUCCGGCCGAAUCUGUGACCAGCGGUGAGCAGAGAGAAAAUGUCGCUACCGAUGUCUUGUUUAUAUCUAGAGAGGAUGAGAGAAUGAAGAGAGCAACCCUAGUAAAGCAAGCGCUCAGGCCCCUGCGUCCAUAUAUAGUGGAGUGAUUAUCUUUUUUCUCUCCACAACAAGCGUUUCAAUUUGUGUACGUGGCAUUAAAGAAAAGAAACUCUCUAUUUAAGAUGACUACUGUACGACUCCUACUUACUACUAGUAGUACUACAGUAUUGUUCACUUGUGCUCCCCACCCCUCCAUUCAUUGAACAACCCCACGGGUGAAUAAACAUACAGUAAGUACUGUAUUUAUAUAGAACGAACAAGCUCGAACUAUUUUCACGUAGUUAAAAGUUGAGGGCGGGGCUUUUCCCGGGCAGUACGCGCGGCAGUUUUCGGGUAGGCGGUUUGACAGAGAGGCGAGGAGGGUGAGCGAGUGGGGCUGUGCGAUUUGAUGGCGCAUUACUGCUGGAAAGACUUGUGAUAUGACCACUCACUAUAGUCAUGAAUUACUGGCGCUCCGACCGGGGUGAUGCCCCCCUUCCGUUCCGCGCUCUAAUCUGGUGCAUGACACGUCGACCAGGAUGCCGGCUCUCCCACAUGUCGGAGUAGUAAGAAGGAGCAAAGAAUGAUGCGGUAUAUACUAGUACUAUACUAGAGUACUACUCAGGUUGGAGGAAUGCGAACCACGGCAGCCCAGUGAACCAGCAGUGCGAACCACGGUAGCCUAGUGAACCAACAGUAGAAAACAAUGUGGUGAUAUGGCCAUAAAAAACAAUGUGCUACGGUCCACACUGUAGCAUGUACAGUAACACUCCUCUUUGUUUGGAUCCCUGAGUUAGAGCUAGUUUGGGUUGAAAUAGCCUCAAAUUAUCGAAACAAGAGGGGUUAGUUUGAGCUAGUUUGCUCUAACCCAGCUAAAAAAACUAGCCCGGUGGAGAGGUUAAUUGGGUUAGUUAUCCUCGGGCCCACUAAAAGAGAACUAAAUCAAUCUCCCCUGCCCGCACCAGAUCGCUCCCCCCCUCUCGCACGACUCCUCUCUGUUCCCCAUAGGGCCGCUCGCCCUCUCUCUCCUCUGGCCGCCCUCUCCUUCCGGCCUCCGCCGCCCUACUCCGGCUGCCCUCUCCCUCCGGCCUUCGAAGGUCGCCCCGCUCCCCCUUCACCAGUCAUUUUUCUCCCUCUGUCGUGCGCGGCGGCGGCGCAUCUACCAGGGAGGUCGCGAGAGGGGUGAGUUUGUUCGUUCCUUCUCUGUCUCACGGCCAUAUCAUUGAUCUUGCUUGCUCUAGCGCUAAUUCUGAUUUGGAAAAGUAGAUCCUGAUCAAACUUGGUAUAGAUUUGUGGUGCACGCAUGGAAUUGUUUGAUGCUGCUUGAGGAGGUAAUAAAUCUUUCUAGAGGCCCAAAGAUUCAGGUCACCUUUCUAGGUAUUUCAAUUUCAGGCUUGCAUUAUUUCUAGAGGCCCAAAGAUUCAGUUCACCUUUCUAGGUAUUUCAAUUUCAGGCUUGCAUUAUUUCUAGAGGCCCAAAGAUUCAGUUCACCUUUCUAGGUAUUUCAGUUUCAGGCUUGCAUUAUUUCUAGAGGCCCAAAGAUUCAGUUCACCUUUCUAGGUAUUUCACUUUCAGGCUUCAUUAUUUCUAGAGGCCCAAAGAUUCAAUUCACCUUUCUAGGUAUUUCAGUUUCAGGCUUGCAUUAUUUCUAGAGGCCCAAAGAUUCAGUUCACCUUUCUAGGUAUUUUAGUUACAGGCUUGCAUUAUUUCUAGAGGCCCAAAGAUUAAGUUCCCAGUCGGCGGCAAGCGGCCCUGCUACCCAUGCCGGUGUUGACCUCAACUCGCAAGGGCCGGCGUCGGAGGGGUUCCCGGAGCUUGGGCUCUACAGAGCCUUCCUCCAGAGCGACGAUGGCGAGCUCCUCCCUCGGUGCGUGAGGGGCUCCGGGCUCCCUCCCUAUCGUGAAUGACUUCCGUGAUGAGUUAGCUCAUUCUUUGUUUCAUGAAGUGUUUUUUUAUUUUGUGAAGCUUGAUUGACGACUUGUAUGUUUAAGUGGGAUAUCUCAUUUGUAUGGACAACGUAAAAAUUAUCAUGUUUUGCAUGCUUGAUUUGUAUAGAUGGUUCGUUUAUGUCAAUUGUGAGCGGGAGGAGGCCACAGAAGAGCCGGCCACACCAAGAGGGUGCUUGGAUCCAAGGGACUUAUUUUAGUCUGACUAAAAAUAGUCUCUUUAAAAGGCUAAAGUUCCAAGCAUGUAACGCCCACGAUGCGGCUAUAUCUCCCACGUGUCGAGGCACGGCUAGGAGGCAUAACCGCGUGGUAGUUUUGUCACAAGAAGGGUCAUCUUCACACAAUCCCAUGUAAUGAACAAGAAAGGGAUAAAGAGUUGGCUUACAGUGACCUCUUCACACAAUACAUAAAUUAAACAUACAUCAUUCAGAGUACAAUCAAGGUCCGACUACGGAACCAAAAUGAAAGAAGACAACCCCAAAUGCUAGAUCCCCGAUCGUCCCAACUGGGCUCCACUACUGAUCAUCAGGAAAAGAAACAUAGUAACGACCAAGGUCCUCGUCGAACUCCCACUUGAGUUCGGUAGCAUCACCUGCACUGGUAUCGUCGGCACCUGCAACUGCUUUGGUAGAAUCUGUGAGUCACGAGGACUCAGCAAUCUCACACCCGCGAGAUCAAGACUAUUUAAGCUUAUGGGUAGGAAAGGGGUAAUGAGGUGGAGCUGCAGCAAGCACUAGCAUGUAUGGUGGCUAACAUACGCAAAUAAGAGCGAGAAGAGAAGCAACGCAACAAUAGUGAAGCUAGAAGUGAUCAAGAAGUGAUCCUGAAACUACUUACGUUCAUACAUAACCCAAACCGUGUUCACUUCCCGGGCUCCGCCGAAAAGAGACCAUCACGGCUACACACGCGGUUGAUGUAUUUUAAUUAAGUCAAGUGUCAAGUUCUCUACAACCAGACAUUAACAAAUUCCCAUCCGCCACAUAACCGCGGGCACGGCUUUCGAAAGAUAAUACCCUGCAGGGGUGUCCCAACUUAGCCCAUUAUAAGCUCUCACGGUCAAUGAAGGAUAUUCCUUCUCCCAGGAAGACCCGACCAGUCUCAGAAUCCCGGUUUACAAGACACUUCAACAAUGGUAAAACAAGACCAGCAAGACCACCCGCUGUGCCGACAAAUCCCGAUAGGAGCUGCACAUAUCUCGUUCUCAGGACACACCGGAUGAGCCAGACGUUGGGUUGGCAUAGACCCUGGUUGCCCAGGGGGCGCCAGACAUCGCUGGUUUGGACCAGCACUCGAAGGAGCACUGGCCCGGGGGUUUAAAUAAAGAUGACCCUUGAGUCUGCAGAACCCAAGGGAAAAAAGGCUUAGGUGGAAAAUGUUAAAACCAAGGUUGGGCCUUGCUGGAGGAGUUUUAUUCAAAGCAAACUGUCAAGGGGGUCCCAUAAAUCACCCAACCGCGUAAGGAACGCAAAAUCAAGGAACAUAACACCGGUAUGACGGAAACUAGGGAGGCAAGAGUGGAACAAAACACCAGGCAUAAGGCCGAGCCUUCCACCCCUUACCAAGUAUAUAGAUGCAUUAAUUAAAUAAGAGAUAUUGUGAUAUCCCAACAUAUCCAUGUUCCAACAUGGAACAAACUUCAUCUUCACCUGCAACUAGCAACGCUAUAAGAAGAGCUGAGCAAAAGCGGUAACUUAGCCAAACAACGGUUUGCUAGGAAAGGUGGGUUAGAGGCUUGACAUGGCAAUAUGGGAGGCAUGAUAUAGCAAGUGGUAGGUAGCGCGGCAUAGCAAUAGAACGAACAACUAGCAAGCAAAGAUAGAAGUGAUAUCGAGGGUAUGGUCAUCUUGCCUAAAAUCCCGCAAGGAAGAAGAACGAGUCCAUGAAGAAGACAAACGGACGUAGUCGAACGAAUCCUCACAAACGCAACGUUACUGUGACGCCCGGAUAAUUAAGCUACAGUAAUCCCACGCUAAUGAUGCCACGUCACCACGGUUACUGUUGUUAACCUCCCGAUUAUUCGAAACCGUUUCAAAAUUUAAAUUCAAAUUAAUGUCAAUAAUAAAAGUUUUCAAAAAUUUAAACAAAAAUGUUCGGUGGGUGCCAAAUAUUGCACUCAUAAUUAUUGUGGAGAAAACAUAUUUUUAGAAAAUGCCUAAAUGCAUUAAAAUGAAAUAAAACAGAAAAGAGAUAAAAGAAAAUAAAAUAAAAAGUAACAAACAAACAAAAAAAGAGCAAACCCCUUCCUGGACCUAACCCCCCCUCUCACUGGGCCAGAUGGCCCAGCUGGCCGGCUCAUCUGGGCGGCCCAACCCAGCAGCCCACCUUUCCCCCGGUCGCCUCCCUCCUCCCUGUUCCCCCGACCCAGCGACCGCGCUCGCCGGUCGCCACCGAACCCUGUCGUCGUCCCCGUCGGAGAGGGGAUAAGGGCGACAUCCCCUCGACGCCUCGAGCCCUCCCCUCCACUCACCCGCUCUCCCUCUCGGCCCCUGCGCCUUUCCCCCCCUCAGCUCCACCUCGUUCCCCACCGCAACCGAGCGCCGCCGUCGCCAUGGCUGCGCCAUAGCCGCGGCCACCGAGCCCCGUUCUCCCCGACGUGUCCACGAGCUCCGCCGCGUCGAGCACGUCCUCCUCGACCACGGGCCCGAGCCCCGGGAACCCUGCAUCGACCCCGCGCCAUCUUCUUCCUCGUCGGAUCCCCGCCGUCGUUCGCCGUCGGUUCCGACUGCACCACGCCUUCCCCGCGCCCGCUCUAAACGGCUACGCCCCGCUGUGAGCUCUUGCUCCUCCUCCCCCUCUCCAUUAGCUCGCUAGCUUGCCGUAGCCACCGCGCCGCAUUAGGCCGCACCCUCCGCCGCCUGGCCUCGUCGCCGGCGUGGCCACGGCGACCUUUUGGUCCCGUUCGUGCCACCGUUGCCUUGGCCGCAUCAUGUAGGCCUCGCCCCGCUCUUCGGUUUGCCCCAGUUCGCACCGUAGCCCCGCCUCUGUCGCACGCCUGAACCACCCCUCCGCCGGCGAGCACCUGGCGCUCCGCUCCGACCUCCCCAGCACCCCGCACCGCCACCGUUCGACGCGCGGCGUCGAGCCGCGUCGAACGCAAGCAACCGCGGCCCCUGGGACNNNNNNNNNNNNNNNNNNNNNNNNNNNNNNNNNNNNNNNNNNNNNNNNNNNNNNNNNNNNNNNNNNNNNNNNNNNNNNNNNNNNNNNNNNNNNNNNNNNNNNNNNNNNNNNNNNNNNNNNNNNNNNNNNNNNNNNNNNNNNNNNNNNNNNNNNNNNNNNNNNNNNNNNNNNNNNNNNNNNNNNNNNNNNNNNNNNNNNNNNNNNNNNNNNNNNNNNNNNNNNNNNNNNNAACUGCUGACUGGGCAGCCCAGUGUCACUGUCAUGCGGGCCCCGCCGCGUAAGUAAACUAAAUAAAAUGUUUUUAUAAAUAAAACUAAUUAAUUAAUCUAAAUAGGCACUGACAGGUGGGGCCUACCUGCUAAUAACCUUGUUUAAGUUAGUUAUAAAACUCUGUUAGUGCCCUGUCGAUGACAUGUGGGUCCCACUGGACCCACCUGUCUGGUUUGACUGGUCAGCCGACCUGUUGACCUGCUGACGUCAGCGUUACCUCAUGCUGACAUCAUAAUUCAUUUUUGCUAAAAUCAAAUAAUUCCAGAAAUUCAAAUAAUCUUUCAAAAUGCAUAUCUUUUAAACCGUAACUCGGAUGAAAAUGUUUUCUACAUGAAAGUUGCUCAGAACGACGAGACGAAUCCGGAUACGCAGCCCGUUCGUCCGCCACACCUCCCUAACCUAUCGAACUCGCAACUUCCCCCCCUCCGGUACCUCUGUCCAAAAAUGCGAAACACCGGGAAUACCUUCCCGGAUGUUUCCCCCCUUCACCGGUAUCACCUCAUACCGCGUUAGAACACGUCUAGCUCUGCCUGUUGUCCUGUUAUGCACUUCCUUGCUAUGUAUUUACUGUUUCUCCCCCCUCUUCUCUUCGGUAGACCCCGUGACGAUGCUGAUGCCCCUGUGGUCGACUACGUCACCGACGACCCCUCCUUCUUUUCUGAGAAACCAGGCAAGCCCCCCCCCCCUUGAUCACCAGAUAUCACCUAUUCUCCUCUAUACUGCUUGCAUUAGAGUAGUGUAGCAUGUUACUGCUUUCCGUUAAUNNNNNNNNNNNNNNNNNNNNNNNNNNNNNNNNNNNNNNNNNNNNNNNNNNNNNNNNNNNNNCCCCCCCCCCUUGAUCACCAGAUAUCGCCUAUUCUCCUCUAUACUGCUUGCAUUAGAGUAGUGUAGCAUGUUACUGCUUUCCGUUAAUCCUAUACUGAUGCAUAGCCUAUCCUUGCUACUACUGUUGUUACCUUUACCUGCAAUCCUACAUGCUUAGUAUAGGAUGCUAGUUUUCCAUCAGUGGCCCUACAUUCUUGUCCGUCUGCUGUGCUAUACUAUCGGGCCGUGAUCACCUGGGCGGUGAUCACGGGUAUAUACUUAUAUACUAUAUAUAUGACACAUGUGAUGACUACAGUCGGGUUGGCUCGUAGGAGUACCCGCAAGUGGAUCUUUGUGGCGGAGCGACAGGGCAGGUUGAGACCACCUAGGCGAGAGGUGGGCCUGGCCCUGGACGGCGUCCACGGUUACUUCGACAUAACACGCAUAACGAGUUCUUGGUAUUUGAUCUGAGUCUGGCCAUUUGGUCUAUACGCACUAACCAUCUACGCGGGAGUAGUUAUGGGUAUCCCGGCGUCGUGGUAUCAGCCGAAGCCUUCGUGACGUCAGCGACUGAGUGGCGCGCGCCGGAUUGGACUGGAACGCCACUAGGCUAGGUCUGCUUCCGGCCGCGUACGCAACGUGCAGGUGUGCAUAGGGCGAUGGGCCCAGACCCCUGCGCGCAUAGGAUUAGACCGGCGUGCUGACCUCUCUGUUGUGCUUAGGUGGGGCCGCGACGUGUUGAUAUUCCGAGGCCGGGCAUGACCCAGGAAAGUGUGUCCGGCCGAAUGGGAUCAAGCGUGUUGGGUUAUGUGGUGCACCCCUGCAGGGAAAUUUAUCUAUUCGAAUAGCCGUGUCCCUCGGUAAAAGGACGACCCGGAGUUGUACCUUGACCUUAUGACAACUAGAACCGGAUACUGAAUAAAAUACACCCUUCCAAGUGCCAGAUACAACCCGGUGAUCGCUCUCUAACAGGGCGACGAGGAGGGGAUCGCCGGGUAGGAUUAUGCUAUGCGAUGCUACUUGGAGGACUUCAAUCUACUCUCUUCUACAUGCUGCAAGAUGGAGAUGGCCAGAAGCGUAGUCUUCGACAGGACUAGCUGUCCCCCUUUUAUUCUGGCAUUCUGUAGUUCAGUCCACUGAUAUGCCCCUUUACACAUAUACCCAUGCAUAUGUAGUGUAGCUCCUUGCUUGCGAGUACUUUGGAUGAGUACUCACGGUUGCUUCUCUCCCACUUUUCCCCUUUUCCUUUCUAUCUCGUUGUCGCAACCAGAUGCUGGAGUCCAGGAGCCAGACGCCACCGUCGACGAUGACACCUACGACACUGGAGGUGCCUACUACUACGUGCAGCCCGCUGACGACGACCAGGAGUAGUUAGGAGGAUCCCAGGCAGGAGGCCUACGCCUCGUUCGAUCUGUAUCCCAGUUUGUGCUAGCCUUCUUAAGGCAAACUUGUUUAACUUAUGUCUGUACUCAGAUAUUGUUGCUUCCGCUGACUCGUCUGUGAUCGAGCACUUGUAUUCGAGCCCUCGAGGCCCCUGGCUUGUAUUAUGAUGCUUGUAUGACUUAUUUAUGUUUUAGAGUUGUGUUGUGAUAUCUUUCCGUGAGUCCCUGAUCUUGAUCGUACACAUUUGCGUGCAUGAUUAGUGUACGGUCAAAUCGGGGGCGUCACAAGUUGGUAUCAGAGCCAACUGCCUGUAGGAAUCCCCCUUCCACACUCCUUGGCCGAAGUCGAGUCUAGACAUUUCAAAAACUUUUACUAACAUGGCUGUGUGUCUUAUGGGCCCACGUCGCCAUUGGGUGGUAUUAGGAUCUUUUACUCCUUGCCUAUACUCUGGGACUCUGAUCUCUCUUCUAUUCGGGUUAAGUGAGUUUUGCUAAAUCUAACAUUAGGAUCUUGUUAUCGCUUUCACCCGGAGAGCCCCCUAUUACUGAUGAUCGUCUGCUGCACGUGAAGACCCUGAAGAUACUCUCCGCUGAUAACCCGAGAACUUGUGUUCAUCGCUUUUGCAAUUCCCUUUCAUCGAUAAACUCCUAUGGAUAACCACGUAUACUCGCCAUUCAUACAAUGUUUCCCAGAUGAUCUUGUUAUUACAAGAUACCCCGAAAUUCUCUCUGAUGUUCCGAGAAUCCUUUGAGCUUACUACCUUGCUGUUCAUUGUCACCUGAAUACCCCUACAGAUAAUCCUCACACUUACCGAGUAUCCGCUCAUCCCCAGUUGAUUCAAGUAUUUCACAAAAGUGUUCAAAAUAUCAUUCGAUCUUCCGAAAAUCUUCAGGAGCCUGUUGCUCUUGAAAUUCUUGCUUACUAGCAUUAUGGUUAAUCCCAUAAGUCUAUAAUCUUAUUGGCAUGUUUUGUCAUUAUCAUUUUGAGUCCGUUGAUUCAAUUUGUUGCAAAUGCUCGCAAUCCUCAAUCAUAUCCUAGAAUUCAUCCUUCCGGCUCAGACGUCAUUUUAAACGUGAGCUGGAUCUCGACCUAUCAAAUUGCCAUCGAUUGUACCCCUAAGCCUACUCAACUUAUCCAUCCUUGAUCAGAGCGUUGCUUCUGACCCCCUGAUUUGGAAAUCAUAAUCCUUUUGCAUUUGAACUUUGAGUUAGUCAGUUGUUUCUAUAAUCAGAUCUCCUUGCAUUCUUCUUCCUCUGGUUGAGUACCGAUGCUCACAUCAGAUCCCUUGUGGACCAUUGGUUCCUUUGUUGGAUUUUAUCCGACAGUGUCCUUCCUAUUGAAUAACCUUGUGAGCCUUUCCAUGGGUAUAUAAUGCCUUUGGUAAAUUGUAUCCUCUGUUUUCUCAACCAUGCUCUGUUUUCGAGCUGGUGGUAUUUACUAUUGAAGCUGGUGGUAUAUGUUUCCACGAUACCCUGACGGGUUGAACCUAUGCCUUCCUUAAUAUGUGUGAACUCGGAAGUUUUCACGAGUCAUACUCAUCUGGUAUCUCACCAGGUAAAACUUUCAAUACUAAUGCCUUAACCAAAGCGAGGAGUGAAUGGAAGGUUAUACAUUGAAGAAGUGGGAGUCGACCUUGAACCUUGCGUUCAUGCCCAUGGACACGAUGUAUGACUUAUCAUGGAAGCUGCUUGUAAAAAUAAUUACCCCCCUUGUUAUAAAUUCAUCUUGUAUCCGUGGUUCGAUCAUUUAUGAUCGUGGUUUCUGACCAUGUUCUCCUUUAAAUACCAUUUCUCGUGCAAGUUUAAGCACUUGUCUUCUGCAGAGUAAUACCCCAGUCCAACCUCUACUUUGAUUUGUCGUCGAGUAUUACCCCCUAGUAUCUCAAGAUUAUCACGGAACUGCAUAACUUCUUAUGAGUUCUUCAUCAAGUGCUACAUUCUCACUGAUUCCAAUUUUUCACGGGCUUCAAGUUUUAAAACACUCAAAACCACCGAUAACUGAAUCGAGUCUGCACUGCGAUUAAACAACUCUUAGUAAUCUUCUUUACUUAUGAGUUUGUACCCGAUCACGUCAUUCCUAGCCUGAUUGGCUACAUCAUUAUCGUGCCGAUUUUAACUGUGCUACCUGGUCUUUAUUCCCGGAGCACCACUUUCGACGAUGAGCUAAGCUUACGUUGAUUUUCCUCGUCAUAUCAUUUCGCCUUGAACAGCAAGCUUGAUUUCGAGUUUGUGUCGUACCCCUGGUUCCAAUAACUUUUCGCUUCAUCGUUCCUUUGACUUGAUGUCAUCACCGAUCGAUUACCUCUUCAUAAAUUUUCGCUACAAAUGUGUCGUGAACAUCAUCAACAUUCUGAGCUCUUCCAAGAUAUCUAUCGAAUUCUGGAUGAGAAAUACCAUCCUUGCCCUCGAUGAUUUGUUUUAUCAUCGACCAUUUUAUUGCCUUCCAUUCAACACAAACUUGUUCGUGUUUUGUGUUGUACCUUGAUUUCCUUGCUAUCUAGCUUAUGAUAUGUUCUACCUUGGAGUAUUACCAUCUUUUAUGUCAAGAAUGUCGUAAGAAUUUCACCACCUCGUAUGACAUCUUGGUACAGUGAUACUUCUCCCCAUCACCAUUCUUUCUUGGUCCCCGUGUUGUUUCUAAAAGGAAUACCGACAAAUGGUCUGUGAUGUGUAAAUUCUAAACUUCUAGCAACCCUAUUGCUUUGAAGUUAUUGGUCUAUAGUUUCAUUCUACGUCUAUGGCUUAAUGAAUCGUCUUUCGAACAUUGAUUGUGCUACCUAGCCCAUAUUUCGGGUGCACAUUUCAACCAAUGUUUAAUUGUGUAUGUUUUCCUCGAGCAUACAUCAUUAAGUCAUUCGAUAUAGCUAAUGUUAUCUCCUUGUUCACAUAGUGGGGGAAAUCCAUCUUUUGGAAAUCUCAAUGGAUUGUCGCUGAGUCAAUCAGCCACCUCCUCACCUCUCCUUGGUGUAAUGAUGAACCCUUGUUCGGAACUCGCUUCCAUAGUUCAUCUCCCGAGAAUCUUCGAUGUCGUUUCGACAAUUUGUGUUGCACCUUUCUUCUCAGGCAUCCUGAGUCUGAGUUAUCCUGACACCAAUCAAAUCUGAAUCUCGGUCAGAUAUGAUGGUUGGAACAUAUUUCCAAGAGUUAUAACAUUGGCCUAUUUAUGACCCGGUAAGGUGAUGACAUGCCGAACACACCUGGCCGGAGGACCUAUUGUUAUAAGCUUUCCUUUCAGCAAGGUUAUCUAUUCUUCCAUGAGGAAAUUGUAAGACUUAUUCUAUAAGUUGUUCCUGAUGGAUCCUUUUUGUUUCCAAAUUCUAAUCUUCACCUGUUGACCAUGUCAAUGCUAUCUCAAAGCAUGUCUAUGGUACUCCGAUUUUCAACAAGAACAUUUGAAGCCCAAUACUAAAUGUUUCUUGCUCAAUUAUCCAAACACCGCUGUAUGGGUUAUUUCAUGAAAUUCCUCUCCCCUUACCUAAAUGGUUUUCUACUUUCUAUCAUGUCAUGGAUAUGAUACGCUGCUUGUCCUUGGGAAGGAUAUACCCUUGAAAUAUGUGUUUAAAACACAUUUUCCCUUCCAUUCUUCUGUUUAAUCUGAUAAUCAUAUUUUCCUUUCCAUUGUUUGGUUUAACCUUUAUGGUGAUCUAUAUGAUCUAAGCAGUAAUAUUCUCCUGCUUAUGUAAACACCUCGGUGUACAACUCUGUCAGUAAGACCCUAUUACUAUUGUUGGUGACAUUUCGGUAACCACCGAUGGACGAGAACUUUGCCUAAUGGUCCGCCUCGUUUGAACGAGCAGGAAAAUGGUUCUCUUCGUCCCUCGCCCUUGGUACCAACGCGUUGCCGACAUAACUGACAGGGUGUUCUCUGACAUGCCUUGCUAUCAUGACCGUGCAAGAUGUCACUGCUCCUAUAAAAAAACCACAUGGUGGGCCCAUAACCCACAGUUCCACAGGAUCGAAACCUGACUCUCCUGUACACCCCCGGUUUCCAAAGUUAUUCCUCGCGCUUGACUUCUUAUGUAACUCACGGGCCACCUGCCAAGUGAUCUAUUCGGGUAUCAGACGCAAUACUUAUUCUCGUUGCUCUGAACCCCUUUCACCUUCUGAUAGGCAUCGAACGCUUGCCUAUCGGUUUGAAACUGCUCAUGCUACCUUCUUACUUUGCUCUCGACAUCUUCUUAGGUUUCAAUUCGAGAGAUACUUAUGCUUCUUCCCCUGGGUUAACCGCUUGAUGCUCGAUCUUGUUAGAAUCCGUCCUUAUAGGGAAUAAGCUAUUCCAAUGAAAAGUUUUCCCUGCUCACCCUUUCGUAAGUACGGUGAAGAUCCUGUAGGAAGGACGACAAACUUCAUCAUGAUGACCUGAAGCAGAGGACUGAAGACAUCAACGUAAUGGAUCGACCUCUUCGAGAAGAGCAACUAUGACCGAGAAGAAUCGUUAGAAUUUCGUAACCAGAUCCCUUCCCCCUUAUAACUGCUCCUAAAUCUCGGGACGAGAUUUCUUGUAGUGGAGGAGAUUUGUGACGCCCGGAUAAUUAAGCUACAGUAAUCCCACGCUAAUGAUGCCACGUCACCACGUUUACUGUUGUUAACCUCGCGAUGAUUCGAAACCGUUUCAAAAUUUAAAUUCAAAUUAAUGUCAAUAAUAAAAGUUUUCAAAAAUUUAAACAAAAAUGUUCGGUGGGUGCCAAAUAUUGCACUGAUAAUUAUUGUGGAGAAAACAUAUUUUUAGAAAAUGCCUAAAUGCAUUAAAAUGAAAUAAAACAAAAAAGAGAUAAAAGAAAAUAAAAUAAAAAGAAACAAACAAACAAACAAAAAAAGAGCAAACCCCUUCCUGGACCUAACCCCCCUCCCCUCACUGGGCCAGAUGGCCCAGCUGGCCGGCUCAUCUGGGCGGCCCAACCUAGCAGCCCACCUUUCCCCCGGUCGCCUCCCUCCUCCCUGUUCCCCCGACCCAGCGACCGUGCUCGCCGGUCGCCACCGAACCCUGUCGCCGUCCCCGUCGGAGAGGGGAUAAGGGCGACAUCCCCUCGACGCCUCGAGCCCUCCCCUCCACUCACCCGCUCUCCCUCUCGGCCCCUGCGCCUCCCCCCCCUCAGCUCCACCUCGUUCCCCACCGCAACCGAGUGCCGCCAUCGCCAUGGCUGCGCCAUAACCGCGGCCACCGAGCCCCGUUCUCCUCCCCGACGUGUCCACGAGCUCCGCCGCGUCGAGCACGUCCUCCUCGACCACGGGCCCGAGCCCCGGGAACCCUGCAUCGACCCCGCGCCAUCUUCUUCCUCGUCGGAUCCCCGCCGCCGUUCGCCGUCGGUUCCGACUGCACCACGCCUUCCCCGCGCCCGCUCUAAACGGCUACGCCCCGCUGUGACCUCUUGCUCCUCCUCCCCCUCUCCAUUAGCUCGCUAGCUUGCCGUAGCCACCGCGCCGCGUUAGGCCGCACCCUCCGCCGCCUGGCCUCGUCGCCGGCGUGGCCACGGCGACCUUUUGGUCCCGUUCGUGCCUCCGUUGCCUUGGCUGCAUCGUGUAGGCCUCGCCCCGCUCUUCAGUUUGCCCCAGUUCGCACCGUAGCCCCGCCUCUGCCGCACGCCCGAACCACCCUACCGCCGGCGAGCUCCUGGCACUCCGCUCCGACAUCCCCAGCACCCCGCACCGCCACCGUUCGACGCGCGGCGUCGAGCCGCGUCGAACGCAAGCAACCGCGGCCCCUGGGACCCCCCUGUGCGCUAAACCCGAGCCGAGCCCGCCGCGCGCCGCCGCGAUUUGGCUCGCCGGAGCUGUUCCGGCGCCGUCCGCCGACGUGGCUAAGUGCCCCCCCCCGGGUCGCUGCCAGUGGGUCCUGGUGGCCCCGUUGACUGGGUUGACCCUAGUCAACUGCUGACUGGGCAGCCCAGUGUCACUGUCAUGCGGGCCCCGCCGCGUAAGUAAACUAAAUAAAAUGUUUUUAUAAAUAAAACUAAUUAAUUAAUCUAAAUAGGCACUGACAGGUGGGGCCUACCUGCUAAUAACCUUGUUUAAGUUAGUUAUAAAAUUCUGUUAGUGCCCUGUCAAUGACAUGUGGGUCCCACUGGACCCACCUGUCUGAUUUGACUGGUCAGCCGACCUGUUAACCAGAUGACGUCAGCGUUACCUCAUGCUGACGUCAUAAUUCAUUUUUGCUAAAAUCAAAUAAUUCUAGAAAUUCAAAUAAACUUUGAAAAUUCAUAUCUUUUAAACCGUAACUCGGAUGAAAAUGUUUUCUACAUGAAAGUUGCUCAGAACGACGAGACGAAUCCGGGUACGCAGCCCGUUCGUCCGCCACACCUCCCUAACCUAUCGAACUCGCAACUUCCCCCCCUCCGGUACCUUUUUCUGAAAACGCGAAACACCGGGAAUACCUUCCCGGAUGUUUCCCCCCUUCACCGGUAUCACCUCAUACCGCGUUAGAACACGUGUAGCUCUGCCUGUUGUCCUGUUAUGCACUUGCUUGCUAUGUAUUUACUGUUUCUCCCCCCUCUUCUCUUCGGUAGACCCCGUGACGAUGCUGAUGCCCCUGUGGUCGACUACGUCACCGAUGACCCCUCCUUCUUGUCUGAGCAACCAGGCAAGCCCCCCCCCCCUUGAUCACCAGAUAUCGCCUAUUCUCCUCUAUACUGCUUGCAUUAGAGUAGUGUAGCAUGUUACUGCUUUCCGUUAAUCCUAUACUGAUGCAUAGCCUAUCCUUGCUACUACUAUUGUUACCUUUACCUGCAAUCCUACAUGCUUAGUAUAGGAUGCUAGUUUUCCAUCAGUGGCCCUACAUUCUUGUCCGUCUGCUGUGCUAUACUAUCGGACCGUGAUCACCUGGGCGGUGAUCACGGGUAUAUACUUAUAUACUAUAUACAUGACACAUGUGAUGACUAUAGUCGGGUUGGCUCGUAGGAGUACCCGCAAGUGGAUCUUUGUGGCGGAGCGACAGGGCAGGUUGAGACCACCUAGGCGAGAGGUGGGCCUGGCCCUGGACGGCGUUCGCGGUUACUUCGACAUAACACCCAUAACGAGUUCUUGGUAUUUGAUCUGAGUCUGGCCAUUUGGUCUAUACGCACUAACCAUCUACGCGGGAGUAGUUAUGGGUAUCCCGGCGUCGUGGUAUCAGCCGAAGCCUUCGUGACGUCAGCGACUGAGUGGCGCGCGCCGGAUUGGACUGGAACGCCACUAGGCUAGGUCUGCUUCCGGCCGCGUACGCAACGUGCAGGUGUGCAUAGGGCGAUGGGCCCAGACCCCUGCGCGCAUAGGAUUAGACCGGCGUGCUGACCUCUCUGUUGUGCUUAGGUGGGGCCGCAACGUGUUGAUCUUCCGAGGCCGGGCAUGACCCAGGAAAGUGUGUCCGGCCGAAUGGGAUCAAGCGUGUUGGGUUAUGUGGUGCACCCCUGCAGGGAAGUUUAUCUAUUCGAAUAGCCGUGUCCCUCGGUAAAAGGACGACCCGGAGUUGUACCUUGACCUUAUGACAACUAGAACCGGAUACUGAAUAAAAUACACCCUUCCAAGUGCCAGAUACAACCCGGUGAGCGCUCUCUAACAGGGCGACAAGGAGGGGAUCGCCGAGUAGGAUUAUGCUAUGCGAUGCUACUUGGAGGACUUCAAUCUACUCUCUUCUACAUGCUGCAAGAUGGAGAUGGCCAGAAGCGUAGUCUUCGACAGGACUAGCUGUCCCCCUUUUAUUCUGGCAUUCUGCAGUUCAGUCCACUGAUAUGCCCCUUUACACAUAUACCCAUGCAUAUGUAGUGUAGCUCCUUGCUUGCGAGUACUUUGGAUGAGUACUCACGGUUGCUUCUCUCCCUCUUUUCCCCUUUUCCUUUCUAUCUCGUUGUCGCAACCAGAUGCUGGAGUCCAGGAGCCAGACGCCACCGUCGACGAUGACACCUACGACAGUGGAGGUGCCUACUACUACGUGCAGCCCGCUGACGACGACCAGGAGUAGUUAGGAGGAUCCCAGGCAGGAGGCCUACGCCUCAAUCGAUCUGUAUCCCAGUUUGUGCUAGCCUUCUUAAGGCAAACUUGUUUAACUUAUGUCUGUACUCAGAUAUUGUUGCUUCCGCUGACUCGUCUGUGAUCGAGCACUUGUAUUCGAGCCCUCGAGGCCCCUGGCUUGUAUUAUGAUGCUUGUAUGACUUAUUUAUGUUUUAGAGUUGUGUUGUGAUAUCUUCCCGUGAGUCCCUGAUCUUGAUCGUACACAUUUGCGUGCAUGAUUAGUGUACGGUCAAAUCGGGGGCGUCACAGUUACCGGAACUAUCAAGAAGAAGCAACCCCGGAAAGAAGCAAACAACAUGGUAAACAACCAUCACAUGAACAUGGCAUGAUGCACAAUCAAGUAUGAUGCAUGUCCGGUUUAAUGUGGCAUGGGAUGGCAAAGUGCACAAACAAUACUACAAAUUAAGCGGAGCUCAAUAUGCAACGAGUUGCAUAUUAACGAAACACCACAUCAAGUAUUUAGUUCUCUCUCGUUUAUGUACCCAACAAUAUUAAAUGUUGAUUAACAUGGCAAGAGGUGAAGCAUAAGUAAACUAACUAUUUAGGCAAGUUUAAAUGAGGCCGGAACAACAAAUAACAAUUCAGGAAAAUCCUCAUAUGCAUAUUUUGGAAUUGGUACUGUUCUGCCCUAAAUCAUAUUUUUGGGUUGUUAAACAUGCAAAGUAAUGCCACCAUGUUAAACUAUGCAUUUUUCUACCCCAUUUACAUAUAAAGUUUAUUAAAAUCGGAGCUGCGGUUAAUUAGUUAUGAAAUAAAUCAUUUUAACAUGGCAUUUAAGCAAAUUAAUGCAAACAGCAAUUUAAACAUUUUAAACAUGGAUGAGGGCAGCAUAUUAUGAAACUAGAUGAAAUUCUAAGCACUUUACAUGUUUAAACCAUUUCAAUCCGAUGCACGGUUGUGGAGUUAUUAUAUGCAUGAACAUGAGGGAUUUUUCUGCAAAACGGUAAUUCUCUGGAUAAUUGGCAAAAUUUGCAGGACCAGGAAAAAACAUAUCGGGCCAAAUUAGAGCUACAGGCCGGAACAGGACAUGGGCGCUGGGGGUUUCUCACCAUGGGCCAUGGCCCAGUUCGAAGCAGAGGGAGGCCGGCGGAUCUGGCGAAGAGGAGCUGGGCCUUGGCGCGCGGCUGGAGGUCGACCCGCUCGGGCGGGUUGACGAUGCGGUCAACGCGAGCGGCUGCCUGGCCUCACUCAACGCAGAGGCAGCAGUCAGAGGAGGCAAGACGCGGGACUUGCAGCGGCGGGGCAGGGAAACGGCGGCCAGGAACAGACGGGGACAGGCGGAUCCGACCACGGGGUCGCCGGAUCUGACCGGAGGCGGGACGGAGGCGACCGGCGACAAAGCUUGGGGCGGCAUCCAUGGCGCUGUUAACUGAAGAAAAGACAGGGUUCGGACAAGAACAGGGGAAGGGAAGGAGAGAGACAGCAGGGGAGAUGGCAGGGAUGCGAUGGGGUGACCUGAAUGGUAGGAGGCGGCCGGACGGAGCGGACUGGCCUGGCGGGAUGCUCGCCGGCAAGGUCGGACAGCAGCGGGGAGACGCGAGGCGAGGCCACGGCCUUGGCACAGAGGAGGCGCGUGGCUGCACUUGCAGGGAAGCGGUGGCGCAGAGACGGGGCCGUCCCGCGUGAGAAGCGGGGUGCAGGCGCGGCGGCACUGCCGGAAGAGAGGCAGACGACGGGGAGGUGUUCAUGGUGGUGGCAGAGACUGCACAAGGGCAGCGGCCAUGACCUCAGGCGCUGUGAAGAAAGAGAACAGAGAGUGACGAACAUGAGAGAAAAUAGAGAGAUUGAAAAGGGAAGGAGAAGAAGGGAACAGGGCAGGGGAAACGGCCCGAUGGUUGAUGUCCCUGGUGGUGGUGCUCCGGUGGCGGCGAACUCCGGCGAGGCGAGCUGCAGGAGGAGAGCACAGGAGGGGCUCCAAGAGAAGGUCCUCUUCUCUGGGACGAGAGGAGGCAGAAGCCCUUGCUCGGGAGGAGCUUGUUGACUGCGGGUGAGGCGGGUAGGAGGAGGCUGCGAUCUGCUGGGGAUUUUUGGUGGCGCGGAAAUCACGGGAGGCGGUCGGAGGGAGGUGGAUCUGAGACAAACGGAUGGUGGUUGGCUCGAUGGGGAAGACGAGGAGGAGACCAGGUGGGCUAGCGGCGGCGCGAUGGGAAAGGAUGGAUGGGACAGGAGGCUAGGCUAGGGUUAUCUGUUUAUAUAGCAUGAGGAUUUGGUUAGGGGUUAUCUUGCCCCUAAGAUCAUAAUCGGACGGUUGAGAAAAAUAGACUAGGGAGGUUAAAUAGAGAAACUGGAGAUGUUUCAGGGAUGUUUGGAGAUGAUUUGGAUGCGAUGGUAACGAUAGUCCGGUUCGGGUUCGGGGAAGUUUUCAGACGCGCACGAGGGGUCGAUGCACUGUGCAAAGAGGGGUUAGGCGAACGAGGUCAAGUGUGUGGUUGGAUUGAGAAUGGUCAAGGAAGACAAACGGUUUGACGACAUGCCACGGAGACAAGGAGAAGCGGCAACUACGAACGACUAUGAGUUUUAUGAGAACAUGUGGAUGCAAUGCGCAUGAUGACAUGAUGAAAUGCAACAACAACACCAAUAAAACACACGGCGGUCAUGCAAAACAUGGAAGGCAACUGGAGCACCGGUCUUGGGGCGUUACAACGCUCCACCACUACAAGAGGAUCUCGUUCCGAGAUCUAAGGACGGCACCGGAGAAAAGCGGAAGAGGAAGAGAAGAGGCAAAGCUAAGUUGCUUCUUUGACAAACGAGUGAAACCACGAACCUUGAGAGGUUGAAUAAAUUGAAAGAAAGAAUACAAUGGAAUGAACGAGAUUGCAAACACUCCGUUAGCAAAGAGGAACAAGGAACAUUCAAGAACCUUGUAGGUUGAAAGACAUGAAAUAAGAGCUUCAAGAACCAAAAGAAUAUGACCACACCGGUAGAAAAGAGAAACAAGGAACACCAUGUGAACCUUGGAGUUUGCAAAGCUAUGAAUGACGAGAACAAUGGACGAGAAGUACAUGCGAGCACUCCGGUUUUAACGAGAUGUACAAGGAACGAUAAUGAUCAAUUACGAUAACGCUCCGGUUGGAAAUGAAAAGAAUAGAAUUUGAACUUGGCAAAAUGAAAGCACUCGGAUGAGACUCCGGUUAAAACUAGAUAGAGAAGGAAUAAGAUUGAUAUAAUUUCGGCAGCACUCCGACUGAAAGAAGAAGGAAAAACUUGAUAAGAUGAAAAGAACUUCAAGAGAUGACACAACACUCCGGUUAAAUGGAUAAGCAUGAAAAGAACACGAUCCUCACAAAACGAGGUGAUGGGUGAAGGGAGCAACCUCACAAUGCAUCCGGAAACAAUGCAUGAUAGUUAGAUAGUUGGAAUGAAUAGAACGAAGAAUGAAACCAACAUCUCCUACCAUAAAUGAAUUUGAAAGAGCAUCCUUACGAAGUAGGAUGGAACGGAGUUGUUUGAAACACAACAACGGUUAGAAUAAGCUUGUAGCGGGCUUAUGGAAACAUCUCAAAAUUAUGAGUUGAGCUUCUGUCACUAACGAAAACAAUUGCUUGCUUGAGAUCAACGCAGAGAUGAAAACUUCUUCCACCAAGAGGAUAAAGAGCAAGCUUGGGUCAUUGAUAAGCACCACAAUAGCAACAUUCCUUAGGGAAGGCUUUAGGUGAAACAUGACACAAGAUAACUCCAACGAAGAGAUUGGUGGAUUUAAAAUAUCUCAUUCUUGACAACAUGUGAAUCAUGAAACACGAAUUCAAAUUGUCAAGAAUGACAUAACACCACCUCAAAUGAUAAGGUAGAACGAAUUGUACUUCAGAAUGCAAGAUGAAGAAUGCGUGGACUCCACAAAACAAAACAUGUGUUGAACACCAUGUGAACCUUCGUGAGAACUCCGGUAAUAAAAGGAUGAUAAAAAGAAAGAGAAGUUGAGAACACUAGGUGAAGCCUUGCGAUGAUUUAGAUGGAGCUUCACGAUGAUAUGACCGCGAAAACUUUGAACUCCGGAAAAGAAAGAUGAACAACUAGAAACCGAGAAUGUGAUAUGAAGGACAACUCCAGAGAGAAAGAUGAAUCACCUGGAUGAACCAGGAGUAAGAAUUAUGUUAUGUGUAUCCUUCACCAAUUUAGAUUGAUGACAAACAACGGAUUUGGCAUACUACUUAUUCUCGUAGAAAGGAUUAAGAUAGAUAUAGCGCAAACUUGGGAAGGUCUUCAACGAACCCCCGGUAGGAUUGGAAAGAACGAAUGAAUCUAUAUGAUAACGAAGGAAGAGAACUCUUGAAUGAACCACCGUAAGAAUUGAAAAUGAAAGUAGCAAAGGCACAAUUCACCAGGAAGAAUUUGAAAACGAAUGAAGAUACUUGAGGGGAUAUAGAUACAAGUGAACGAAUAGAUGACAAGCUGAUUAGAGAAUACUUGAAUGAUGCACCGGUAAGAUAUGGAGAAUGAGAUCUGAAAGCUGAGAAUAAAUAAUUCUGAGAUGAUGGCUCCGCGGAAUCUAACUGAAAAGACUCCUGAAAUGCUCCGGAUGGGUGAAAAGAACUCUCGCAAUCGAAACAAUUAUGAGAGGACGGCAUCAAGCUAGAACCAUGAAUUUUCAAGAGAACGGACCAAGAUUCAAGAGCAAUUCUUCUUCGGUCUUCACAUGUUGAGAAUGAUGAUGAGAACCACCCUGACAAUUGUUGAGAUACUCCGAGAUGAAAAAUAUAAAGGUUGAACCAACGAUGAAAAGAAUUUGAAAGAUCUUGGAGAAAGACAUUUGACUGAUGGUAAAUCAUUCUUACGUCAAACUUUGAAAAGAAUUUGGGAAUAGCUCCGGGAAAAAUUAGAAGAGACAGGUAAGAUCCUGGGAAACGACCUGUGGGUUAGGGCCCACUCAAAAGAUACACCAUUGAACGAUUUAAAAGGGAGAUUGCGCCGGUUCAAUUAAAUGGCUUGAAUAAGGUAAGACCUUGAAAUAUCUAGAAAGGAUUAAGAAUAGAAACAUGAAUCCUCUGGGAUACCUUCAGAACUCCAGAUAAACAUGAAUAGCAAGAGGUGGAUGAUUAAGAGGUGCACCGGCAUGAGAAAACAUUUGAAACGAGGAAAGGAUAUGAUCGACAAAGCUUGAAUAGAAUCCAUCGGAGAAGAAAAAGAACGAAGAAUAAUAAACUUGAAGCUCUGUUAGUAUCUUCAUGGGAAAUCACCGGAUAAGAACAUUGAAAGAAAAGAAUGAAGAGACUUCGCAUCAACAAAAAGGAUACUUGAUUAAGAAAUCUGAGUCCUUGAAGAAAAAGGGUGGGAGGGCGGGGAAAACAAAGACAACUUGGGACGGAUGAAGCAAACACCAUUGCAAAGAACUGAGAAUUGAUCUCGCGAAUGUUGAAAUGAUCGGAUCCACUUGAAAAAGAGCACGUCGGUUGGAAAAGAAUUGGCAUGACAAUCUCGAUGAUCAAGAAGGAUUCGUAUUCACAUAGAAGUAUGAGAACACUGCUUAGGAAACGUAUGGAAUCAACACUUGACAUUGAAGCAACUCAAAUACCACAGCUCACAACAAAACAAAGACGUGGCUUGCAGAAUAGGCCGGAAACAAACUUAUGAUAGAGAUUUCGUCCAAAGUUUUCAUGGUGGGGCCCACACAGGCUCAAUCGUACAGCACCAUCAUGUACAAGGCAGUGCACAUGACAUAUGAAGCGUCCCCGAGUCAGCAUAGCCAAGGACUCUUUAAGACACAACGAGACCACUGUAAAACCAACCGUGGAUAGGCGGACCACUAGACGUCGAACCCCAAUCUCAUAUCAUGCAUCUGUCAGAAAGAUAUCCUAGGAGCUACUUGAAUUCCCACUUAUAAACUCCUGAAACUUUCUGGUUAUGCAAUCAGGUGUUGGGGAUACAGGGGACGCAAUAUAUCUCACCCAAACUAACAAUACCUAGAUCCAGUUGUAUCCAUCCUUCAACACAUAACCAAGAAACCUUCGGAAAUCAUUUUACCUCAACCUUCGAAAAGCAUCCGUUAUACGAGUUAUGGCAGUACUCCCGAACUCCCGCCCCAGUACUGGGUGGCGUCAAGGUGAUCUCACCAACAACUACAUAAAAGAGAUUUUCAAUGUCGGCGAAAAAAACUCAGGUAUUCCAGAACUGCAACUAUAAAAUUGUGACAACACCUCAGAGCUCAAGUCCCCGGGACACUGCCACAACCCCUAAAUGUCGGGAGGCACCAAUAACAAUGUUCUCGUCACAAAACCAACGGAACGAUUCCAAGAUACCCACGUGAUCCUAAAAAAAAUUAGUGAAAUUUGAGGAGAGGAAAGUCAAAACUUCUACGUCAGGAGACCUCACCAGAGCGACGAAGGGACUGAGGAGUAAAAAGAAUCCUACUCUCCGAAAUAUAUAAUCCUAAGACUCAAAACAUUUUUUGUUCUAGACUCAACAAUGUCAGCGAUUCGAUCAAGCAGGGGGCUCCUAAGUCGGGGAUGGCUCUGAUUGCCAACUUGUAAUGCCCACGAUGCGGCUAUAUCUCCCACGUGUCGAGGCACGGCUUGGAGGCAUAACCACAUGGUGGUUUUGUCGCAAGAAGGGUCAUCUUCAAACAAUCCCAUGCAAGGUUGGAAAAAGCGGUAGGCGUAAGCGAGGCGGUUGGCCUUCACCUAGUACCUAGGCGGUGCCUAAGCGCCCUAGGCGCGGCCUAGGCGGUAAUAUAGUUUUUACUCUUAGUGUAUUUGUGAUUAUUAUAUGGGUGUUGAUAUUAGUUUAUGACAUAUAAAUAACUCAAUCACCGUCUACUGUCACUGAAAUAUAACCCGUUUGGCAUAUUAGUGUGGUUUGUGGCAUGAUUUCUUGCUUGGGUAGGCAAUUCCUUGCUUGCCCCGCCUAGACCUCCAUUUAUGACUUAGGCGAGACGUUUGACCAUUGCCUAGCGCCUAGGCGUGCCUAAGCGCCUCCUAGGCACUUCCUUUUCCAACAGAGAUCCCAUGUAAGGAACAAGAAAGGGAUAAAGAGUUGGCUUACAGUCGCCUCUUCACACAAUACAUAAAUUAAACAUACAUCAUUCAGAGUACAAUCAAGGUCCGACUACGGAACCAAAAUGAAAGAAGACAACCCCAAAUGCUAGAUCCCCGAUCGUCCCAACUGGGCUCCACUACUGAUCAUCAGGAAACGAAACAUAGUAACGACCAAGGUCCUCGUCGAACUCCCACUUGAGUUCGGUAGCAUCACCUGCACUGGUAUCGUCGGCACCUGCAACUUCUUUGGUAGAAUCUGUGAGUCACGAGGACUCAGCAAUCUCACACCCGUGAGAUCAAGACUAUUUAAGCUUAUGGGUAGGAAAGGGGUAAUGAGGUGGAGCUGCAGCAAGCACUAGCAUGUAUGGUGGCUAACAUACGCAAAUAAGAGCGAGAAGAGAAGCAACGCAAUGAUCGUGAAGCUAGAAGUGAUCAAGAAGUGAUCCUGAAACUACUUACGUUCAUACAUAACCCAAACCGUGUUCACUUCCCGGGCUCCGCCGAAAAGAGACCAUCAUGGCUACACACGCGGUUGAUGUAUUUUAAUUAAGUCAAGUGUCAAGUUCUCUACAACCGGACAUUAACAAAUUCCCAUUUGCCACAUAACCGCGGGCACGGCUUUCGAAAGAUAAUACCCUGCAGGGGUGUCCCAACUUAGCCCAUUAUAAGCUCUCACGGUCAACGAAGGAUAUUCCUUCUCCCGGGAAGACCCGACCAGUCUUAGAAUCCCGGUUUACAAGACACUUCAACAAUGGUAAAACAAGACCAGCAAGACCACCCGCUGUGCCGACAAAUCCCGAUAGGAGCUGCACAUAUCUCAUUCUCAGGGCACACCGGAUGAGCCAGACGUUGGGUUGGCAUAGACCCUGGUUGCCCAGGGGGCGCCGGACAUCGCUGGUUUGGACCAGCACUCGAAGGAGCACUGGCCCGAGGGUUUAAAUAAAGAUGACCCUUGAGUCUGCAGAACCCAAGGGAAAAAAGGCUUAGGUGGCAAAUGUUAAAACCAAGGUUGGGCCUUGCUGGAGGAGUUUUAUUCAAAGCGAACUGUCAAGGGGGUCCCAUAAAUCACCCAACCACGUAAGGAAUGCAAAAUCAAGGAACAUAACACCGGUAUGACGGAAACUAGGGCGGCAAGAGUGGAACAAAACACCAGGCAUAAGGCCGAGCCUUCCACCCCUUACCAAGUAUAUAGAUGCAUUAAUUAAAUAAGAGAUAUUGUGAUAUCCCAACAUAUCCAUGUUCCAACAUGGAACAAACUUCAUCUUCACCUGCAACUAGCAACGCUAUAAGAAGGGCUGAGCAAAAGCGAUAACUUAGCCAAACAACGGUUUGCUAGGAAAGGUGGGUUAGAGGCUUGACAUGGCAAUAUGGGAGGCAUGAUAUAGCAAGUGGUAGGUAGCGCGGCAUAGCAAUAGAACAAACAACUAGCAAGCAAAGAUAGAAGUGAUAUCGAGGGUAUGGUCAUCUUGCCUGAAAUCCCGCAAGGAAGAAGAACGAGUCCAUGAAGAAGACAAACGGAUGUAGUCGAACGAAUCCUCACAAACGCAACGUUACCGGAACUAUCAAGAAGAAGCAACACCGGAAAGAAGCAAACAACAUGGUAAACAACCAUCACAUGAACAUGGCAUGAUGCACAAUCAAGUAUGAUGCAUGUCCGGUUUAAUGUGACAUGGGAUGGCAAAGUGCACAAACAAUACUACAAAUAAAGCGGAGCUCAAUAUGCAACGAGUUGCAUAUUAACGAAACACCACAUCAAAUAUUUAUUUCUCUCUCGUUUAUGUACCCAACUAUAUUAAAUGUUGAUUAACAUGGCAAGAGGUGAAGCAAAAGUAAACUAACUAUUUACGCAAGUUUUAAUGAGGCCGGAACAACAAAUAACAAUUCCAGAAAAUCCUCAUAUGCAUAUUUUGGAAUUGGUACUGUUCUGCCCUAAAUCAAAUUUUUGGGUUGUUAAACAUGCAAAGUAAUGCCACCAUGUUAAACUAUUAAUUUUUUACCCCAUUUACUUAUAAAGUUUAUUAAAAUCGGAGCUACGGUUAAUUAAUUAUGAAAUAAAUCAUUUUAACAUGGCAUUUAAGCAAAUUAAUGCAAACAUCAAUUUAAACAUUUUAAACAUGGAUGAGGGCAGCAUAUUAUGAAACUAGAUGAAAUUCUAAGCACUUUACAUGUUUAAAACAUUUUAAUCCGAUGCACGGUUGUGGAGUUAUUAUAUGCAUGAACAUGAGGGACUUUUCUGCAAAAUGGUAAUUCUCUGGAUAAUUGGCAAAAUUCGCAGGACCAGGAAAAAACAUAUCGGGCCGAAUUAGAGCUACAGGCCGGAACAGGACAUGGGCGCUGGGGGUUUCUCACCAUGGGCCAUGGCCCAGUUGGAAGCAGAGGGAGGCCGGCGGAUCUGGCGAAGAGGAGCUGGGCCUUGGCGCGCGGCUGGAGGUCGACCCGCUCGGGCGGGUUGACGAUGCGGUCAACACGCGCGCGCGGCUGCCUAGCCUCGCUCGAUGCAGAGGCAGCAGUCAGAGGAGGCAAGACGCGGGACUUGCAGCGGCGGGGCAGGGAAGCGGCGGCCAGGAACAGACGGGGACAGGCGGAUCCGGCCACGGGGGCGCCGGAUCUGACCGGAGGCGGGACGGAGGCGACCGGCGACAAAACUUGGGGCGGCAUCCAUGGCGCUAUUAACUGAAGAAAAGACAGGGUUCAGACAGAAACAGGGGAAGGGAAGGAGAGAGACAGCAGGGGAGAUGGCGGGGACGCGAUGGGGUGACCUGAAUGGUAGGAGGCGGCCGGACGGAGCGGACUGGCCUGGCGGGAUGCUCGCCGGCAAGGUCGGACAGCAGCGGGGAGAAGUGAGGCGAGGCCGCGGCCUUGGCGCAGAGGAGGCGCGUGGCUGCACUUGCAGGGAAGCGGUGGCGUAGAGACGGGGCCGUCCCGCGUGAGAAGCGGGGUGCAGGCUCGGCGGCACUGCCGGAAGAGAGGCAGACGACGGGGAGGUGUUCAUGGUGGCGGCAGAGACUGCACAAGGGCAGCGGCCAUGACCUCGGGCGCUGUGAAGAAAGAGAACAGAGAGCGACGAACAUGAGAGAAAAUAGAGAGAUUGAAAAGGGAAGGAGAAGAAGGGAACAGGGCAGGGGAAACGGCCCGAUGGUUGAUGUCCCUGGUGGUGGUGCUCCGGUGGCGGCGAACUCCGGCGAGGCGAGCUGCAGGAGGAGAGCACAGGAGGGGCUCCAAGAGAAGGUCCUCUUCUCUGGGACGAGAGGAGGCAGAAGCCCUUGCUCGGGAGGAGCUUGUUGACUGCGGGUGAGGCGGGUAGGAGGAGGCUGCGAUCUGCUGGGGAUUUUUGGUGGCACGGAAAUCACGGGAGGCGGUCGGAGGGAGGUGGAUCUGAGACAGACGGAUGGUGGUUGGCUCGGUGGGGAAGACGAGGAGGAGACCAGGUGGGCUAGCGGCAGCGCGAUGGGAAAGGAUGGAUUGGACAGGAGGCUAGGCUAGGGUUAUCUGUUUAUAUAGCAUGAGGAUUUGGUUAGGGGUUAUCUUGCCCCUAAGAUCAUAAUCGGACGGUUGAGGAAAAUAGACUAGGGAGGUUAAAUAGAGAAACUGGAGAUGUUUCAGGGAUGUUUGGAGAUGAUUUCGAUGCGACGGUAACGAUAGUCCGGUUCGGGUUCGGGGAAGUUUUCGGACGCGUCUUGAGACUAAAGAGGGGCUAAAUAGAGAAACUGGAGAUGUUUCAGGGAUGUUUGGAGAUGAUUUCGAUGCGACGGUAACGAUAGUCCGGUUCGGGUUCGGGGAAGUUUUCUGACUAAAGAGGGGCUAAAACUAGUCUUGAGACUAAAAAAUUUUAGUCAGGGGUACCCCCACUAAAAUGUGGAUUAGUCCUCUCUCUCCUCAUUUAACUCCUCUCCUUUAACACAGGCGAGUUCUGGAUUGGAGGGUUUGGAGGAUAAUAAAUGCUCAUUGACUUGAUUUUAUUCUCUUUAGUAUUUGGAUACAAGCAUGGGUGAGGCUAGCAAGUUUUACUCCCACUACUUUUAGUCAUGGAACUGAAACGUAUCCAAGCACCCUCCAAAUCCGGGAAAUAGGGUCCAAAGUAGUCAAAUGAUUGAGAUAGAGCAUUUUUUGUCAAUCUAACCCUGCCAUCCAUACACCUCUUUGGUUUAGAGUUAGUUCAGGGUUAGAAUCUAACUCUAACCUCUAACUGAGUUAGAGUUCUCCUCGUCUCGGUUCAUCGCCAUCAUACUAUCCCCAUUCCUGUGUUUUCAGUAUCCUGCGAAUCAAAGAGGCCCUUUUUUUGCGGGAAAAAUCAAAGAGGCCCUUAGAUUGGUUUCGGUCCGGUCAUUUUUUUAUAAACGUGUUAUGUCCAAAAUUUAAUGAACGUGCUCCGGUUUCCACAAAAAUAAUCCGGUUUCAUGUAGUAAUUCAUUCAUUUAUUUAUUCUUCUGCGGGGGGUUUGCAUGUAAUUCGUGAGGUCUGAAAUGUAAAGUAAGCCGGCAUAUGCUCCGAGUCGUGCAUGCACUACGACCCAGAUGCUCUAUGUCCCACAUGUCGGUGAAUGGGAGCACGUGGAAAUAGCCUAGGAGUACAUAUAGGAGGAUAAAUGCGUGAAAUAAUAUGUACUGUGAAGCAUAGCCGCGGUUCGAAAAGGAGACCUAAAGUGAUGACAGGUAUAGGUCGCACGCACCCAACUAGUGGUACUAGACAUACGACUAAUUUUUUCCUCAAAAAAAAGAGGCACAAGUGCUCAGUACUCCUAUUCUAUAAACACGAGUCCCAUCUGACAACAGCGUCCGUGCUACAGCUAGCUCUCCUCCCUCGUUUCUCUCUUCUAAUUCUAAGCUCGGCCGACGCCCGGUGGGCGGGGUGGGUUUGCUCAACUGCGGCCCCACCUCACAGUGAAGACGUUACGACUGGAAUAAAAAUGCCAUAUACUCCCUCCGUUCAUAAAUAUAAGCCUUUUUAGAUACUAUUUCAAAUGGAAUACAGCAUACAGAUGUAUGUAGAGAUAGUUUAGAGUGUAGAUUCACUCAUUUUGCUCCGUAUGUAGUAGUCACUUGCUGGAAUCUUUAGAAAGACUUAUAUUUGGGAACAGAGGGAGUACUAUACUAAUAAAACAUUAAGGCCACGAGGCGAUGUAGUGCUGGUUACAGGAGGCAAGAAGAGAUGCAUCCAUCGACGACGUCCACCUCCUCGACUAAGGGCGCCGGCCCACCGAACGGCGCCUAAGUAGCAGCGGCUUUCGUGGCCAGGUCGACGUGCUUCUGAACAAUGGCGUCCAAAGAUUCCAGCCGCUGGAAGAAGGCCAACGUAUUUCUGUCCUCGCAUGCCUUGUAGUGGCCUAUGUAGACGAUUUCCUCGUAGACGUGGAUGUGCAGGUCGAUGGUUUGUUGCAUGGCGAGGCGCUGCGCGGCGAGCGCGGCCUCGAGGUGCACAUUCUUCAUCGCGACCUCCGGCACCUGCAGGGCCACCAGGGCUUGAAAGAGUUUGUCACCAUGGAGGCCGAUGAGGGUGGCAGGCAAUGAGGAGCCUGGGCGCGCGGGCUGGAGCAGUACGGCAAGGUCAUCCGCGCGCUUCUUGACGGUGGUGAACUUGCGGAUGGAGUUGACCAUCAUGUCGUCCAUGCGAGAGGCGAAGCCGGCGUCGGCGAGGGCUACGAUGCAUGUGGUCGCCAGCACCGUCUAGAAACGCUGCGCGGUGCGGGGCCGCAGGCCGGCGCCUUGGAUGAUUUGGCACAGCCGACUGCCGCUCGCGUCCAUCGCCUCCAUAGGUGCUUGUGGCUUCUGGUCACCUGGUCUUGGAUUGGAGUGAGCAGUGUUGCGCAGAGACUUGGGAGUAGAUGGAUUGGAGUGGUGGGGCGCCUUUAUUAUAUGAGAGUCCAAACUCUGUUGCAUUCACAUCGUGCUGGCUCUAUUCUGCUUCUCCAAUUAAUUCUCUUUGCAUGUAAUUGAGGAUGCAUCAUUGACCGUUCAACGUCUCGGGAACCGCUACCCUCUCCCUCCUUGGAAUUCAAGCACCUAUGGACCCGUCGACGACGAGGUGCCUAUGGUGACUUCGUAAAUUUCAAGAUGAUAGUGUCGUGCGUGUGUGCGUUCAUAGGGGUGAGUGUAUGCGCGUGUAUAUGAGCGCUUGCGUCUGUACUGCGUAAAAAAAGUAAAUGCGUGUCAAAAAGAGACUAGUCAGUAUACUCAAUAUUGUGCACCUCGGAGAGGAAAACGAUAGAACUAGUACGUAUUUAUUUACGGUGCAGAUUCACUCAUUUUGCUCCAUAUGUACUCCAUCUCGGUGUAGUCUAGUCACUUGUUGAAAUCUCUAGAAGGGCAAAUACUCCUUUCUGGUUUACAGGGCUAUACUAGCAAGUAGUUGUACGUACUAGUACAAUAGUGGGCUCACAUAGCAAUUUUGUCUCAUGCAAGAGCCUGGCUAUAUGCGUGCUUCAAUGUUCGCAACUGCAACGUUCGGUUUGCGCUUGGCUCUUCGCCUCUUCGAGAAGACGAACAAUGAUGUUACUACUACUGCUUCUACAGUGUCGAAUCCACUGGCUUGUUGUAGAAGUACUACUAAGCAAAAUCAUGUCCUCGUUUGCGAGCAACCGCGCGCAUGGGUGAGGGAGAAGGCGUGUAGUAAAAUCAAGCUUCUCCUCGUUGUACGAGUUGACGCGACACAUCAUAGCACUGGCCCCACAUGCUUGCCUCUAAACUUGGCUGAAAGACCCGCGGUGUACAAUAUAUUUGCUGCAACCUCUAACAUUUACCCACCACAAAUUAAAAUAUAUGUGGUCGUAUGCAUUGUUCUGAUGCAGAGGCCGGGGGUCCCCGUUUUCGAAAAAAACAAAUUAAAAUAUAUAUUCCUGUCUUGACCAGAUGAGCGUGCAAACUACAAUCACCAGGGUGUCAGGUAGGGCCAGAAGACUAUUUUAAUUUUUUUUAAACUUCGAGACGGCCAGAUAGCAUGGAGCCGACCCCAACGAUUUUAAGCUUACACGCACGGUACACGUUAUCCUAUACUACUCUACACAUGAAACUGCCACACGAGCGUCCGGGCUGCGCUUGGCUCUUCGCCUCUUCGGGAAGUCGAACAAUGAUGGAGUACUACUGCACUGGAGGAGUACUACAGUAUGCUUCUGGCCAUCAGACACCGAUUGAACUGCUGCAUGUCCACCACGUGCGAGAGGGAGAGCGUGUAGCGAAUGCUUCUCGUAGUCUUGCCAGCCACCACGCUCAUGGGCGAGGGAGGGACGCUCCUGCCUUUGCGUGUAUGAUAUGUGGGCCCGACAUGUGUGUGGCCAACCUGUCAUACAGCCAAAGGCAGGUGCAGUUAAGUCCGCGAGGGAGAGGAUAAUCAAACUUCUCGUUGAUGUACGAGUUGACGCGACACAUCAAAGCACUGCACUCGAUAUAUUUCAAUAAUAAGCGUUUACCGAUGCAUUAAUUACAACGCAUGCAUGCAUGCCGUGACUCUCCUUUUGAUACUUGCAUGUGUUGAUUUAAUGCACCUUGAAGUAGUAUAAAAUAUGUGACGGUAAAGCUUUGUAAUACCCCGGCCCAAGUAGAGAGAUGGUUGUGCACGAGGAGGGCGAGAUCAUGCAGACCGAACAGGACCCGAUGAUGGAGCUCUCUAAGGUCUCGAUGGACCUCACCGUGCUCCACUGCCCCUUGUGCCUCCGCCCCUUGACGCCUCCAAUGUAUGAGGUUCGAAUACACCUCGUCCGUUCGGCUGAUUGAGCAAGGUGCAGGUUUCUUGAUUGAUGUGUUGUUCGAUUGAUUUCUGCAGUGCAAGGGAGGGCACCUGGCCUGCGCGGACUGCCGCGUCGAGCGCCCCGAGAACCAGCGGCAGUGCUAGAAGUGCGAGCGCGGCGGUGGCUUCGACAUGCGGAACACGGCGGUGGACUCCGUCCUUUCGUCGGUGAGGGCGGAGUGCCCGCACGAAGGUUGUGGGCUCUACGUCACUUACCACAAGCUCGCCGAUCACCAGAGCGUGUGUCCGCUCGCGCCCUGCAAAUGCCCCGUGCCGUCUGCGGCUACGAAGGCCCGCCGCCGGCGCUCUACGACCACAUCAGCACCGCGCAUCCCAUGCCCGUGCAUAGGAUCCUGUACGGCAAGGUGCUCCAGCUGCAAGUGCCACUGUCGGAGCCACGGCUCUUGCUGUUCGCGGAGGAGGACCCUCGCGCGUUUUUCUUGGUCGGCGGCGUGCUCGACAUCGGCGCGCCUAUCACCGUGUCGGUCGUCUGCAUCAGAGCGGGGGCGUCCCCACUGCCGCACUACGUGGCCAAGCUGUGGGCGAACGGCCCACCGGGGGAGCCCAAAGGCACGACCGACGCCGUCAAGGUGGAAAUGGAGGUGACAAGCAGCAAGGAUCCUGGCGACGUCGACGUGCAGGAGCUGACCUUCUUGACAGUUCCGCCCAAGCUGCUGGCCGGGGCUAAGCUUGUGUCCCUCCACAUUCAGAUUGACAAGCUCACGUCCUAAAUGUUUCUACAGUGCCUUCUGUUUAUCUUAGUAAUAUGCUAAUAUAGGGAUUACCUUGGUCUACUUUAGCUUAAGAAAUGGUGGGCUUUGGUGGCGAUGCAACAAUUACUUCGACAUCAGAUCAGUAAUUUCCAACAGUCGAACGGAUAUUUUGUGUCUGUUGGAUAUAAAGUUCCUUUGGGUAAGAACUACUACUUGUCAUCAAAAUGGAUAAAAGGAGAUGUAUGUAGACGUAUUUUAGUUCUAGAUACGUCCCUUUUUAUCCAUUUUGAUGACAAGCACUCCCUCCGUUCCAUAAUACAUGCCUUCCAUUUGUCAAAAUAUAGAUGUAUCUAGACAUGUUUUAGUAUAUAGGUACAUGCAUGAUAGAGCCAAUCGGAUGGUUGAGAACACUACAAUUCGUAGCUACAGAUGCGUGUGUGACUCCCAGAUGCAGAGGCCGGGGGUCAUCAUCCUCCUUUUCGAGAAAAAACAGACGCGUGUGUGAGAGCUCGCCACGCGGCUAUUCCUGUCGAACGCCCCAUUAACCGUAAGAUAUGUAUACGACGGUGCCAGUUAUUGCACGUACACAGCAGUACUCCCUCCUUUCCGGUUUAUAGGGCUUAAUUCAAAAAUCUCACCAACCAAGAUGGUGAGUGGUGGAAUAUUUUUUGUAGUUUGCAAAAGCACCUAAUUAAUGCUCUUGUUUUUCUCAAAAAAUUAUGUUUAUCAAUGCAUUAAUUGCAAUGCAUGCAUGCAUAAAGUACAUGCAUUGGUCAAUUUUCUCUUAAUACUUGCAUGCAAUGAUUUAAUGCACCUUGGAAUCUGAACAUGUGUUGGGGAACAACCAAAUUGAGCCUUAUAAAAUGGAAAAACUAAAAUUUUGAGAUAAGCCCUAUAAAACCGGAAAGGAGGGAGUAGAAAAAGAAGUACUCCAUUCGGGAAUAGUGUCGCACUUCAAAACUAGAACCGUCAAUAAAUUUUGAGCUUGCGUCUCGUCGCAUUCCAAAUUACUCCACGCCAUCAUAUUGAAUUGCAAACCUGUUCACACCGAUCACAACCUAAAUGGUUUCCCACUUAGGAGCGUAUUAGUACCACGCUAUAUGAAUUGCAAACCUGUUCACACCAAUCACAACCUAAACGGUUUCCCACUUAGGAGCGUAUUAGUACUCGGUUAUAAAUACUAGUAUGCCAAGAUGACUGCACAUUCCUCCUCAACUCCUCAUCCACAAAAACAAACAAGUCAUUCAGCAUCCUUCCCUUGCAUCUGCCAUGGCCAGCGUGAGUUCUGGGUCGAGAGAUUGCCACCAGGGAGAGGCGAGCAUGGAAGCGGAAGCACGAGAGAUGUCCUGCUUCGCUGCGAGAGCAGCCGACAUGUCCCGCCGCGCCGCUAAAGCAGCACGGAGGUCCCGCCGCGCCGUCGAUGCAGCAGACUGGUCCGGUCGCGCCGCGGAAGCAACAGAGAUGUCCCGGCGCGCCACGAAUGCAGCAGAGAUGUCCCGCUGCGUCGCGGCGGCCUGGGAAAAUUUCUCGCGGGCAGGCGACGACUGUUACAGGCGCAUGCAUGCGAUCGUCCAUAGCCAGAUGGAUCAGAUCUCCGGCUGGGCGAGGUUGCAGGACGACAUGAAAGCCUCGUUUGAACAGGCUACCGGCGUCAUCCGGCAACUAAGGGAGGGCAAUGAGAGGCUCCGGGCCGAGCGCGACCUGCUGAGGGAGAAGAUCGUCCGAAGUGCAGACCACCAGGAGGAGACCAGUGCCUUGUUGAAGAGGACCGGCGUCAUCGUCAAGAAACUUAUGGACGAGAAUGACAUGCUCCGCAACGAGCACCAAAGGCUGGUGGAGGAAUCCGUGGAUGUUCUCAAGCAGCGUCUUCAGGACACGAAAGAGCUCAUCGCCACUCGCCGCGGAGACUAGUUCCUGCGGCCUGCAGCAAUGCAUCAAGAAAGUAGAGAUCAGCGAGCCAGAUCCUUGUCUUCCUUCUUCUUUUGCCCUUGUGUAUUUCAGGCGUAGCCGCAUGUGGCUUUUUUAAUUAUCUUUCUAAUUAUGUAAGACAAUUAAUCGUCCUUAUCUUUCUAUGGAAGAUCAAUGUUGCGAGGCUGGAAUGAAGAAAACUCUUGCUGUGGCGACCCUGGCGUAGCUGUUCUUCUAGUUGCUGCUGGGCUUCCUUCAGUUUCCUGGUUUCUUUUGAUGUAAUAAUCGGUUUAGAAUGUGGAUUGUGUCGUCGGUUGUGAAAUGUUGGGUUCUAGUGCGGAUGUUUGGCCUUUGUUGGCCCCUUGGGAUGUUGCGAUUUCAAUCUGGUAGCUUUUAGUCCUUCGUGUUAGGCUGGAGUUGUGCUGAACUUCUUGUGAAUUGUGGUGGUUUUCGUAAUAAAAAUCAGAAGGGGCAAGCCCUUCUUUGAUCAAAAAAAAAUUAAUCGUCCUUAUAUAUUCAUCAGGCUUGCUAUAAGUCGCACUAGAUGCUAUAUAGGUCCGUCGGAUCUUACAUCAAGAUCCGUGCUUUCAGAUUUUCUUUUUUCUCUCUUAAAUCUCAGUCGAGUGAGACAUAGCCACGCCAUUAAACAGAGGCUCGGGCGCCAUUAAUGGAGACCUUGGGAGAGAGGUGGACGGCAGAUGGAGGUCAAAGGGCUCUCCUCCCGAUAAGCACGCGCAGGGGUCUGAUCGCACGCCUCUCGUACUCAAAUAGCUACCCUGCAUGGCGCCUCCUAGCUAAUAAAAAAUGGGGACGCGUGGCGGCACGUAAAUGGUACUAGUAAGUAGAACGCCCACGGUUUCAAUAAUACUUGUGUUUCCGAUUGUAACGUGACAGCACUUGUUCCAAAAUGACUUUGUUGAUUGUUAAUGUGUGCGCCUUCGCAAAUCGGACUGCAAAUUUACCACAGCAUGUUGGUUCCAUGUCAUGGCACCAAGCCAAGUUUCAUUAUUUUCAUGCGUGUUUUGGAUUUACAGGAAUUAAAAAACUAAGUUUCUCAAUGUUUCCAACCCAGCCACGACGCCCAGAAUUUUGAAUUUCAUUCCCAUUUCUUGCAUGGAACCUAGAAAUUUACCCGAGGACACACAUGUGAUUUUUCAACCAACUUUGGUGCACUGGAACAUGUGCUUGUAUUUCAAAUUUGAAUUAUGCACACAAAGGUGACACGUUCCCUCCCAGAACCACGAGCCUUGUUGAGAGAAGCUCCGAUUUGGAAGAAUCUUAUACCAAAAUUUGUUCCUAUUCGGCCAAUUUUUUUUACCACGGCAUGGUACUACCAUGACAUGACACCAUGCCAAGUUUCAUGAUUUUAAAACCAAGUUUCUCAAUGUUCUCGACCGAGCCACGAUGCCCAGAUGUUUGAAUUUUAUUCUCAUUUUUUGCAUGGGACCUACUCCCUCCUUCCAACUAUAUAGGGCCUAAUGUGUUUUUCAAGACAGCCUUUGACAAUUGACAAGAUUAAUAGCACAUGAGAUGUAUACUAUGAAAAUUAUAUUAUUGGAAGCUCCUUUGACAUACAAAUUUGAAGGUAUGCUUUGUGUAAGUUGCAUGUCAUAUAUUAUUGCUCUAACGUUUGGUCAAAGUUAGCCUCGAAAAACACAUUAGAACCUAUAUAGAUGGAAGGAGAGAGUAGAAAUUCACCCGAGGACACAAAUGUGAUUUUUCAACCAACUUUGGUGCACGGGAGCAUGUGCUUGUAGUUCAAAUUUGAAUUAUGCGCAUUAAAUGACCAAAAACUCAAUUAAUGUGUAAAUAAGGCCAAACGAAGCCGGAAUAAUUCCAAAAUUUAACAGGGCACUCAUGUAGCUCUAUGUUGCCUUUGUAAAUAAACUCAAGGGGGACAACGUAUAUCGUUUCGCACUCAAAGGUGGCACGUUCCCUCUCAGAACCACGAGCCUUCUUGAGAGAAGCUUCGGUUUGCAAGAAGCUUAUACCAAAAUCUGUUCCUAUUCGGCCAAUUUUUUUACCACAACAUGGUAGUACCAUGACAUGACAUCCAUGCCAAGUUUCAUGAUUUUCAGACGUGUUUUGGAUUUACAAGAAUUUUAAAACCAAGUUUCUCAAUGUUCUCGGCCGAGCCACGAUGCCCAGAUGUUUCAAUUUUAUUCUCAUUUCUUGCAUGGGACCUAGAAAUUCACCCGAGGACACAAAUGUGAUUUUUCAACCAACUUUGGUGCACGAGAUCAUGUGCUUGUAGUUCAAAUUUGACUUAUGCACAUUAAAUGACCAGAAACUCAAUUAAUGUAUAAAAAAUGACAAACGAACCCGGAAUAAUUCCAAAAUUUAACAGGGCACUAAUGUAGUUCUAUGUUGCCUUUGUUAAGAAACUCAAGGGGGGGCAGUGUAUAUCGUUUCACACUCAAAGGUGGCACGUUCCCUCUUAGAACCACGAGCUUCCAAAUCGGCCCAAUUUUUUACCACAACAUAUUAGUGCCAUGACAUGACACCAUGCCAAGUUUCAUGAUUUCCAGGCGAGUUUUGGAUUUACAUGAAUUUAAAAUCAAAGUUUCUCGAUGUUCUCGGCCGAGUCAGGACGCCCAGAUGUUUGAAUUUCAUUCUCAUUUCUUCCAUGGGACCUAGAAAUUCAACCAAGGACACACAUGUGAUUUUUCAACCCACUUUGAUGCACCGGAGCAUGUGCAUGAAAUUCAUAUUUAGAUUAUGCACAUUAAAAGUCCAGAAACUCAAUUAAUGUAUAAAAAGGCCAAAUGAACCUGAAAUAAUUCCAAAAUUUAACAGGGCACUCAUAUAGUUCUAUGUUGCCUCUGUAAAUAAAAUCAGGGGGGAGGCAGCGUAUAUCGUUUCGCACACAAAGGUGACACGUUCCCUCUCGGAACCACGAGGCUUGUUGAGAGAAUCUCCGGUUUUGCAAGAGGCUUAUACCAAAACUUGUCCCAAUUCAGCCAAAAAUUAUACAUAUGAAAACAGGGUUUUGAUUAUCCCAAACAUCUCGCUACCUAGACCAAUAAUGUGCUAUGAUUUGAAUUCAACAUAAAAUGGAUACAAAUAUUUGAAUUGGAGAGCGUAUGGUACAUGUAGUUCAUAGUGAAAUAUGAUUACUGCUAUAUGUAUGUUUUUUGUUAUCAAGUUAAUAUUUAAAUUAUUGUAUAACUUGACAACAAUCGUAUUCAAAUAAGGAAAAUUGAUUCAAACUUAGUCCAUAUGGUAGACGACAAUAUAUAUGUUCACAUGGUGGAGUAAAAUGUUCAUAUAUGAUUGAAGAUCAAAAUGUACGACUACAUCAAUUAUAAACCGCAAGGUCACCUAACGAUAUAUUCGAAUUCAACAUAACGUGGAUUCAAAAAUUUAAAUUCGAGAUCAUGGCAUCUGUAAUCAUAUAAAAAGGGACAUUACUCUUUCUUUGGUGGGAAUUGAUUUUUUUUGUUGUUGAGGGAAGUGCGAAUCGAUUUGGUACUGUGCAGGGUAAUCUUGUUCUCCCGAUUUUUUUUACAUUUUUCUUGUAGUUUUUUCAAUGGCAUCUAUAGCAAUAUAGUAAAAGGGGACAUGACUCUCUUGUGUCUUGUAUGAAUUGUUUUUUUUACACGUUAAGUUUGUUCUGCCGAACAAGGAAUCCGCACCUUGUUAUCCCGAAAUUUUCAAACUCGAGUAUCUUUUGUCUCACCUGCUUUGAAACUCCCGCUUCUUCCACCCGCGCCGCGCCUUGUUAUCCCGAAAUUUGGACGCGCGCGAGAACUCCCUCCUCAUCCGAAAUCGCUCCCGCAGCCCAGACACGCGAAAUCCCCCUUCUACCCCUCAGCCGGAAAUGAAGCUCCACGUCGCGGUGUCAAAACCGGUGGGGGUACGCUGGUAACUUACCCUACAUUUCGGACAAGCGCGUCCCUAAGCUUGGCUCCCCCUCCCCCUUCGCCCCCCNNNNNNNNNNNNNNNNNNNNNNNNNNNNNNNNNNNNNNNNNNNNNNNNNNNNNNNNNNNNNNNNNNNNNNNNNNNNNNNNNNNNNNNNNNNNNNNNNNNNNNNNNNNNNNNNNNNNNNNNNNNNNNNNNNNNNNNNNNNNNNNNNNNNNNNNNNNNNNNNNNNNNNNNNNNNNNNNNNNNNNNNNNNNNNNNNNNNNNNNNNNNNNNNNNNNNNNNNNNNNNNNNNNNNNNNNNNNNNNNNNNNNNNNNNNNNNNNNNNNNNNNNNNNNNNNNNNNNNNNNNNNNNNNNNNNNNNNNNNNNNNNNNNNNNNNNNNNNNNNNNNNNNNNNNNNNNNNNNNNNNNNNNNNNNNNNNNNNNNNNNNNCCCACGCUCCUCCGUUGGCCUCCCGACCGCCGCCCAGCCGGAGACUCUUCCCCGACUACGUCGUCCACCGCAAUAGCUCGCCGUCCCUCAUCCACCACACUGGAUGAGGAUCCGUUGUCGAUCUCGUCGUCUCGCCGGAUCAGCCGCCCCAUCCUCCACCUCCAAGGAGCUGCCCCGAUGUUCGCCUCGUCUAUCGCGCCACCUCAAUCCACACAGCGCCGUCUUGACCUGCCCCACCGGAACCGCAGCACCCUCACCAAUUCCUCCGAUGAAGCUGGGGCCAACUCGGCGCCACCAAGGAGGUUCUGCACUCACUGCUGCAUUUUAUCUUUUAUUCGAUCUCACGGGGCUGCCGGUGCUCGAUACCGAGCAGACAUGGCGUGUCUCCAUCGACGGCGUCGUCGCCGGCCACAUCAUCCACGGCGUCUCUUCCCCAUGACGUUGCUUCCUCGGCGGCGACUUCCACAACGGCACUAGCUGCUGCUGCGGCGGCUCUGUUCUUGCUGUCGGUCGCGCUGCUGCACUGCUCCUGCUUUCGUUCAUGCUGCUGCUCUGCUCUUGCUCUCGCUUGCGCUGCUGCUGCUGCACGACCUCCGGCAGCUACAGGAGUUGCUGCUUUAGCACUCGCUCGCGGUGCUACUGCACGACUUGCUCUCUGCUAGUGCAUUCCCUGCUCGAGCGUCUGUUGAUUUAGAUCACUGCUUCUCUGCUACUAGUGCUCGAACGCCCUAAACAUCUAUUGCAAUGCUCUGUUACUAGUUCAAUCAGUUUUGACAGUAAAAUUCAGUUUCGACUGUGAAGUUCAUUUUCUUCAAUUAAGUUCAGAGUGAACAGUACUUACAGCAUCUGUCGGAGCGGCCGUGGCACGGCUGAUGCGUUUUACAUCUAGCACUUUUUGGUGAUGUAUUAUACAUCAUCUAUUGCAGAUGAUAUUAGGGUCCCACUUCAGAUUAACGUUGUCUGUCUUGUCAUGCUUCAGCCUCGUCGCCAUACACCUUAGCGGAGCUGCUCCAACGACGGAACCGUCCAUCACAGCGGAGCAGUACCCUCAGCGCUGUUUCCAGAGGCCUCGGAUCUUCUUCCCCGCCUUCGACAGUCACACCAGCAUCAUCACCAUCCUCCACGUCCAACCCAAUGAUGCUGAGGUCCACAAGGCUAUGCCAAAGAGGUUGUACACUCGUCGCAUCACUUUGUUUCUCCAUUCCUCUGUUCUUCCAAUUCAUGUGAGCCAAACACCCAGGUUUACUGAAAUCCUAUGUUUCCAAAUGCUUUGUUUUGCAUGUGCAUUCCUAUCCUAUUCCUGUGUUUUUCCUGUCCCUGCGUUUAUAGAAUCCUCCAACUCUAAGGAGCCCUUACAGAUUUACUUCAUUUUCAUAUAGGCGUCAAAGAAAACUCUGUGUGUUAUGUCCUGCUCCUGCCGUGCCGUCAUCCACCCCACCUGAGGUGCACCAUCGACAGAAGCGUUCACUGCAGCAGAGAUCCCCCCUGCAGACUUCCUUUCGCCGCCUCAGAUCAUCUUCCCCGUUGCCGGCAGCCACGCCAACUGCAUUACCAUCAUCGACUGAGUAGAUGAACCUGAGGACUACACAGUUCCGGAAGAGAGGUCGCAGUCUUUCGUGUUUGUUUACGUUAUACAUCGGUUAUUAUUACCUGCUACUUUAUCGUUCAAUCUUGAGUUUUGAAUUGCCCAUGGGUCUCAUAUCGAGCCAGCAACGAAUAGUAUCUGUCUACUAUCUGGUUCAUCUGGGGUCUUCUAUGUGGUUCAUGUUGGGUGGGCAACAAACAAUAGAUGAUCCAUUGUCUAUCUUUUUAAGCUAUAAUCUACCUGCUAUCAUUAGUUUUGGAUCCAUCCACUCGUUUGCUACCAUCAGUCUUGAUUUUUUCAUGCACCCCUUAGGCCUUACAAAAUCUAACUAUUUUUUAUGCAUGUCAGAUAUUGUACACAAUCGUACUGAACAUGUAGAGAAAAAGAGAAGACCGUUGCGUGCGAAUAUAAUGUAAUGCAGACGCCGCUCCAUGGUGGGCGAAGUGCCCCCCCCCCCUCCUGCAUUUCCAGAUUGUAUUCCAGAGGAAGAUAACUGUUCAGAUGGAGAUUCAGAAGGAGCCGACCACGCCUGUUUACCACCUGAGGUGUUUGCUCUAACCUGGCAUGCUGAUGUUGGUCAUAUCAUGCAUAUGGCGCCUUGCAUUGCUUACAGUAUACAUCUUAUAUGUCAUCAGCUUAGUUUAGAUUUGCUUUGUGUGAAUGCCACCUUUUUGGUUUCUAUAUCAUACUCCCACCAUUACUAAAUAUUUGUCUUUUUAGAGAUUUCAACAAGUGACUACAUACGGAACAAAAUGAGUGAAUCUACACUCUAAAAUAUGUCUAUAUACAUCCGUAUGUGGUAGUCCAUUUGAAAUCUCUAAAAAGACAAAUAUUUAGGAACGGAGGGAGUAUAUGGGAAUUAUGCAAUGCCAUCUUCUUUAGCCAGGCAUCAUAUACGUGAAUCAUGCAAUGCCAUCCUGUUUAGCCAGUCAUCGUAUAUGUGAAUUGUAUUGUGCCAUAUUUUUUUCCAUAAUGUAUUCCAUUUGUCAACAAUAUUUAUACAUUCAUCUACUCUUCCUAUGCAUCAGCCAUUUGAGUCGGUCAUGGGAAAAUCUGGAGUGAAAACAAGGUCUUCUGAGCAGUCAGUGCUACCUGUCGAUGUAGAUUUCUUGCUGGUUACAGAUAGCUCCUCAGAGGAGGAUUCAGAAAGAGAUGACCAGUCGUAUUCCCCCCCUCCCCCCGAGGUGCAUGCUCUAACUUGGCUGGGUUAUAUUGCUCAUAUCAUGCAUAUGGUGUCUUGCAUUGUCAUGCCAUCUGCUUAGAUUAGACAUGCUUUGUGUGAAUGCCUCCUGUUUGCUUUCUAUAUCAGAUAUGUGAAUUAUGCAAUGCCAUGUUUUUCAGCCAGUUAUCAUAUAUGUGAAUUAUGCACUGCCAUGGAGCCAGGCAUCAUAUAUGUGAAUUAUCUCAUGCCAUAUUUUUUUCAUUACGUAUUCCAUUUGUCAACAAUCUGUGUAUAUUGAACUACUCUUCAUGUGUAUCAGCCAUUUGAGCCGGUUAUGGAAAAAUCUGGAGUGAAAACAAGGUCUUCAGAGCAGGCAAUGGUACCUGUUGAAGCAUAUAUCUCGAUGGUUACAGGGAGCUCCUCAGAGGAGGAUUCAGAGACAGAUGACCAGUCCUAUAUCCCACCUAAGGUGCAUGCUCUAAGUUGCAAUGUUUAUAUUUCUCAUAUGAUGCAUAUGGUGUCUUGCAUUGCUUAGUUUAGACAUCAUAUGCACAAUAUUGAAUUCUAUCUGCUUAGUUUAGAGAUCAUACAUGCGAGUGCCAGCUGCUUAGUAUAUGAAUCAAUUGUGACAAUUAUAUCAUGCCAUCCUGUAUACUUAGACAACAUGUAUGUGAAUUAUUUCAUCCCAACCUAUUUUAGAAAGACAUCAUAUAGUUUUGUCAUGUCAUCCUGUUUAGGUACUCAUCAUAUGUUGAAUUAUGCCAUUAUAUCAUGUUAAGUUAUCCAUCAUAUAUCUGAAACUGUGUCAUGCUACCCUGUUUAGUUAGGCAUCAUAUAUGUGAAAUUGUGUCAUGCUGUCCUGUUUGGUUAGACAACAUAUAUGUGAAUUACCACAUCUGUCUAUCAUACAAUGUCUGUACGUUCAAUUUCUUUUCUUGUUUAUCAGCCAUUUGAAUUGGAGGGGGUGAUGGCAGUAUCUAAGGGAGCAAAAACCCGUUCUUCACAAAAGACAGUGCUACCCGUCGAUGCAGAUAGAACCAUGGUUGUACUGGCCCACAAACUAGCCCCACCACACAUAAUCGAGACUCUUCCAGAUUGCACACUUACACCGUUGGGCAGAGAACCAGCUACAACCCAUCUAACCGCAACCCCAGCGAAUAGUAACCCACUUAUAGUUGACAAAGCACCAUGUCCACCACAGAGUACCCCCACACGAGCAGUUUGUAAAGCUACUGCAGUGCCCAAAGCACGAAGACCACCACAGCUAACCCAAACUCCACGUUUAAAGCAGAAGAGCAACUGUUCUCAGGUCAGAUUCCGUAGCUAUGGUCCAUACUCCUUUGCUGUUGCAUCACUGUAUUUACUCAUACCAACUACUUUCGAAUUUGAAGGAUCCAAUUGAAACUCCAAUGGCGCAACAGGUAUGUUUUAAACCUAUUUCUUUAACUGGAUUGCUGUUCUAACUUCUUGCUCUAUGUUGAUUUCAGUUUAAGUUGUAUAAACAGUUAUGUUCUGAUGUGAUGCACAUUACAAGUGCUGCCAAUGCUGUGUAGUUUCUCACACUUAUAUUCUGUCUAUGCUGUUGUGUCUUAAAAAUAUAUGAGUUGAACUGUGUCUCUAUCUUGAUUAGGGAACAUAAACUAGAAUGAUAUGGACAAUACAGUGACCAUAGUACAUAGAUAUAUGUUUGUUUCAUGCUGUUAUCCUGUCCACCUUACUACUGAAUCGGUUUACCAAAAUGAGUUUCGUAUACUACAACCUAAACCUGUGAUGUGUCUGCUUGUUUCUCUUGUAGUAUGCAAACAGAAUAUUGGAGAAGAGCACCCCACUAUGCAAUGGUAGAGAAAGUAAUGCAGAUAAGGAUCAAGAUAGUGAGACAACCCUGUUGGUCUCCAAGAAAGGUGAUAAAAACGAUCUUGUAGACAGUGAGAAAACCCCACAAUCCUGCGUUGAUGUAGUGUUCGAGUUACUGGCCAGUACCGCUAGCACAAGCUCUUCGAACUCGCUGCCUGAAUCACUUCGGCUUCUUCAGUCUCAGCUACAAGCUGAAAGGCAUCAGUCAGCUGUGCUGCGGCAAGAAGCCGAGGGACUGAGGAAGUCCCUGCAGAAUUCAGAUGCGUACUUUCUUGUGCAACAGCAAGCGUUGGAGGAUUUAAGCGCCAAACAAGAGAAAGUUAAUAAGCUUGCUAAGCAUCUUGCCAGCAUUAUGGGUACCCAGGAUAUUGUUUCUUGAACUCUUCUGAAGUGGUUUCAGUUCUGGACUUGUUUUGCUGCGGCGUUUAUAUGCUGCUUUGUUCCCUAUAUUUGCACUGGUGGCGAACUUUGAUGCCCAGUGGAUGUAAUAUGUGUAAUAGCCGUGAUAGCCUAGCAUAAGUUGCUUGCUUAUUUAUUUCCUUGUUGUCUUGUUUAUUUGUUUGCUUGUAUUCGGUGCAGUUCUUUUUCCGCGGUUUGCUAGUGGCUGCAAUAACCUAUUUUUUAAAACUAGGCCACAAUAACCAUGGGCUAAUAUUUACUGUAGUGACAUUGGGCCUCCUAUGGGCCGUAGAAACAGUGGGCCUUCUACGGGCCGUAGAAACAGUGGGCCUUCUACGGGCCGUAGAAACAAUGGGCCUUCUAUGGGCCGUAGAAACAAUGGGCCUUCUACGGGCUGUAUCAUCAAUGGGCCUUAUACGGGCCGUAUGAUCAAUUGGCCAAACAUGGGCCAAUAACAGGCCGCAUUAUGGCCGUAAACGGGCUAGAGUUGGAAUCGUCCGUUCAUGGGCCGACCAUAACGGGCCAUCGUUAAUAGGCCGUAUUUGAUGACGCUAUGAAAACGGGCCAACGUAUUAACGGACCACAAAUGGGCCGACUGUAACCACGGGCUGAAUUUGGCCCACAAGCAGAAAAUGAUAGUAACGGGCCGUAAGUAAACGAAUGCUGGAAAUGAGCCCAAGAAUAAAUGGGCUCUGAGAAGGCCGAAAGAUAACAUGGGCUGGAAACGGCCCAACGGAAUAACGGGCCAUUAAUGGGUAUAAAGUGAUACACUAUUCAUUACGGGCCAGUUUCACCACAGGUCGUUAAUGGGUGUAAAGUGAUACACUGUUCAUUACGGGCCAGUUUCACCACGGGCCGUUAAUAGGCCAAGAGUUACAUAGGGCCUCAUAUGGGCCGAAAUACGUCAUGGGCCAUACAUGCGCUAGAAGUGAAAACGGGCUGGAAUCAUAUUGGAUGGCCCAGAUGACGCUACUAGGCCUAAUUCGGAUAGGGCGUAACGGGCCUUGGGUUAGCGGGCUAUAAAUGGGCUAUAUGCGAACAGGCCAUUAACAGGCUUUCCAUGGGCCGGCCCGCCACCUUUUGACCAAGUCAAAGGGCCGGCCUUUUCACAAGAAUGGGCCUCUGUUGGGCCGUGCCACGUGUCGACGUAUCAUAGGCGCCUUCCGUCCAAUGAGUGGAUGACAUCUGUCCCAACAAUGAGCCGACACGUGUUUCCUCCAGCCAAUGAUGAUUUUACACGUGGAAAAUCCCCAUUGGUCGGGGCUAUUAAUGGGUUAUCGGAUCCAAAACCCGACCCGAUAGCUUAACGGCGUUCCGUUACGGUGGAUGCCACGUGUCGGUCACGCUUGAAGAAAGCACUUCUGUGACGUGCGAUUUAUCGUCAUGGAAGUGGACACUUCUGUGAUGAUAAUUUUGGCAAUGUCAUGGAACACUUCUACGACAGCACAGGUAUGACUAUCUUGAUUCUGUCAUAAAUUUGUCAUGGAUGUACAUGCAUGACAGAAAACGCGACCUACUGUGACAAACACGUAUCAUCAUGGAAGUGUAUUUUUUUGUAGUGCUACGGGUUCGAGAACUAUGUAGACAUGACUGAGACUCAUCUCCGGUCAAUAACCAAUAGCGGAAACUGGAUGUUCAUAUUGGCUCCCACAUAUUCUACGAAGAUCUUUAUUGGUCAAACCGCAUAAUAACAUACGUUGUUCCCUUUGUCAUCGGUAUGUUACUUGCCCGAGAUUCGAUCGUCGGUAUCUCAAUACCUAGUUCAAUCUCGUUACCAGCAAGUCUCUUUACUCGUUCUGUAAUGCAUCAUCCCGCAACUAACUCAUUAGUCACAUUACUUGCAAGGCUUAUAGUGAUGUGCAUUACCGAGAGGGCCCAGAGAUACCUCUCCGACAAUCGGAGUGACAAAUCCUAAUCUCGAUCUAUGCCAACUCAACAAACACCAUCGGAGACACCUGUAGAGCAUCUUUAUAAUCACCCAGUUACGUUGUGACGUUCGAUAGCACACUAACUGUUCCUCCGGUAUUCGGGAGUUGCAUAAUCUCAUAGUCAUAGGAACAUGUAUAAGUUAUGAAGAAAGCAAUAGCAACAAACUAAAAGAUCAUAGUGUUAAGCUAACGGAUGGGUCUUGUCAAUCACAUAAUUCUCUAAUGAUGUGAUCCCGUUAAUCAAAUGACAACUCAUGUCUAUGGUUAGGAAACUUAACCAUCUUUGAUUAACAAGCUAGUCAAGUAGAGGCAUACUAGUGACAUUCUGUUUGUCUAUGUAUUCACACAUGUACUAAGUUUCCGGUUAAUACAAUUCUAGCAUGAAUAAUAAACAUUUAUCAUGAUAUAAGGAAAUAUAAAUAACAACUUUAUUAUUGCCUCUAGGGCAUAUUUCCUUCAGUUUUGCCCUAGCCCUAGCACAUCGGUCCCACCGAGUUGAUCUCAUCGGUCCCACCGAGAUUCCUAACGUUCACAUUUUGAACUAAAUCGGUCUCACCGAGUUCUUCUAUUCGGUCUGACCGAGUUGGGUCAAAUGUGUGUAACCGUUGGAUUUUGUGUGGAGGCUAUAUAUACCCCUUCACCCCCUUCGCCAUUUGUGAGAGAGCCAUCAGAACGUGCCUACACUUCCACUACUCAUUUUCUGAGAGAGAACCACCUACUCAUGUGUUGAGACCAAGAUAUUCCAAUACAACCACAAGAAUAUCGAUCUCUAGCCUUCCCCAAGUUGCUUUCCACUCAAAUCAUCUCAUCUUUCCACCAUAGCCAAAUAUGUGAGAGAGAGUUGAGUGUUGGGGAGACUAUUAUUUGAAGCACAAGAGCAAGGAGUUCAUCAUUAACACACCAUCUAUUACCUUUUGGAGAGUGGUGUCUCCUAGAUUGGUUAGGUGUCGCUUGGGAGCCUCCGACAAGAUUGUGGAGUUGAACCAAGAAGUUUGUAAGGGCAAGGAGACACUACGAGGAUUCCGGUCUAUUGCAACAACAAAUAUUGCUACAACUAUAUUUUGUUGCAAUAAAAUGCUAUAUUACCACAAAAUUCCAGUUUGUGGUAACAGGAUCUACAUAUUGCCACAAUUUUGUUUCAACGCGCUAAGUGCUCGUUUUGUUGCAAUAGAAGCCAUAUAUUGCCACAAGCUGCAUCGACGUUGCAAUAUGAUAGUGCUAUUGCAACAGUUCCGUCCCGUUGCGUGAAUGUGUCAUCUUGUUGCAAUAAAGGCUAGGUAUUGCAACAAAGUACAUCUUUGUGGUUAUAUUUAGACAUAUAUUGCAACAAUUCUGACUUGUGGCGCUAGUCAUAGAUACUGUUGCAAAAAACAUGGCUUCGUAUUGCAACAAAGCAUGUAUUGGUUGUAAUAGGGUGACUUUUGCCUCAUCUUCGUUGCGUUGCAAUAACUAUUACAUAUUACGACAAAUUGAGCAUGCAUGGUAAUACGUACAACAUAAUGCCACAAUCCUCUAGUGUUGCCAAAAAGGAGCAGGAUAUUGCAACAAUAUUCUCUACAGUGCUCCUGGUUUUUCCCUUGAUUUAUCAUACUAUUUCUUAGGAUCUGAUUAGAGGGGCGUACUAGUUUAUAGAGGUAUUACCACAUUAGGUACCUCAACUUGCACCUAAGUUGCAUUUUAGUCACAUAUCUUGCAAAGUGGACAUCGGUGGUACCACAACUUGGAGGAACGCUUGCUUACGCGCGUGCAGAGCGUUGCACACUCGCGGACACCCUUCACUUGCUCUACUGACCUCCACUGGUAGCAAGGUCGUCCUCGUCACCGGAAAGAGGGCAAGCUCAGUGCCCUUCUCACAAAGGUGAGUCGUGAGCACUGAGCAGCACACAUUCUCUUCCUAAUUUUUCUUUUUCUUGCUUGAUGUGAUUAUAUGUAUUUAUGUGUGCUGUUAAUAAAAAAGGAGAUUCCAUAUAAAAUUAUGUGUUAAACAGAGAAAUUGAGCAAAGCUGCAUACUAGCUAUUUUCGAACACUCCCAGGCUCCAUUUAAACAGCUCUUCAGCCACCAAUUGAGCAGCAUAACAGUUGUAUCCCAGCUGCUCGCUACUCUCCUUCCCUGAUCUAAUCCCAUCUAGCCGCUGUAUUCUACCUUUCCUCUGCCUCGCUGCUGUACAAUCUGCUCACUGCCGCUGCUGUUCCUCCUCUCCUACACCUCUUGCUGCUGCUCUUCUCCCACGAAACUGUUGCUCCUCUCUUCUCUCAACGCUCCCUGCUACCUCUUUCUUCUUCCACCUGCUGCUGCUUCUCUUUAGAUCCACAACACUGCUGCUCUUCUUCUCAAACAUCCUCUGCUGAAGCUCUUUUCCAAACUGCUGCUGCUCUCUUUCUUUCUCUUUCUCUCACUCUUUCUAUGUGUGCGUGUGUGUGUAGUUGCUGAUAGUUAUUAGUGGAUGCAAGAUCAACUACAUUCAUAUCAGUAUUAGCUCUUUAUGUGUCUGUAUGUCAGCUUGUGUACUGUUCUGAACACCCAAUUUGUGUUUUUUACGUAUUAGUUUCUGCAAUAUAUGUGAAAUUGUGAGUUGUUGGGAUGAUCAUUUUCGAUUAGACUUGUAUUGUCAUACAUUGUGAGUCAUAUAUAUAUAAAUUCGUGAUUGUGGUUAAUUCUAGUAACUGUGGUAUUCCAUAUUUGUGAAUCUCUUGUACAAGUGAGUUCCAUUGUUAUAGAACUCAAUGCUGCUCUACAUCAUCUUAAAUGUCUGCUUGUGAACCAUGUACUAUAAUCUUUCUGCCCCUUAUCCUUAAUGCUUGCCUGUGUUAGUAUUUUACUUUCUCAAGCAAAAUGAAACUACUAAAAAGGCAGAGAGUAUAAUCUGAACCUUCCUUUGCUUCUUUUCAUUUUCCUUGUCGUCGAUUUGCCGGAACAAUCUUAGUUAGUUUAGAUUUACAUCUCCUUGCUAUCAUCAUUUGUAUUCUGUCACCUAGCUUUAGCCGAGCAUAGUCGCCGUCGUCUAGCCCUUGUGGGGAACACGACACUCGCAGUUCGGGCGAAAUAUCCCGCUGUACUUACAAUCGAUCAAAUAAUCAACAUAGAUUUAUACUUUUUGCUAUCUCAUUUAGCUCGAGAUCGACUCGACAUCGUUACAAGCUGAGCAUGAGUCAUGUUCUACAGCUUGACCUUGAGCUUCAUUCAGUUUGAGCUGCCUCGAAUUUUAAUAUGAGUUAAACUGAUUUGAUUUUAUGCAUGCUUAAUGUAUUGCGUUUCUUCUUAAAUUGACUCAAAAUUUUAUGUCUGGUUUACCUACACAAGGGUACAAUGAAUUUUACGAAGGAUGCUCCUGGUACACAACAUCCUUACUUCAUAAUCACCUAUCUGAAUGGUGCAGAACAUCAAUGCUUUGUUAAUGCUAAGUCUCAUGAUUGUUUUUGCGAGCAGUGAAGAAAGGCUCUGUUCUCUUAACACGGAUGGAAAGUAUAACGGCAUACAAAAACCAACGUGGACAACCCAGAUCUGGUAAAUUGUUUAGCAUUUGUAUAAUGCAUAAAAUCUUGAUGUGGGUUAAAUAGCUAAACCUUCAAGACUACUAAAUCUUUUACAGGAACUGCAGAACAAUCUGACACUCCAGUGUCUGCUAAUGACAUGUGUUCCCUUGCUGAAUGGCCAUCCCAUGCUCGCCGCAACUGUGCGCUACUACAGGAUGGUACUUGCUUUCGUUUACAUUUGUGUCAUCAUUUCUUACAAUCUAAUACCGAGUAAUACAAUUUUUCUUGUAUGAUUUGGGCUGUAGAAGCUGGUGGACAGAAGAAGAAAGGGCGAGGUGUUCUAAAGGGUUUUAAAGCAUCUAAGAAGCGUUUUGCCAAUGGAUCUUCAAAGCUAAAUAUUACAUUCUCUGAAAAAUUGGGUGGUACAGUAGGAAUGAACUAUCGUUCGUUCAAGGAUGACGUGGUAGUCAUAAUGAAAAGAAAGUUACCACUCAUUGGAGUGAGGACGUGGUCGAACAUUCACCCUACCAUUCAUCGACUCAUUGUUGCAGAUAUGAUAGUGCGUACAACCUUUUUGACAUGUGUUAUCUUAUUUUACCAUUGAUAAUGCACUGCUUAUGUAUAUUUAUUUGUUGUAUGCUUUACAGGACAGAUGGGACCUGGAAGAUACACCAGAAACAGAAGAAAAAGUUCUCAAAAUUGUGAAAGAGAGAUAUAGAGGCUGGCGAUCAACUCUAAGCUCCACUUACAAGGCAUACAAAAUAGAUGCAGCUAGAUUGGCUAAUCUGCCGGAAGAUUUACAACCAGAAGAGUGGGAAUGGAUGAUUGAGUACUUGGCACUGAUUCAAAAUUUCAGGUUAUCUCUAAGAUCACGGUUUGUCUAUUAUGUGUUAAGAUGAAAUGGCUAGUCUCACUAGUUAUAUAUGGUUUCAAUGAAUUGAUAGGAACGCAGCCAAAAGAACACCGAUAACCGUAAGAAACAGAAGAGAAAACACAUAAUCGGAUCAAAAUCUUACUCGCAAGUUAGUUUUGAGAAGGUAUGAGUCCAACCAAAUAUGUAUGCCUCGCUGCUAAAUAUGGUGUCAUGUUUCAAGCAUCUCAUUGUUAUAUUACUUGCAGAGAAACUUGGAAACUGGAGAAGAGCCAGAUUGUAUUGCUCUGUGGGAACUCACCCACACAAACGAUGGAACAUGGUCUAACACAGAUUCCCAGAAAGUUUACGUGAGUACACUGACUUUUGGUUAUUCUAUAGUUAGUCAAUGAUGUGCAUUUGGCAUGUUUCAUCAUCAGAUGCAAUUAUGCGUUGGACCGUGUCAUUCUUGUUUCAUCUUUUAUAGUGUCAAUAUUGAUUCCGCACCUAUAAUUGUUCCUUUCGUUUUUUGGACAAAGCACUUCAAGAGGUUAAAAACAAAGAAACUGAAACUAAAGGUCCACUUUCAAGUGAGCAGAAAAACAAUAUUUUCCAGACCGCUUGCAAAGACACUCUGGAAUGCAAGUCAUCGCAGCCUCGUGGGUACGGAUACAUGGCCAAAACUUCAACUGGUUCUGAAAGGUUCCGUAUCCAGAUUGAAGAGCAAGCUCGUGCUACAGCAGCCACCCAGGAGCAAAACUCUCAGCUCAGCCAGCAGGUCAACGACUUAGAUCAACUACAAGCUGAACGUGCUAACACACAAGAGAGGAUUAACUUGGAGCGUGCUGAGAGAGAAUAACUUGAGGAGAGGUUAAAAGAAGAGCGUGCUGAAAGGGAAAGAUUGUUGCAAGAGGAGCGAACAUCAAGACUGGAAUUUGAAAAAGACAUGAUGGCAAAGUUUGUAGAAUUGAUCAAACAGUUGGGAACCCAACAGUUGAUUACAGUCAUAUGCUUCCGACCUUGUAAGAUUUAUGUUGCUUACUUGCAUUGCUAAAAGUGCACUUCUAUUACAGGUGCCUACGAAGAGGGUUGACAAAGAAAAUAGUAAUCCAAACUUGCAAAAUAUUCCUUUACAGAGAUCUAGUCCUAAUAAGACUCUAGGUUCAAGGCCAACUGCUAUUUCUUCAAAUGCGCUCAUACAAGCUGCAGCAAGGCAAUCUCGAAUGUUUAAAGCAAUGGUAAGUCACAACCUUGCUUUCUCUUCAUAUUCACCUGCAUUUUGUACGUCAUUGGUCUUAAGAAUUAGCUAGUUUCUUCUUCUCUUUUACCAUGUGUUGUUGCUGCAUCGAGUCACAACUUAAAGAUAAAACGAAUAUGUGCUAGCUAGGGACAUGAACUUAACUGAAACUAUACAUCUAGUCAUAACUUGAAUCAAUAACAGAAGCUUUUAGUAGAUGUACGAUCGGACGAUGGCACCAUUUUGUAUGCACGAGCAGGAUGUCAUGAGCAUGCGCGUGAUGCCUUCGCUGAUGAGUCCACUACAAUGUCCCAUGCAGUAUCUAUUGGCGCUAAUAUGGGGGUCGUGAGGGUCGUUUUUUAAACGGACUCGCAACUCCUGAUGGAAGCACUUAAUAUCAAUAAGGUGGACUCGUUGGCCUAUGCUGCUGUUAUUGAGGAUACCAAGUACCCGCUCAAAUUAUGGUUUUCUUAUUAUGAAAUUAAUGUAUGUCGUCGCUUGGCAAACUCUGUUGCUCAUGAGCUUGGUAGUCUUGGUAGGAUGUUAGAAUCUAACCAGUAUUUGGAAUGGGAGGUCGAUGUACCAGCCUUUGUGGCUGCCAGUGCUUUGGGUGAUUCAACCUAGCACCGUUAAAUUAAAAGCAAUGUUUUUUUCUCAAAAAAAUAAGCUUUUAGUAGAUGUACUUGUGGUUAUGCCUUAGACAUUUACACUUGUAUAGUUGUUCUGAUCCCUUAGUUACAUGCUUCCUGACACAGUAUUAGCCAAUGGGGCCGGAAUAAUUGUAUGGCGUAUCUUAUGUUCGACUCAUUAACUAGAACUUUUUUUAUUUCUUGAUUGCAGGAACCAAAGAACUAGCUGGACUGGACACUAGAUCACGGGCAGUUUAGUCUUCGAAGUUAAUUAGGAUGGCUAAAUUACAUUUGAGUUUCAUUUGAUGGAUAUUUUCUAUGAGAAUUAUGAAUUUUAUGAAUCUACAUAUUAUAUGUAUGGUUUUGAAUAUUGUAAUCGCCUGUAUUUUUUUACAGUUGCAACAGACUAUUACCACAACCCACUUUUGGUUGCCAUAUACUAGCACCACUAAAAAUGUAGUGUUGCGUCAUAUCUUAGUUGCUACGCCUAUCUGUUUUGUUGCACUAGGAUGUUGCAACGGAGCACUUUAUAUUGUUGUAAUAGCUUGGCGCCACAAAAAAUUUCACGAUGUGAUAACAGUUUGGCGCCACCAAAGUAAGUUUGUUGAAAUAGAGUAUUGCCACGAAAGUUUAAAUUGUCGCAAUAAUUUCUCGCUACAAAGAUAUCACUUGUUGUGAUACCUAUUUAUCACCAUCAAAACAAGUAUGUUGCAAUUUCCUGUUACGACGAUUGGAAUAUUUGUUGCCAUAAGUUAAUGCCACAAGCGCAAUGGGUCGUAGCAACAUGCCUAAUGCCACGAAAAUAAGUAUUGUUGCCAUAGUUUAUUGCCACAAGUAUAGUGGGUCGUGGCAACAUGCCUAAUGCCACGAAAACAAGGAUUGUUGCCAUAGUUUGUUGCCACAAUUGACUAUUGCCACGGAAGAGUAAUGCGCCACGAAAUGGCCGUCGUUGGCAUAGGUUGUUGCCACAAAUGUCUAUCGCUACGAGAUAUCAGUAUCCACAAUUUGUUACAUGUUGUAUUAAAGCUAUCUCCACAAAUAAAUUGUGGUAUCAGGUGAGUGUUGCCACGGGAAAACAUGUGCCAACAUCCCGCAUGGAUGUUGCAAUAGCACACUUUAUUGCCACAAUUGCUUUUUCGUGGUAAUAACCUAUUACCAUGUGUCCAGUCGCAACGGCCGCCAACGAAUGUCGUUUCGUGGCAAUACGUACUUAUCGCCACGAAACAGCAUGUAUUGCAACAAACGAUUUUGUUGCAAUAGACCCGGAUCCUUGUAGUGAGAUCGCCUAUUUCGUGAAGAUCUACCCGAGUGAGGCAAGUCCUUCGUGGGCAAUGGCCAUGGAGGGAUAGACAAGGUUGCUUCUUCGUGAACCCUUCAUGGGUGGAGCCCUCCAUGGACUCACGCAACCGUUACCCUUCGUGGGUUGAAGUCUCCAUCAACGUGGAUGUACAAUAGCACCACCUAUCGGAACCACGCCAAAAAUCUUCGUAUCUACAUUGCGUUUGCACACUCCAAUCUCAUCCCCUUACUUUCUUGCAAUUAGCAUGCUUUACUCUUUCCGCUGCUUAUACUCUUGCCAUGCUUGCUUGAAAUGUAUUGUGAAUGCUUAAACUUGUGCUAAUACUUCAUCUCAACUUGAAGAACUUAAAAAUUGCCACUUUUGCUUGUUGAUGGUCUAAUCAACCCCCCCCCCCCCUCCUCCUCUAGACCCCUCUUCUCGAUCCUUUCACCAUGGUGAAAAAUGUGGUAUUCUAGUGAGUCACUUCAUGUAUGUUUUGGUAAUCAACUUGCGGUUUGUCGAGGUGACAUUAGGGUAAUCUAGGCACAUAGGUUGAUACACGUUUUCAUCUUACUUUCUCCCAUACAAACAUUGGGUACUCUUUCAAGUUCUUUGCGUUGUUUUGAUAUUAUGAAUCUAAAAUUGUUUGAUACAUAUCGAAUAAUUGACUCACGGAUACUUGUGGUGACAUUGGAGUAUCUAAGUGACAUUAGAAUUGAUUGAUGCGUAUCAUAUGGUGUUAUUUUAGUACAAACUGUUGGGCUGUUUGUGACACUUACAGAGAUGGCUCAAUAGAUUGAUCGAAAAGAUAACUUUGAGGUGGUUCGCUACAUGCAAAAAUUUCAUCUUAUGUUCUCCCUAUUAAUAAGAAUUUUGGAGUGAUUCUUUGUCGCACGUUGAAAGAUGGUUAUAUGAGUCAAUUAUAUUACCACUCCUGAGAGAUUGCACUAAUGAAAGUAUGAACUCUAGGCCUUGUUUUCAAUCAUCACAACACUGUUUGUGCUCACUUUUAUUACUUGCUACUUAUUGUUUUUAUUAUUUCAGAUAAUAAGAACCUAUAUCCACUAUUCAUACUACACUUAUAUCACCAUUUCUUCACCGAACUAGUGCACCUAUACAAUUUAUCAUUGUAUUGGGUGUGUUAGAUUUCUUGUAUUUGAUUUUAGGGUUGUUUCAAAGAGACCAUCUUCAUCCUACACCUCCCCCAAUAAAGUCUAUAAAAAAUAAAGUUGUAUAGUAGACAUCAUACCUCUCGUCGCCUGAAUCUUAUUCAUGGACUUAUACUACACUUAUACAACUGGACCGGCCUAUUCUUAGCAUUUUCUUCGUCUGCGCUGGCUCGCUUCAUCGUUGGCUGCGCUAUGGUUUUCUUCGUUCUUUUUCUGUUUUCUUUGUCUCUAUAAGUUUUCUAUGGGUUUUUUGUUCUUCUCUAUUUUUAGAUGGUUUCUCUUUGUUUUUUUUUUUGGAGNNNNNNNNNNNNNNNNNNNNNNNNNNNNNNNNNNNNNNNNNNNNNNNNNNNNNNNNNNNNNNNNNNNNNNNNNNNNNNNNNNNNNNNNNNUGCAGAGGUUUUCCUCCUUUUCUUCGCUUUUCUUUGUUUCUUUUUAGAUUUCCAUCCUUCGUUUUCUUAGGUUCUUUCUCUUUUUUAUUGAUUUUGCUCUUUUACAUUUGUUUUCUUUUUUCCUUUCUUUGUUUUCUUCUUCUUCCAUUUUUCUCAGCUUUCCUUUAAUUUUUUUGCGGUUUUCAUCGGUUUUUUAUUUUUAAAAAUUAUAUAUAAUUUUUUAAUUUUAUAAUAUAUAAUUGUUUUUUAAGAUAUAUUUUUUUAUGUCUAACUUUAAGAUAUAUUUUGCUCUUUUAGGGUUUUUUGUCGUUUAAGCACGAAAUGAGCAGGUUCAAUGGAACCACUUUCGUGCUUUGGAUUGCUAUUUGACGCAAAAUGCAUCAUGUAGCGCGAAAGCUAUAUCUCGCACUAAAUGCGAGAGUAGCUCUCCUCUCGUCUGAAUGAAUAUACAGCACGGCCUAUUCUUAGCAUUUUCUUGUCCGCGCUCGCUCCAUCGUUGACUGCGUUCGCUGCUCUUUUCUUCCUUUUCUCCAUUCUAUUUUCUUUGUUUCUUUACCUGUUUUCUAUGGAUUUUUUGUUCUUCUUUAUUUCUCAAAGUCCUCUUUUUUUAUUUUUCACUAUUUUUCAACCUUUUUUUUUGUUUUCAAUUGCUUUGCAGAGGGUUUUUUCUUUUAUCUUCGGUUUCUUUGUUUUGUUAUUUUCAAUUGUUUCCUUUGCUUUACUUGGUUCUCAUUGUUUCCACUUCUUAGCAUUUGUUUUCUUCCGCAUUUUUUCUUUNNNNNNNNNNNNNNNNNNNNNNNNNNNNNNNNNNNNNNNNNNNNNNNNNNNNNNNNNNNNNNNNNNNNNNNNNNNNNNNNNNNNNNNNNNNNNNNNNNNNNNNNNNNNNNNNNNNNNNNNNNNUUUCUUUGUUUUACUUUGAUUGUUCUUUAUUCCUUUCUUUGUUGUCUUUAUUUUUCUUCAGCUUUUCUUCGCUUUCCUUUUGUUCUUUGUCGAUUUUCACGUAUUUUUAUUUUAUAACAAUAUUUGUUUAAGCAGAAUUAACUUUAUUAAUAUAUACAUACAUAUUGAUGUCUACUUUUCUUUAAUGUACGUUGCAUUUUUUGUAUAUGUCAAAAAUAUUUGCUAUACAUGUUUAACAUUUUUUGUAUACAUGAUUAAUUUUUUUUCACACUGUAAAAUAAGUAUAUGUAUUUUUAUAUGCAUUAUUUCUUUAAAUUUUUUUACUUAUAUUACUUAAAUACUUCAUAAAUUUUUUAAAAUGUUUGAUUAAUAUUUUUUAAAUAUUCAAAUUUUUCAUACACGUAUUUUUUUAUGCAUGAGAAUUUUUCCUAUACACACUUACCAUUGCUUGAUUAUUUUUUAAUAUUGUGCAGGGAGGCCAGAGAAGCUGAGCUUCCUGUGCACACCCUGAUGGUGCGCACCGUGAAGCCGUGCUUGCAUAUUUGCACCAGUAGCCCGCAUUUAGGCCACGAUCCACGCAGCAGCCGUGCUGAUACGUGUCGCCGUCCAUCAAGAACACUGCAAAACGGUUUUCCAAACGAGACACCAAGCAACCAACAGUCCCAACACACACCCAUGUAUACCGGCGAUCGAACACAUGAAAGAGACAAAGUCACAGUACACAUACAUAGCUCGGCGACGCUAGUAGAUUUACAGAAGAAACGAGAUAAAGCACCACAAAAGUACGCACGCACCACGAUGACACAGACCGCCACAAGUGAAGUAACCGAGCAAGCGCGGACGAGCUAGCACGGGCGCACGCCUAGACCUUGGUGAAGCGGAGGUACCCCUUCUUGGAGGGCAGGUCGGCGGUCUCGAACCCCUGCGGGAACAUCUUCUUGGCCUCCUCGUCGGAGACGCCGGGCGCGAUCACCACGCACUCCCCGGGCUUCCAGUUGGCCGGGGUGGCCACCUUGUGCUUGGCCGCCGUCAGCAGCGAGUCCACGGCCCGCACCACCUCGUCCAUGUUCCGCCCCGUGCACGACGGGUACAGGAAGCUCAGCUUCACCACCUUGUCCGGCCCCACGAUGUGCAGGGUGCGGGACGGCAGCUGCCCCUGGCCGUCCUUCUCGUCCGGGUCGACCAUGUUGAGCUGCUUGAUGGCGGAGCGGUCCGGGUCCGCCAUGAUCGGGUACGUCACCCUGCUCCCAGGCUGCACGCGCGACAACAGAGAAAUUAACCAACCAUGCAUGGCUAAUCGAACACGGAUUAUGGGCGAACCUUGUUGGCGCCGCCGCUCCUCGGAACGCCGCUUCUUCUUCCUCACACAACUCUCCCUUCCUCUUGGUUCUCUCAAGAACACACACCAUGGAAGAAACCCAGAAAAAACACACGCACACACACACCAGGGAAGGAAGCCAACUAGCUUUGCCAAGAGGCUCUCCUCCUGGGUCACACAAGUGCUACAUCUUUUCUGCCAGCUCUCACGGCUCCUCUACACAACAGCACCGGGGCCCUUUUAAUACACAGACUUACGCCCAGCCCAGCCGCCCAGAUCGGCCACUAACCCCAAGCACUAACUACAGCACGCAUGCACCACACCGGCCACUACCACAUGACCGGGCCACUAACCCACUAGCUACAUGCAUGCAACUAGAUAACUACCUUAUCCAUGCACUCCAGGACUGGGCAACUCCACCGGACGCCCCGCUCGUAACAUCCGCGGGACUCGGCUGCUAACAGAAUCACACACGUCAAGAUUAGUGCUAACAUUCCCCCCCUUAAUCUUGACACGCCUUGCCGUCGUCGAAGUUGUUGCAGCUGCCGUCGUUAUCGUCGUCACGAGCGUGACCCAGCUUGCGGACCCGACCUGGCGCAACGACGCCGGUCGCACCGUGCUCCGUCACGACUCCGGCGACACACGCCGAGCUCCAUCUCCACCAGCGACACACGCCUGGCAUCCCUCUGCGUCCCGCACGUCCCGCACGCAUCCGACGUGCCCGACGAACCCGACAGCACCAGACGCUCACCGCGUGUCGCCUCCGCGUCCGCCAUGGCAGCCGCCACGCCGCGCCUCCGUGCCACGCACCUUCCACGGUUGUCGCCCCGAGCCGUCGCGACCUUUGCGCCACCACGAAGGUCUUUCGCGACCUCCUCGUCUCCGCGACCGCCGUGCCCUUCGCGCACACUCCCCACGUCCCCGCGCUCCCAGCCCGCGCUCCCGCCGCGCACGUACGCGGUCUGCGCAACCAGGUCCAGCGCCUCGACGCGGUCCACUCCCGCGGUCCCGACGCGCUCGACACGUCCAGUGCGCGCCCAUAACACGCACCGGUCGCGUCCGGCUCGCCGCCACGUCUUAUUGCCCUGCACCGCUGCGGCCUCCAUGCCGCCAUGCCGUGCUGCGCCGCCGCGCCACCACGCAGCGCCUCGGCGGCCUCCGUGGUCGCCGCACGCACGACGUCACCGCCCGCCGCAUCCGCCACGCGCCAUGAGAGCCACAGCGCCGCCCACCUCCAUGGGCCGACACACGGCCCGGAGCUCCAUCGCGCAGCCGCCGGCGAGCGCCACCAUCGCUGCCACGCCUCCGGCACGGCAAGCACGCCCAAGACACCAAGCUCAUGAUACCAAAUGUUGGCGCCGCCGCUCCUCGGAACGCCGCUUCUUCUUCCUCACACAACUCUCCCUUCCUCUUGGUUCUCUCAAGAACACACACCAUGGAAGAAACCCAGAAAAAACACACGCACACACACACCAGGGAAGGAAGCCAACUAGCUUUGCCAAGAGGCUCUCCUCCUGGGUCACACAAGUGCUACAUCUUUUCUGCCAGCUCUCACGGCUCCUCUACACAACAGCACCGGGGCCCUUUUAAUACACAGACUUACGCCCAGCCCAGCCGCCCAGAUCGGCCACUAACCCCAAGCACUAACUACAGCACGCAUGCACCACACCGGCCACUACCACAUGACCGGGCCACUAACCCACUAGCUACAUGCAUGCAACUAGAUAACUACCUUAUCCAUGCACUCCAGGACUGGGCAACUCCACCGGACGCCCCGCUCGUAACAUCCGCGGGACUCGGCUGCUAACAGAAUCACACACGUCAAGAUUAGUGCUAACAAACCUUGUAGGCCUCGAUGUCCUUGGUCCACUCCUUGUGGGACUGCACGUCGUCGCAGGAGAUGCCGAGCAGCUUCACGCCCCGCUUCUCGAACUCCUUGGCGUAGUUGGCCAUGGCCGCCAGCUCCGUCGUGCACACCGGGGUGAAAUCACCUGAACAGUACAGAGCCGCAGACAACCAAUCAGCACCAGAACAGAACUUCACAAGGAUUACGAUCGAGCAGGCCGUGAAGGCGUACACACGUACCGGGGUGGGAGAAGAGGAUGACGUAGCCGUUGCCGACGUAGUCGUGGAUGCGGAUCUUGCCAUGGGUGGAGUCCAGCUCCAGGUUGGGGACGGUGUCGCCGAUGGUGAGGCCCGGCAUGAUGGAUGAAGAACUGAAAGCUAGCUACUGCGUGCUCUUUGAUGCUGCAAACUGCUCUCGAUGGAUGACGGCGAGGGCGCACCGGGGAGCUGCUUUUAUAGGAGCGGUAGGCCGGCGAGGGUGUGUGUAGAAGUGGCAGCAAGGCGCGUUGCAUGAGGGCCACGUACUUGGCCUCGUGGCAGCCCGCCGGGUGACCUUGUUCAAUGCGCUUGACCUGCCCACCGACGCACACCGUCCAGCGGGGCAGUGGGCAUGCCGUGUGGCGAAGCCAUUCAGAAGCUCACGGCCACCUGUGCGAGCUGCGGCAUCGUCCGUCAACUCUUUUUUCAGAAAUGUUUUCUAGAAGUAUUAACUGACUGCUGUCAGAUUUUUGUCCUUCCAGCGAACACGUCAGUUAUCGUUGGAUGAGAUUGAGACACACGAAUCUUGAUGUAAGGAGCAUUGCCAUGCCAGAUAAAAAAAAAACAUUCCCUGAACUGGCUUCUAUACGGACGAAUCGACCUAUCUCCUUUCUCUCUCAAUCCCUAUCUCCAUUCCUCACGGUGAGCUCCAACACCCGCUCGCGCUGUCAAUUUCGAGGUUGACGCGGCUGCGACGAAGCGGCCGGCGGUGUUGAGGAGGCAGACGGCAGCGGCUCUACUUUCUCUCAUAAUCCAUAUUCCAUCCUUGACGGUGUAACCAUGGCAAAUUUAUUCUUUACAUCAUAGCAAAUUUUUUUCAUGGAACGGCUUUGCCUCACAUGUCAAAGUGCAUAUAUCUUCUUUUCUUGGUGGGUGGGUGUGUGUGCAACUUUAUUAUAGGGUGCAUGGCAUUUUAGUGGUCAAACGACAAAUUUGCAUGAAUGUUUUAAUUGUUCCCAUGGCAAUUUUCUUCUCAUGGAGAGUCAAUUGCAAGAAACCACCACAUUUGUGGCUAGGUUUGCAGGAAACUACCAAGUCGUUAAUCUGUUGCAAAAAACACCGUAAAAUCUCUUAACCCGUUGCAAAAAGCACUGAACAGCCGUUUAGCCUCGUUUGAUCUCUUUUCCGACAGGUGGGCCGCGAAAACGCUAACGUGGCGUGCGGACAGGCAAACGGCGCCGUUAGGAAAGAAAACGGUCAACACGCCGCGCGGUCGGUCCUGUCGGUGCUCGCCAGACAGAUGCCCCGCGCCCUCUCUCUCUCUCGCCCCUCUCCUCUGCCUCCUCUCUCUGGCUCUGGUCGCCGUCGGUGAGAAGCCAGCUGGCCGCCGUCCGCCAUGGUUUCGUGGAGCGACGACAGCGAGGAAUCGGGCUACGAGUACUCUUCAGGCGGCUCCCCUAUCAAGGUCAGUGAUUUGAACUCGUAGCUAGGGUUCUUUGAGCAAUGGUUUCGGUUUGGGGAUUUUGUUUUUCCUGCUCGAUUUGAACCCGUGAGAUGGAUUUUGUGCGUUUCUUUUGUUGAUGUAGAUCCCGGCUACAAUCGAGGACCCGAACUACUCUGGUGUUGAUGAUGAGGUGAUGGUGAUGUGUGAGCAUGGCCAGCCGGCGAAGAGGCAUGUUUGCUUCGAAGGGAUUAGCACUGGGAGGAGGUUCAUUGCCUGUGGACUUGAUGUGAGUGCUAGCAAAAAUCUGUAGUUUGCUCAUUUUGUGAAGAAACUAUAAAUUGUUCAUAUGCACUGUUCAUUGUUCAUGUUCACUGUUCAUUGUUCAUGUUCACUGUUCACCUAGUAGUUUAGUUAAAGGUACUGUCAUGUACCAUACCAUAGUGACUGAGUGAAGUAAAUGAAUUGUUCAUACAUAUAAAUGAACUACACCACAGUGAUAUAAAUGAAGUAAAUGAAUUAAAUUGUGCUAUUAAAAAUUAAGUACAAAGAUAUAAAAUUAAGGUAUCCAUAGUGCAUUGUUCAUAGAUAUAAAUGAAUUGAACUGAAUUGUAUUGUGCUGUUAAAAAUUAAGGUAUAAAUGAAGUAAAUUCAGUGUAGUAUGCUGUUAAAAAUUCAGAUAUAAAUUCAGAGUUGAGCUGAAUUGUGCAUGUGCAGUAUACUAUAGUUGUUUUGUACUUGUACUUGUUGUUUGCUAAUAGACUGAAUAGAAUUGCCAGCAGUUGUGGUGUUGUUCAUUGGGUAGAUGAGGAGUGGCCAGAAUAAAAGUGAAGUGAAAAAGGAAGUAAAUGCAUUUGUACUUGUUGUUUUGCAGGAAGUAAGCAGUUGUGGUGUUGUUCAUUGGGUAGAUGAGGAGUGGCCAGAGCAUCUGCAGAAUGCUCUUCACAAACUAUGGCUUUUGUAUGAGGAUUGCUAGCGUGCUAAUAGGAUGGCAUGUCUGGAACAUUCAUGUCCACAAUCUCACAUCACAGAAGAACAAGCUACAGGAGACUUAUGAGAAGCUUGUUGAGGAUGUGAACAACCUACUUGAUACCCAGGACAAUAUUCCCAAGGAAAAUGAAGUCCAACAAGGUGAACAUGAGGAGAUCACUCCUCCUUUGGACAACAAUAUUUCAGCUUUGAAGGAACAGCUGGGUGCAAUGGAUGCUGAGAACAAAGAACUGAAGCAAAAGGUUGACCAGUUGAAGAGCAUUCAGGUUGCCCAAGGUAAUGUGAUUAGGAAUCUGAAGUUUGCUCAUUUGAAGGAGAAGGAAAAGUUGAGCACUGAGAGGAGGAAUUUGGAGUUUCACAUUGCUGAUCUUGUCAAAGCUAGUGACAAGAACAAGAGAAAGCUUAAGGACAUCAAGGAUAUUUGCGAUGAAGAGUGAUUUGUAAUCUGACCAUGUGGGUCAUUAUCUUAGGUUUCAAGCAUUGAACUAUGGCUUGUAAUGUGUGAACUAGUGACAGUUUGCAGUAUUUGAAGUAGGGUGUAGCCUUGAACUAUGUCUUGUAAGCUUUGAACUAUGGUGUCAUGAUGUUAACUAUGUUGUUAACUAGAGUUAUUGGAUACUGUCAUGAUGUUAACUAGAGUUGUUGGAUACUGUCAUGAUGUUAACUAUGUCAUUGAUGUUAACUAUGGCACCCUAAAUGAUGGAAUGAGGAUAUGUAUCAUAUUAGGUUAUCGUGGAUGCCGUCGACGCCGAGGCACCCUAGAAGAUCAUAUUAGGUUAUCGUGGAUGCCGUCGACGCCGAGGCACCCUAGAUGAUCAUAUUAGGUUAUCGUGGAUGCCGUCGACGCCGAGGCACCCUAGAUGAUCAUAUUAGGUUAUCGUGGAUGCCGUCGACGCCGAGGCACCCUAGAUGAUCAUAUUAGGUUAUCGUGGAUGCCGUCGACGCCGAGGCACCCUAGAUGAUCAUAUUAGGUUAUCACACUUAUUAGCAAACAAUAACCAGAAAGUACUCAACCAAAAUAAAGAUGUUUUGAACAUCAUCAGCUCACCACAGACCAACAAGUCCACUAGGUACCUUACAUGAAAGUACUCAUGACAACCAGAAUAAAGAUGUUUAGAACAUGUUUAGAACAUGAAAGUACUCAUGACAACCAGAAGCAACACAAGUUUUGACCACAAAUUAACACAACUUCACCUGCUCCCUUGAGAACAGUUGAACCACUCAGACAUCUUAAAGGAUGGCUUCCUCACUCUUCCACUACCUGCAACUCUUGGGGGGAUGAACUUGUUUCUUCCUCUUGGCCCAGCAGCAGUAGAGGAACUUGGACCAGCACCAGCAGUAGAACUUGGACCAGCACCAGCAGUAGAAGUUGCAGUCCUUAUAGUUUUAGCUUUCUUUGUUGCCCUUGUAGCAGGAGGAGCAACAGCUGCAGUAGGAGCAGAAGGAGCUCUCCUUGGUGCACUGGGAGCUGAAGCAGGAGCAGAAGGAGCUCUCCUUGGUGCACUGGGAGCUGAAGCAGGAGCAGAAGGAGCUCUCCUUGAUACCCUUGGAGCCCUUGGAGCUGGUGGAGCUGGAGCUGCAGUUUGAGCAGCAGCAGGAGCAGAAGGAGCACUUCUCCUUGGUGGCAUGGGAGCAGGAGCAGAUACAGUUCUGGGUGUAUCAUCUCUCCUGUUUUCCUGAAAUUAUAGCAUACAAAUGUUAGAAACUAGUAUGUGAAAUUGUACAAAAACCUACAACAAUAGUUACCUGGUGCUGGUUCAUUCUCAUAGCUAGGGAUGGUUUAAGAGCCUGCUUGCAACUAGUGUAUCUAUGCCCAGUCCUAUUGCAAUUGCUACAAGUGAUAGUUCCCAUCCUAGAUGUAUCCUUUGGAGCUGGCUUUUCAAACUUGCUCUUUCUCCUCUUUGUCUCUUUGUUUCCUGGCUUUUCUUUGAACACUGGUGGUUCAAUGUCAGGGGUUCUAGUCUUUGGCCACAAAUCAGGCCCAGGCACAGGGAAAACUAUUAGACUAUAAGCUGCCUUAUACAUUGGUUUCUUGAAGAAAUCAUGAACAAAAUCUUCUGGCUGUAGUUUUGCCUUGUUGAUUGCAGAAACACCAUGAUUGCAAGGUACUCCACACAUGUCCCACUUCCUACAACCACAUGUAUGUAGCAACAAGUUAACUGCAUAUGUGCUUUCUCCACUUGUCACCUGGAAGAGAUCAGGUCCAGCUUUGAUAGACUGACAAAACCUAGAAUGAUGUUUUGCUUCCUCUAGCUUCUCAGCAUAUUUUGGGCAUAUCUGCCACUUAGCAGUCUCAGUCUUUGUCCUAUUUGCAUUGAACUUCACUAACAGCUUUGUCCUGAUCCCAUCUACCAUAGUUCUAAUGGGUUUGGCUCUGACAUCAAGUAUCAUCUUGUUAAAAACUUCACUUAUAUUGUUCACUACCAAGUCAGUUUUGCAAUUGUUGUCCAUGGCAUGCCUAGCCCAUGUAUGUUUUGGUAUCCUAGAUAGCCAUUUCCAAGCUGGCUCACACUCCUUUUUCAUGCCUUCCAUUGCAGUUACAUAACCAUGCUCAGUAUAGGAAUAACUUGCCUGAUACAUGUAUUUCUUCAACUCUUCCCCUCUAAAACCAGCAGUUUGAAAGUUCUGAUAAAUAUGUCUAAGGCAGAAUCUUUGUUUGCAAUUGGGGAAUACAUUGUUUAUGGCUGUAAGAAGGCCCUGUUUGAAUGAACUACAGUUUGAGAAUACUACAACAAUGCCAUGUAUGAAAUUAAUAAACAAAGACAAUUAAUAAGCAAUGCAAGCAAUGAAUAGAGUAGAGAUAGUAGUACCUUUUGCCUGUCAGAUAUAAUGGUGUAGUAGCCAAACUUGCCUGACUCACCACCAAUGGCAUAUUUUAAUUGAGUAAGAAACCAAGACCAGCUUGCUGUGUUUUCCUUGUCCACUAUUGCAAAAGCAAUGGGAAAUAUGUUAUUGUUUCCAUCUCUUCCAGUGGCAGCCAAGAUUUGCUGCCCUGUUGUCAACUUUAUGAAGCAACCAUCAACACCUAUCAUACAAGAUCACAAGUAGAUUACCAACAAAUUAGUGGGUGUGCACAUAUAAAUGUAGAGUCACUAGUUAAUUAGUAGGUGUGCACAUACCUAUGAAUGGUCUGCAACCAUUAAGGAAACCCUCUUUGCAAGCAUUGAGGCAGAUGAACAAGCCAUGGAAUCUUGGGUUUUUGCUUGGAUGUAGUUUCAGGUGCUUUGUUGUGACAAUGCAUCUACUUCCUGGAUUGGUUUCUAGCACAGCUUCUAGGUAAUCCCUUAUCCUAUGAUAUUGUGCCUUCUGAUCUCCUAGGACUACAUUUUUAGCUAGCUUUCUUGCCCUAUAGGUCAUAUGUAUAGAUACCUCUAUUCCAUGCUUUUGCUUCAAGUUUGAAAUUAUAGUCUGGACAGGUGUGUUGGGGUCUGUCCUCAACUGUUGCUCACAUUCAUGUGCCAACCACUUAGCAGUAACUUUUGUGCUCUCUCCUACUACUGGGCAGCUGUGGUGCAAGUUCAGUUUCUUUAUACAGAAUGUCUUCUCAUGUGCUAUCUGAGAAGCUGCAAUGAAAAAUGGACAAUUCUCAAAUUUGCAGACAGCUAUAAUCCUGUCUGGACAGUUCCUGUGGAAGGCAUGGUUCCUAUUUUGUGAGAUGUGAAAAUUAAGAAGUGCCCUCCUGAACUGGGUCACAUCUAGGAAACAAAGCUUCUUCAUAAAUUGCUCUUCUGGGUUCUCCCUUUGCUCAUCAUACCAAACUCUAGGCUUCCUCUUUUUAGCCCUGCUCUUCCUAUCAGCUGGAAGCUUCACACAUGGUAUUUGAGCCCCAUCAUUGUCCUCCUCACUUAGGUCACCAGGGUUGCUCUCCUCAUCAGAUGAAGGAAACCAAUCUUCCUCAAUAAUCUCAUCCAAACUAGAAUGAGAUCUUGUAGUUGGCCCCUUUCUUUUACUUCCUCCUAUGCUGCUCCCUUCCUCCUCCUCCUCUGGUGCCUUCUCCUCCUCCUCCUCCUCUGGUGCCUUCUCCUCCUCCUCCUCCUCCUCAUCUGCUUCAUAUGGCUCAUCCACAUCAGUGUCCCCUUCAAUAUGAUGAAGUGGAUCAUCUCUAUGCUUCUUCAUUGCCUCAAGCCUAGCAAUUAUAUCCUCAUCUGCUAGUAAAUCUGUGUCACUGUCACUAUCAGUGAAAUCUUCAGCCAUUAGCUCUGGAAGUUUUCUUUUAGCUGCCUUGUAUUUCUCUUUUUCUUUCCCCUUUUCCUGAACUUCUCAAUCUCUUCAUUCCUCUUCUGCUCCAUCAGUUGCUCAAUUUGCUCUUGAUCUUGGUCUUGCUCCAUUGCAAAUUCUGCUACUGGUGCACACUUCUGCUUCAAAAAUGUACUCUCCUGUGUGUUAAUGACCUGCACGGGCACUUGUUGUGGCUUUGUUGGGCUAGGAAACAGUACUCCUGUUGUAUCUAUCUCAUACACCACUGGCACACCUAUUUCAGAUAAUGGAACCUGCUCCUCACAAACUGGUCCAAUGUUCAAAUCACUAGGUCUUGGAGCAUCACUUCUGAUGACUGUUAUGUUCACCACCUUCUGACCUUUGACAACUAGGUCAUCCAACAUUUCCUCCACCUUAUCAUCAUCUGUCAGUUCUUCCAUACCUGAAACCCCAACACCUGGAUCUCUGACAUAAUACAUAAAGUCUGUCAUCCCAUAUCCUUCAAGCUCUAUUAGUGCAAUCAGAUUGUAAAAUGUGAUAUCAUCCACAUUUAGGUUUCUUUCAAGAUUAUCUCUGUCAUGGAAAUGGAAUCUGACUUCCCACACUUCAUCAUUCAAUCUACAGUUCAAGUAAAGCAAUUCAGUUAAAAGUUCAGUUAAAAGUUCAGUUAAAAAUACAGAUUCAGUUCAAAAUUCAGUUAAAAGUUCAGUUAAAAAUUCAGUUAAUGUUUAGGUGCCUACUACAUACACUUAGAACCCUAGAACUACAUAAACACUUCACUUACAUGUCUGACCACAUAAACAACCUACAACAACAAUAAUGGCGACGGUGCCUACUACAUACACUUAGAACCCUAGAAACCAAAUCGGGGUAUGGAAAGAGAAAACUUACGAGACACCGCCGAAGGAGGAUGCGUAGUGAUGGCUCCCCUCUGGAUCUUCCUUCACGGCCUUGGCGAAUGCCCUCGCCGCCGCGUACUCAGCACAGUAAGACGGCGACGGCGGCUGUGGAAGAGGCGGAGCCUGAGAUGGGUUUGAACUGCCACAAACCUCUGUUGGAUCUGCAGGAGCACCACUGCCACCAGAUGCAUCGCCAGCACCACCGCCACCGCCAUCAUCACUGCCACGCGAGGUGGCCAUCACCGGCGGCAAGCAGGGGCGAGAGAGGAGAGGGGAGCAGGGCGAGAGAGGAGAGGGGAGCGGGGCGAGAGACAGGACAGGGGCGCGGGGGGGACUGUCUGAACCGGACCGACCGCGCGGCGUGUUGACCGUUUUCUUUCCUAACGGCGCCGUUUGCCUGUCCGCACGCCACGUCAGCGUUUUCGCGGCCCACCUGUCGGAAAAGAGAUCAAACGAGGCUAAACGGCUGUUCAGUGCUUUUUGCAACGGGUUAAGAGAUUUUACGGUGUUUUUUGCAACAGAUUAACGACUUGGUAGUUUCCUGCAAACCUAGCCACAAAUGUGGUGGUUUCUUGCAAUUGACUCUCAUGGAAAUUAUGUAGAUAACCAUUAGAACAUCAUAAAAUGGUUUUUACUCAUGCUAGUUUUCCAUGUGCAACUUUAUUAUAGGGUGCAUGGCAUUUUCACUAGUUAGACCAUGGCAUUUUUACUAUUUUAGAACAUGGUAGUUCUAGUUAGUUAGAGGAUGGCAAUUUUUUAAAUUAGACCUUGGCAAUUUGAAGUUAUGUACCGUGACAAAAUUAUUCUUUAGAUAAUGGCAAUUUGAUUAGUUAUACCAAGGAAAAAUUAUUAACUUCACCAUGUUAGUUCAUUUUGUGUGGCAAUGGAAGUUUUCUUUAGACCAUUGCAAAUUUAUUCUUUAGACCAUGGUGCUUUUACUAUUCACACCAUGCUAAUUUUAUUAGUUAAGCCGUGGUAGUUUAUUGUAGCAUGGCAUUUUUGUGCUCCAUUCAAUUUUGUGCCAUGCCAUGUUUAAUAUUAGGCCAUGGCAUUAUUUUAGACCAUGUCAUUUUUAUCAUUUUAUUAGGCCAUGGCAUUAUUUUAGACCAUGUCAUUUUUAUCAUUUUAUUAGGCCAUGGCCAUUUCAAUUUAUGUAGCAUGACAUUUUUACACUUUUCAGUACGUGGUAUUUUUUGUCAUGGCAAUAAUCUUAAAAAUCUUGCCAUGUAACCAAAAAUGAUUUUCCUCCAAACCAUGGCAAUUUUGUAAUUGUGUAUUUUUUCACAUGGCAUUUUUGUAAUGUUUUAAUAGUGUUUCAUAUAUUCUCGUGGAAAUUUUUUACAUUUUUUCCGGUUUCCAAAACAUGGCAUUUCCUGCAAAUUUCUUCUAAUUUUUGCACAUGGUACUUUUAUGAUUUUGUUGUUGUUGUUCACACUAUAAUGGAAAUUAUGUAUGUGUGUUUUCUAUAGACAUUUGGCAAAUUUAUGCUAUAUUGGAUGGAAAAUCUAUAUUUUUUGGUUUGGCCAUGCUUUCUGAUUUUUUUAGAGCAUUUCCUAGUGAUUUUUAGAUGUUUUUUAUUUAUUUUUGUUCAAAAGAAAAUUUGGGAUUGGGCCUGGAGGACCGGAAAAGGCCUAUGCGUCAAAAACGUUCGCUGAGGCAUGCUUAUCCCAGCAUACGAAACGUUUGCUGAAGUCGCGCCCCCCAGCUGACAUCAGACAAUUAUUGCCUCUUGAACAUACUUCCAACACCAUAUCGGAUACAUGACAAAUUUGAAGGAUAUAGUGUCUCGAAGUGGAUUUCUGAUAUUGAUGAGAUAAAGGCACAAGUGGAUAUGUGUUCACACUUGUUAGUGAUGAUGUGUCACGGAAGUCUUGCAAGUAGACCAUCUUAACAAGUUCAACGAUGGAUGAAUAACUCACAUCAUUGGAUUUAACUACCGUCAAAGCAUAAUGGCUUCCCGAGCUCUUAAUGGAUCCGCGAGUGGUUGAAAAGCCUAUUCGAGCUACACUCAUGAACUGUGACAAUCGGACAGUCCUUGUUGACUUGAGUAUCAAAUGACACAUAAGAAAGGUAUUGCCAUCCAGAACAAUCUUGGAAGAACACACCUAGAUGAGCCCCACUGGUAGGGACAGUCUGUGAGGUAGGGUAGUCUCUAGUAAGCUCAUGAAUUGGCCAGGAGUCUAACUUAUAUCCUCCAUUUGCGUGUUAGCCUUCUAUAGGUAGGAACAAUAAGACAACUGCUUUCACGCAAAACUAACUAUUUAAGGCUUAAUCCAUUGUUUAGUUGUGUGUAAGUGUAGCUUCUUGAUUUGAGUGGAUGAUCAACCUUAAUCAAUUCCCAUUGAAAAUACUUGUAUUUAAAAAUAGUGAUUGGAACAAAGGACAACACAGUCCGCUUCUGAAAUCUUGUCGAGGAUUGUUGAAUUAUUAAUGGGCUUUGGGCCCAUGAAUCAAUUAAUUGUUGAUAAAUCCUAGAGGCCCGUUUGUGUUGGCAUGACAUGGUCGAGAAGCUAAGACUCAUCCAAAAAGUGGAGGAGAGUUUGGACCAACAUAUAAGGAACUCUCUUACACAUCACAUUGGAGCAUGAGAAGAGGAGUGUACAUGCGCGCUCCUCCUCGCCUUCUGCCUUGCAACACCAUGCCUCACUCGCGCAUGCUUCAUGUUUUGUGAAGGAGCCAUGCCCCAUCACACACGCACCACUAUCGUUCCUCUCGUUGCUAAUGCUUCCGGCAACUCCAUGUAGUCAACAGCGUGCACGACCAUCCGAGAGACCAUGCCUCCGAGGUUGUGCCUUUUUUUAUCCUGCCCCUGGAGAAGGGUGAUAAGGUUUUUGGGGGUGCUUCUCAGUGUGACAGCUCACGUCCAUCUGUUUCCAUCCACAACAUCGACUACUUCAUCGACUUCCCUGAUUAGGCCAUGGGCGAGAACAGUGAUGCCGCAAAGAAGGUCAUCAAUGUCAAUGCUACCGCGGCCGCCGUCACGGCUUUGACUUUCCAGUGUGAAUGGUAUGAUUUGUUUCCCACCUUUACUAGUUCAUGUGCUUGUAGUACUUACUAUGUUCAUAGAUAUGUCUGUUCUAUGCUCAGUAGAUGCAUGCAUAUCUGGAUUAAAUUGUGAUGUUAAUCUUGAUAGCGUUGUCGUAUCUUUUUCACAUGGAUUAAAUUAAUCAAACAAUUGCGAAUAUAUCCACCAUAUAUAACAAGCAUAUGUGGGAACCCAAUAUAGAAAAAUGAAGUAUAUUGUAAAUCGCUACAUGAAAAAGUUCAAGACAUUAAACAUGGUUAACCACGUAUGCCAUGAAGAGGUACUCCCUCGAUUAGGGUUCAUUAGGGUCCCUUAUAUUUUGCCUCAAACUUUGACCGUAUAUUUGAUUUGCAAAAUAUAAAUGGUGUGUCAUAAAAAUUAUAUUGUUAGAUUCGUAUUCAAAGAAGUUUUCAAUGGUACCAUUUUUGCUAUAUGUAACUCAUAUUUUGUUAAGCAUGUAUGGCCAACUUUGGUUCAAAUUGUAACGGGGCCUAAUGAACCCAGAUGGAGAAAAUACAUACUACUUUCGUUUCAUCAUAAUUAAAGUUCUAAAAUAUAACAAAGCCAACAUAAGUGUUGUCUAAACAGAUCAACACUAACCCCGGGACUGUAGGAAAUGUCUGUCCUAAGAGCAUCUAGAUUUGUGUCAAGUCAAACUUUGCAAAGUUUGAUCAAAUUUAUAUGAAAAAAUACCAACAUUUACAAUACCAAAUAUAUAUGCUAUGAAACUACAUUUCAUAAUGAAUCUAACAAUGUUGAUUUGGCAUUGUAAAUGUUAAUACCAUUUUCUAUAAGUUUGGUCAAAGUUGAGAUACUUUGACUUCGGACAAAACUUAUAUGCGGACUAAAAAGGACCGGAGGGAGUAUGUGAUCCGACAAUAUGAGAGGUGUGAUUGUUUUGCAAGAAAGAUGGGGAUGAAAGCGGACACAGCUGAACAAGACAUUCUCAAUCGUUGUUGUAGACUAGUAGAAUGCCCGUGCGUUAUCACGGGCAAUGGAUAAUUUUUUUUUGCUGGUUGCAUAUAUAAAUAUUUCAGUGGUUCGACACCUGUCGUGUACUUGCAAUUCUUAUACACAUCAACUGAUAUUGUCGAACAUUUCUACAACACCAUAUCCACACCCAGCCACUACUAUCAUAGUGGGUACGUUGCUACUUAGUAAACAAAUAAAUAAUAAUCAUUUUAACUCUACAACAUACCGUAAAUCUAUUGUUAAUGAUGGGGAAUCUACUUGUUUUUUGCUUGUUUGGUGGCAUGGAGCCACCCCUUUAUGUUCUUCCUUCUCUCUUCUUUUUUCCUUCUGUGGCAAUUCUGAGAUUACUAUUUAUGAUCUUGUCUACUCUGAUUGCCAUUUGGCCUUCCGUCGCUCCCUUUCUCAUGCAGAUUUGGAAUAGUGGCAUCAGCUUGCUGCCACCUUCCCCUCGCUCUCGGAGACUUCGGAUUCGGUGGUCUAGCCUCAUUCCUCCUCGGGGUGUUUUAUUGGUGAAGUCGCUUUACCGCAAGCUCAUUUUGGGUUCUAUUACUCUGAAGUUCAAGGGUGUUUGGAGGGCUUGUGUUCUGCUUGAAAUCUAGAUCUUCCUUUGGCAAGCUAUUUGUGGAAAGCUCCAUGCUGCUACGUGUUGGGAUCAAAUUCGGAAGCGUAAUGCUCGGGUUGCGGGUACGUGCUCUCUUUGUUCUCAGCCAGAAGAUUGUAACCAUAUUUUAUCUUCUUAUGAUUUUGCGUUCCUGUUGUGGAGCUGUAGUCGGCGGUCUCCAUCUAGUUUCGCUCAGUUAUUACUUCUUGUCAGUUCUUUGUUUGGGCAGUUGUGGCGUGUUUUCUGGCUUGGCUUUGCUGCAGUCAUUUGGGCUCUCUGGAUGACCCAAAAUAAGUUUACCAUUGAACAUGUGUUUCCUUCGAAAUCAGUUGACAUUAUUUUUAAAUCUCUUAAAGCCUUUGAUUAAGACCUGCGAUGUGGACGCCACAGAUAUGCUUAUCUCACGCGCCAGGGCUAUGGCGAUCUCUCUAUCUCCAAGGGCGCAACCUACUGCUUAGCAAUCGUCAGGUUGUCUUUAGCUAGCUUCUAUUUUUGGUACCUGGUUGUGGCCUGUGUGCCUAAACUUGAACUUGGUCUGUUGGGUUGUGCUGGUUGUUGUGCUGCCGUGGCAUUUGAUUGUAUGGGUGUGACAAUGUUGUGAACCUUCUAUGGCUUUAUUUGUAAAGUGGGGCAAUGGUCUUUUCUCUAAAAAUAAGUGUUUAUCAUUGAUUUGAUGGCACCCAAACUAUUCUUUUAAACGACAUAUCUCUGCAACCCUAUACAAGAAAUAAAGGCAUUUCUUUGCAAAUGGAUCUAAAUCCCAAGGAAUAUUUUUCUGCAAAGAUACUUUUGAACAUUGUAACAUAAUAGCGACAAAUAACUCUGAUAUGCUCCUUGAUUCUGUAUGAUUACAAUAUCCACCUUUCAAAUGAGAACGGGUGUCACCACCACCAUUGCUGAACACAAACUCCCAUUCAUAAUAUUGCUAAGAGUAGUAAAGAUUACAUGAACCCAUCCUAGCAACAGGAAGUACUGCAGAGGGGCAUUGAUGCAUGUAAUCCAUUCCUUGCGCUUCCGACAACAGGAGGCGGAGCCUGUGGAAACACAGAGAAGGAUCAGCCCAAAAGCAUGAUGCAACCCAAUCCAAUGUAAGGGAGAGGGAAAGUGGCACUCCAGCUCUGAAAAAAGACCUCCUUUCUAGAAUUCACCUACACUCGCUGUCGUCGUUCGCUCGCCAAAGGAGGGCUCGGCGUGGACUCGCCGUUUCCAUUCACGCGUUCGGCACGCCCAUCCCCACAGUUGUGGUCGACUACACCAUACCACACCAUCAAGGCCGAUCUCAAACAAUAUUGGUCUUGUCCUCUGUGAUGCCACUGCCCUAGCGCAUGCCAGACAUGUCCUACUAUCGGCUUCAGGACACCGGCCAUGACUUCCAAGAGGAGGAGCACAAGUUUGGCUCCAAGGCCUCAUGGCAAUAGCCGCCAGACCACUGGUUUCACAAGGAGAAGCAAUGGUAGCACCAGCGGACGAGGUUAGAGCAUCUCCAAUAGACGGUCUAUAUGUAAAAAUAACCAACUUUUAAAUCUUCCGAGGCAAAAAAUAUGCACAAAAAUUACAUCUCCGCCUUCCGGUGAUGCAAAAUUCAACACUUCAAGGUGCAAAUUUACAUCUCCAGAGGCAGGAGAUGUAAAAACCGCCGCCGCGCGUCAACGCCCAACUGCUAUUCAUUUCCUUUCCCCCUCCCCACUUCUUCCUCCCUCCCGCCGCCGCCCCGCCACAGCUCCCGUCACGCCCACCCNNNNNNNNNNNNNNNNNNNNNNNNNNNNNNNNNNNNNNNNNNNNNNNNNNNNNNNNNNNNNNNNNNNNNNNNNNNNNNNNNNNNNNNNNNNNNNNNNNNNNNNNNNNNNNNNNNNNNNNNNNNNNNNNNNNNNNNNNNNNNNNNNNNNNNNNNNNNNNNNNNNNNNNNNNNNNNNNNNNNNNNNNNNNNNNNNNNNNNNNNNNNNNNNNNNNNNNNNNNNNNNNNNNNNNNNNNNNNNNNNNNNNNNNNNNNNNNNNNNNNNNNNNNNNNNNNNNNNNNNNNNNNNNNNNNNNNNNNNNNNNNNNNNNNNNNNNNNNNNNNNNNNNNNNNNNNNNNNNNNNNNNNNNNNNNNNNNNNNNNNNNNNNNNNNNNNNNNNNNNNNNNNNNNNNNNNNNNNNNNNNNNNNNNNNNNNNNNNNNNNNNNNNNNNNNNNNNNNNNNNNNNNNNNNNNNNNNNNNNNNNNNNNNNNNNNNNNNNNNNNNNNNNNNNNNNNNNNNNNNNNNNCCUCCGCCUCCGGUCCGGCCCCGCCCGCACCGCACACCGCCGUCCGCCCUCGCCUGCACCGCACGCCGCCGCCCUGCUCCUUCCGCCUCCGCCCCGCACGACACGUCGCCGCCCCACUCCGUCCGCCUCCGCCCCGCUCCCCGCUCGGCUGCCGCCCGCACCACACACAUGCCAACGCAGCAAAAAAAAUCUUCUCGACAGAAGUUGUUGUACUACAUAUAGAAAGUGAUAAUCAACAUCAAGGCAGGGAAGAAAUUGAAAAGAAGACGCAUGCUAAUUGCAUCUAAUUAGGAUAAAGAACAUAGCAAGUAUCACCUGGGAUAGAAAUACAUAAAGGAUCCAUCAACACCCAAGCAUUUUACAAUUAACUGCAUUUAUUUGACAUUAUUUAUCAUAAAAUAAAUUGGAACGAAAUAGUCCGACGUAAAAGGAAGUACUACAGAGGGGCAUUGAUGCAUGUAACCCAUUCCUUGCACGUCCGACAAUAGGAGGUAAUUGCCCGUGCGUUACCAUGGGAGCACAAAUAUUCUAAUGGUUCAAAAUGAAUGGUGUCGAUGAUAUACCAUAUCCUCAAGCACAUCAAGCAACAUUGUCGACCGACAAUGUUUAUUCACCUCAAAACUGUAGUUCAUAUCCACAAAUAAAGCAUUUACAUAUAAUGAAAAUAAAACAUUUGCAAAUAUGACAACUCCUUUGUUAUGAAAACUUCCAUGCAGGUUGAUCUCUCAACUGUUGAAGAUCGUGAACCAACCUAUCGUUGCAUGAUUAGAGGGAUAGUGGUAUCCCCAUCCCAUGAGAGUUCAAAUCCUGGUGCUCGCAUUUAUGCUGAAUUUAUUUCAGGAUUUCUGGUUCAGUGGGAGGAGACAUUCUCGUCGACUACGAGGCGCCUACUAUGACUUCGUAAAAUUUCAAGAUGACAUGUUGGCUCAGUCUCUCGGAGGUGCUCAUAGGAAUAGGGUGUGUGUGCGUGUUCAUAGGAGUAAGUGCAUGCGAGUAUAUAUGAGCGCUUGCAUUUGGAUUGUGUUCAAAAAAACCGUUGAAGGUCCGAUGAUAACUACAAAUAACUUUAAAGUAAUUAUAAAAAAUAAACAAUGAAAAUAAUAAUGAUGUGAUACUAUCCAAGUCCGCUACAAUACAACAUGCCAACCUACACAUCAGGAAUGAGAAAAGUACGAAUAAUUAUGUCUGAUGGUAACACGUGACAAGCUUCCAGCCGCAACCAAACACCAAACAAGAUGAUUCCUACACCAGCUUGUUUUCCCUAAAGUAAAAAUCUGGUUAGCCAUGUCAUAGAAAAUUCACAGUUGGUAAAUUAAAGAGAAGAAGAUGUAACAUACUCGAGCAAAGCGGAAAGCCCUAAAAAGUGCAACAUACAACUUUGCGAUACACAUUUCCAAAAACACGAAAAGAUCAAGGUAGUGCAUUCUUUUGUAGAUAGAAAAAUGUGUUGUAUUCUUUGUAGAUAGAUACACGUGCUCUCAAAUGGCCUGAUAUACUUCACAGCAUGAUAACACUUCGGGUGAAAAAGAUCCGCCACCACGGAGUCAACUGCGCUAGUCUUUGUACCAUGGAGAAUAAGCAUCUUUUUGCCGACCUAGAACAAAUAUUAGAGCAACUGUCUGAUGUGGAGCCAGGGAUUGCUAAUUUCACAACAUACAAGUUUCCUAAGCAUCAGAGCCUUGCAAUAGCAACUAAAUAACCUAGAACAAAUAUUAGAGCAACAGUCUGAUGUGGAGCGAGGGAGAGAAACACAUACUCCCUCCGUUCCAGUACAAAGUUGGGUCAUCUAUUUUGGAACGGAGGAAGUACAUGUCAUUGCUAAUUUCACAACAUACAAGGUUCCUAAGCAUCAGAGCCUUCCAAUAGCAACUAAAUUAAGAUUUACAGGUUGUUAUAUGUACAAAACAUGGACUAUGUGCCAUCAGGCCCUUUUGUGUGUGACUUGGUUCCUAUUAAGAAAAUACAAUGUUGCAAUACGCUUGGCUGCUCAAACAAAUAGGUCAGCAGCGACAGCCAAGACCUCGUCAACUCGCUUCAGCUGCUCGAUUGCAUCUCAAAUUAGACCUGAUCUAUUUAUUAGACCUGAUUACAGUGGCGGCUCGUACAGAUUUCUCUUUGAACAUACUGGCAGCUAGCCUACAAGUUAUCAUGUAUUCACGCGAUUGAUAUACACCCAUGUGAGAAUUGUUUUCGCCCAUCACCAAUUUAGCCAGAGAAGCAAACAUGCAGCUUCUGCUAAUUGAUAAUUGCAGCAGUAAGAAGGCCUGCCAAUUAGCUCUUGCGAUUUUUCUCUGAACAAAGAGGGAAAAACCGGCGCCACACUUUCAAGCACCGCCGUUGUCCAGAUCGAUGUGAUAGGUUCUACACUUUCGCCCCUAUGCACAAUUCACAAAUUAAACACAUGUUCCAGAAGACAUGAAUGCUUGGACAUAUAAGCAAUGGGAUGAACGCUGGUGCGAGGGGGUGUGGUCGGUGGCCGCUGACCGGGUGCGUCGAGGGGUACAGAUGGCGGCGACGGACCAGGGCAGCGAGGUCGGGCAGAGGACUCCGAGUGACGGCCAAGUAAGAAAGUAAGAGCAACUCUAGCAGACCCCGCAAAACGCCCGGCCUGUAAAAAUUUCGGCGAGUAUGCGGGCUCGGGCCAAUUUUCCGGCCAGAACAGAGCCCGCAUACUCGCCCGGCCCACAAAAAAUUUUGCCGCAGCCCACAAACCCCGAGCACUAUAAGUGCGGUUCCGCGACCCUUUUGCGGGUCCAAACCCUAUCCCCCGCCGCCAGCCACCCGAUUCCUCUUUCCCUCUCCCAAUUUCUCGCCGCCGGCGACCCUCCGCCCCGCCUCCAGCCGCCAUGUGGGGGCGAAUGUGGAGCUCCGGACGCGGCUCCGGCAGCAGAUCCGGCCGUGAGAAGGACCCGGAGCGCGAGCGGCGCGUCCGGUCCAACGGCGCGAGGAAGCGCGGCGCCCGGAAGUGGACCAACCACGGGCUGUCGCCGCCGGCGAGCUUCGAUUGCCGUGAGACGGAGGAGUACGACCGCCGGCGCGCGUCCUUCUCCUCCGUGAGGUCUUCCUACGCCGGAUCCUCCUCCUCCGCCGCCGCAGGCUUCCUCCCCGUGAAGAGGGAGUGGUCGGACAAGGAGGAGGAGCCGGAGCCGCCGGUGCCGUUCGCCUUCGUCCCGGUGAAGGAGGAGCCCGAGGAGCCCGCUCCGCUCGGCCGCCGCGGAGUCGUCGGGCCCGAGGACUACAUCGCGGACUUCGACGCCAUCGCUGAGCGGAGCGUGCGCGAGGAGGAGGAGCGCCGGUGCCACGCCGAGGAGCUCGAAGCCCUCGAGUGGCGGCAGGCGGUCGCCGACAACGUCGCCGCCAACGAGAAGGCUGACGAGUGGCGCCGCAUCCGUGCAGAGCAGGCGGAGAAGUACGUCGAUCUGUGCAGCUCCGGCGAGGAGGAUUGAGCGUCCUGCUCCUCCACGGCGUCGUCCAGUUGCCGUGACCUCGCCGCCGUCAGAUCCGACCCCCUAGUACUAGUUUAACGUAGUAUGUAGUAUAGCUAUGCUUAUAGUUUGUUGAUCAUGUGAUGAACUAUGUAGUAUGUGAUGAACUAUGUUUGUGCAAUUUCUACCGCGAAAGUAUUUUUUCAAAUUAUGCAGGUUUAGAUACGGGUUCUGCUCGGCCGCGCAUGUUUUUGACCCGCAAACGCGAUCUUCGUGAAACCGCACACGCAUUUUGCGGGUCGUAUUUUUGCGGGGUCUGCUAGAGUUGCUCUAAGAGGGGCUGGGAUUGGCGACGGCGCUAACCCUAGCGCUCCUGUUCGAGGUUUGGAACGAGAGAAACAGAGCAUGCGUGUGAGUUGAGUUGACGGGCCUGGCAGGGUUUCGAUGGGCUUGGCCCAUGUGCUUGUCAGACGCGAGAGGAGAGGAGGCGAACGGCGGAUGGAUGAAGCGCAGGGCAGGACGCGGUCCCUCGGCAGGAAGAUGCCGAUCGCCAGUGCCGGAUCAGUCGGGUGGAGACGGAGAGGAUGCAAUCCUACUGGGUGACGACCCUCUGACGCCAAUAGCCGCAUGACCAGGGCGAGGAGGCACUUACGCAGGCACAUGGAUGGUGCCACGACCUCCACCUGACCUUGAAUGACACAGGGGAGUCGACGGCAGCCCAGAACUGGAGGGAAGGCGGCGGCUUAUGGGAUGUCGCGACCGUCGCAGCGCCGGUGGAGAGCUUGGGGCGGCAGCGCCGCAAGGGAGCCGGGCGGUGCGUGGAGAGAAGGAUCGGUGAGUUCUGGUGGGAGGCCGCGCUCCUUUUACGGCGCAUCAUGUCACACAAUCAAAUCAGAUCGCGAUCUGAUUUUGUAGGACAGGGAAAAGGCAAAGGUGUCAUGCAAUCAAAUCAUAUCGAAACUUGCCUUCCGUAAACCGGACAGAACGGGAAAAGGGGGUUGGGCGAGACAAACGAACGAUACAAUGACCUACCAUCACGACCACAGUCUCCUCAUUUAGGAGUAGAGAUAGCCUUUGGGUAAUUUAAAUUUAUUACCAUAUAAUUAUCAUAUUCAAAAUUUCCUGAGUUAUGGCCUUACCAUACCUGGAUUGAUAGCCUUUGGGAUAAUUUAAAUUUAUUAUCAUAUAAUUACCAUAUUCAAAAUUUUCCGAGUUAUGGCCUUACCAUACAUGUAUUGAUUUAUUACUAUAAUUAUCAUAUUUGAGAUUUUUGAGUUUAUAGCCUUACCAUACGUGGAUUAAUUGUGAUUGAUUACCAUAAAUACGUUGGUAUUGCCGGCCAGACGAGAAAAGAGGAAAACCGGUGGGAGGGGAUGGUGGGAGGUGGGACGAAAAAAACCUGACGAAAGUGGUGGGACUAUUCAAUCAACUCGUCCAUCUCUACUUCCAAUGGAGCGGUUGGUAGUCUUACUUCCAGGGUUUUUUUCGUCCCACCUUUCAUGGUUUUUUUGGUACCUCCUCCCACCUUCGCUGAUUUUUUUCGUAGAUUUUGUUUCGUCCCCUCCCCUCACUUCAUCGGUUUAUUUUCGCGUCACCCUCUCACAGAACAAAAGAAAUCUGAACAGAUCAGAACUUUCCAUACUGGCGCAAACUAUUUAUUAAUGUAGAAUCAAUCACGAACAAUCUCUAAAAAUCAAAUCUAAAUUAAUUAACCUUACCUUAAAUCACUCGAUCACAUUAAUAAGAAAACAAAUAAUUAAUUUUCAGAAAAAAUUGCUCAAUCACAUUAACCUUACCUUAACUCACGGAUGGUAAUCAAUCUCCAACCAAAGGAAACAAUACAUCGAGGGAGCAGUAAAUAAACUCUCUUUCUUAUGACAUGUAUAUGAUCUUCCCUUCCCUCUCCAUUGUCGAGCGUUCAUGAUUCUCGAGGUCGAUGCUUGGGCUGCGUCACUGGGUCGCGACGGUGCCGGAGGACGAGGACGGCGAGGCCGGGUGCCGCGGCACCGCGUUGUCUGCGGCCGGUGAAAGGGGCGAAGAAGGGCGGCUUCCCUGGCCCUGGCCGUGGCUGUGGCCCUUGGAGUUGGUGCGGUGGAAGCGGCACUUGAAGGACCCGGCGUGGGUGGCCGGUGCACAGACGCACUUGGAAGCGGGCCCGUGGCCCGCGCCGGACGGUGCCGACGCUGACACGGGCCACCUCCUCCGCGUAUUCUUGGAGUUGUGGCUGGCCGAUUUACAUAAAAUUAAUUCCCUUAGUUGUGGUGGCAAAUAUAAUACACAUAAUCCAUAUUGUUAUGCACUCGCGUGUGUGUGUGAAAUAGAUGGAUUAUGGUCCCGUACCCAAUAAGAUGGAUAUGUGUGUGUGUUAGAGAGAGAGAGGGAGAGGGGGGAGAGUGAGGAAGAGGAAGGGAGAGAGUGUGUGUGAGGAUUUGAUGGUAAAAAAGGUCGCCAAUGUCACUUGCAGGGACGGAGCCAGGAUUUCAACAUAGGGGGAGGGGCAAAGUUUCACACUAAGUCUCAUACGCAAUGGCUCUGUUGUAAAAAAAAGGAUCUGGUCUAAUAGAGAUGACAUGGCGUCAACAUACCCUUUUUGUGUCUAUUCAUUGCAUUCACAUGAUCAAAACUUGAUAAAAAAUGAUAAAUGACAAAAGAAAUUCACAACAGUAGAAACACCGGAUAAUCUUAAGAAAUAAUAAUUUGUAAUAAUGCAAUGUGGAUAAAUAAUAUAUUACCUAAUCUCAUUAUUUAUUGGAAUUGGCGAGAUGGACCUCACUGACUCAACACAGUCCCAAAAUCAGAAUCGAAAAUUUAUGAAUUAAUUCUGAUCUCUUCUUCUUCAUGUUUACACAAGCACAAGUAGGAGUGUUAAUUGAUUCUAAAUCUGUCUGAUUAUACUUCUAUAAUUUUUAAAGCAAAGAACUAAUCUUAUGUGAGAAUCAAAUACUCCUACCUUUUCCCCUUGUGUGGUUGUUGUUCAUAAGUGCGUCCGCUCUGCUGGGAACCGGCGACAUGUGCGUGGAUCGACACCUGCGUAUAUCCCGGCGAGGCGGCGAUCCCUUCCCUUCUCCGCUUCUCUUGAUGGUGAGCCGAUGGAGAGAUCCGAUCGCAGUGGCCAUCAGGUGUCAAUUUCGAUAGCAGCGACGGCUUGGAGAGAUUAGCAAUAUGGAAGUGCGUAAUCAGGUCGUGGCUGCGUGCUGCAAUUAAAAGGCCACUUUUCCUUUCACGAUGGCCUGUUAGGCAAUAUUCUUUAUGAUGAUUUUUUUUAUUUUAGCGUGCAAUGGGCUGUACAUGGGCUGAAACUUUCACGUUAAUGNNNNNNNNNNNNNNNNNNNNNNNNNNNNNNNNNNNNNNNNNNNNNNNNNNNNNNNNNNNNNNNNNNNNNNNNNNNNNNNNNNNNNNNNNNNNNNNNNNNNNNNNNNNNNNNNNNNNNNNNNNNNNNNNNNNNNNNNNNNNNNNNNNNNNNNNNNNNNNNNNNNNNNNNNNNNNNNNNNNNNNNNNNNNNNNNNNNNNNNNNNNNNNNNNNNNNNNNNNNNNNNNNNNNNNNNNNNNNNNNNNNNNNNNNNNNNNNNNNNNNNNNNNNNNNNNNNNNNNNNNNNNNNNNNNNNNNNNNNNNNNNNNNNNNNNNNNNNNNNNNNNNNNNNNNNNNNNNNNNNNNNNNNNNNNNNNNNNNNNNNNNNNNNNNNNNNNNNNNNNNNNNNNNNNNNNNNNNNNNNNNNNNNNNNNNNNNNNGUAUGAGAAUAUUAAUAUUGAACUUUUAAAAUUAAUGUGGCCACGUUGCAACGCAUGGGCGUUCUUCUAAUUAGUAGUAAAGAUGCUCUAAUUCCCUUCGGCAAACUUAAAACAACCGAGCAAUUCCACGUGGGACAAUCAUCCUUUGACCACAACUAGGAUCUUGCAACCAUUCCACUAACACAUUCGUGUUCACACCUAGGCAAGCCUGGAUAACAGCACCGAUGAUCCACUCAAGCUGACGCUAAUCUCGGCACAUUCUACACCUAGCAAAGCUAAAACAGCCAAGUAUAAGUUUCUUGGCAAACAAGCUUAGGAGAGUGUGUUUGUUGACCAAAACUCGAAUCUGUCUACUCUGCUUACCAUCCAUCUGCGUCCACACCUGGUCCAAUACCCAACUCUGCACACAGCCCACUUUCCACGUGAGGUGCAUUCAGCUGGUCAGGCUGUUUUGUUUUUUGGCGGGGUGGUCAAGCUCUAUUUUGCUUAGACUUUACUUAUCCCACAGAAUGGUAAUCCAUCUUAUACAGAAGGAGAACAUCUCCCUGCCCCGCGUCGNNNNNNNNNNNNNNNNNNNNNNNNNNNNNNNNNNNNNNNNNNNNNNNNNNNNNNNNNNNNNNNNNNNNNNNNNNNNNNNNNNNNNNNNNNNNNNNNNNNNNNNNNNNNNNNNNNNNNNNNNNNNNNNNNNNNNNNNNNNNNNNNNNNNNNNNNNNNNNNNNNNNNNNNNNNNNNNNNNNNNNNNNNNNNNNNNNNNNNNNNNNNNNNNNNNNNNNNNNNNNNNNGCGCGCGACUCGGGUGCCCUAAUCCCGCCGCCGACCCCAGCCUUCCUCCCUCUCCUCCUCCCCGCCGCCGCCGCCGGGCAAAGCCCGCGUGGUGCCGGCGGCGGCGGGAUUCAUCUUGCCACACCUAGAGCGGUGGUCGCGGGGGACCGCUUCUUCGGCCUGGCGGCGGAUCUCGGUGGCCGGCGCGGCGGGUGGAUGUGCGCUGGCGGGAGAAGGUGCGGACAGUCGCGGCGGUCUGGCGGCGGCGCGUCGCGUGCGCAGGCCGGCGGGACCGCUUCUUCAGCCUGGCGUCGAGUGGCCGACGCGACAGAGAUGCAAGCUGGCGGGAGAUGGUGGAGGGCGUCGCGGCGUUCUGGCGGAGGCGCGUCGCGGUAGAGUGCGCAGGCCAUCUGCGGGUUGGUGCUCCUCGCCGCGAGGGAUUUCGUGCCUGGCCAGUUCCAAGCGGGCCGAUCCGUGCGGAUCCGAGGAUCUCAGGCUGGAUCUGGUGCGUUUUCGGCGCUGGCCGGCGUCCCUGAGGUGCUCACGGCAGGGAGUGCGGCGGUUGUCUCUGGAUCUUUGCGUGGAGCGUAGCAGGAUGGAGGAUGCAGGUGGUGCACCGGCUCUGGCGGUGGCGGCGGUGCGAGUGCAGCCAUGGCGACGGCGGCGCUGCGAGGCCUUGCCAGGAAGGGUCUUGGCGGGCAGCGGGCGUUCGGUUGCUGCCGUGUGAGGCGUGCGGCGAUGCCUUGGCGGUGUGGGUGCCGGAGGGUGGUCGGAGGUGCAGGUCAGAUCCAUUCUGGUGGCAGUCCCCUGGCGUGGGUGAAGGCCACCGUGGCGGAACUGGCUUUGCACCGCUCGGUGGAUGCUGCGUCUCCUAGUCGAUGUUGAAGGCGAUGACUUUAGGCGUGUUCCCUCAGCAGUGAGGAGGGCUUCGAUGGCAAGUUGUUGCGGUGAUGGCGGUGCGAGGCAUCUGAUCGGGACUGGCCGGGAUCUUGGAGACUUGGAGAUGUGCAGAGCUACGGAUGAAAAUCCUGUUCGGUUGUGGCCGGACCGGCGUUGAUGGCACCUGCAGGUGUCAUUCACCUUCCUGGAGGCUUCGCCGAGUGCAACGCCAUCUUCCUCGCGACCUUGUAUCGGCAGCUGUCUCCGGGGCGAAAGCCUUGAUUCGUAGGAUCGGCAUGAUGGCAACGUCUUUGAGGUUGUUACUCUGUUGGGAGCAUUGUGCUGGGAGACUCAAGGUCCCAUGAUGCGCUCCUCCGGUGUUCACCGCUACCCGGAUCUUUCUCCUUCGGCGCCAUGUACGGUCGUCGCUGGCUACUCCAAGGAAGCUAGAGUUGCUGUUCUUCGAAGGUCUUCAGUGUUGGCCGAGACGCGGCGAGGGGCUCGAUGUUGGGUAGGCUUUUUGUGUCGUAGCCGUGUUGUUGUGUUUGGUUGUCCUUGUACGAACUGGGUGUGGAGUUGGUCGCCUUCGCUCUCCGUAGCGAAUGGUAGACGUUGUUGUAUGUCUUUUUUCUCUCCUUCUAUAAAGCUAAGGUAUGCAAUUUGCGUACCCUCGAAAAAAACUUAUCCCACAGAAUACUCCUACGGGGUACGAGCACAAAAAGACAUGAAAAUAUACAUUUUUGCUAGGUGUCAGAUUAAUUCCUAUUGGGAUUUUGAAAAUCCCAUUAAACUCCUUUUUUCAUUUGAAACGAUUGUAUACGGCGCGCCGCUCCGGUCGCAAAGUGAUCAAUGGCUAGAAUUCGUCCCCUUCCUCUCGCGUGGUCGUCCAAAUCCAGAUUCUUCCACCUCUUGCCAUGGAAGCCCCCCUCCCCCCCAAGCUCGAUCCAUACUCUCCUCUUUCCCUCCUACUCCUCCUAUAGCCAUGAGAGCACCUUGUUGUUGUUGCCCCGCCGAGCAUCUCCUCCCCCGAAUCACGUUUUGCGACGGCUAUGCCGCACACUGCAACCGCUGUUUUUUUUGGGACGGUGGUCUCUCGGCUUUGGCUGCUACAUGGUUACAACCGUGACGCGGGCCGCCACAACCGGCGACUCUGGUUGUUACAAGCCGCCGGCAGACCGGACCUGGGAACAUGAGAUGCUACCCUCCACCCCGACAAUGGCGUUUUACUAUGGUUGUGGUCGAGAAAGCUGCAACGGGCAUCCGUAGAAACUGGAACUGGUCACCGGUAGAGCUACAACUAGCAUUUAGAAAAGCUGCAACGGUGACGGCUUGGUGCUAGGACGGAGAGCUGGAACCGACGACGCCGUUGUUGCAACUGUAUGUACAUUUUUGCUGGAACUGGCCGGUGACAAAGUUGGAACCUUGACCGCAAGAUGCUACAACCGGCAUGGUGUUUUGCUAUAGUUGUCGUGGAGAAAGCUGCAACGGGCAUUGGCAAAAAGCUGGAACCGAUCACCGGGAGAGCUACAAACGGCUUCUACAAAAGCUGCAGCAGUGACGACUGGGCGAGCCACUGCUACAACCGGCAAUGCUGUUUGCUACUACCAGGGCCGGCAAAUGCUGCAAUCAAUCAUGGUGCAGAAUCUCCGUCGGCGAGGAGCUACGAUGGGGACUGUAGCCCUUGACGGUACAACUCGAUGAACCUUGGCACACGGAUGUCCCUUCGAAGCCAUGGCGGCACCCCUUUGCGCAGAGCUCGAGGACCAUGGCAUGGCGUUCCUUGGCAGCCAUGGCGGGUCUGCGAGGGCGGCGAGCUUGGGUGUGCGGAGGUGCUUCGAUCUCCGGCGAGGGUCAACGAUGCUCACCGCAGCCCCCCCCCUCUCUCUCUCCGGCGUGCGGCGGCUGCUCCCUUUUUUUUGAUUGAACGAUGCGGGAGAAGGAAGAAGCGAGGAGGAAGGAGGGGACGACACAGGAGAGGGGGCUGAAUCGCGCGGCCUGGGACACAAGCAUCGUGUGGCUGCGGUGCGACUGGCCGAAACUUUGGGCCGGCGCGCCGGCGCCUAGUACCGCCCUUUUUUAAUAGUAGGGGAAAUACUCUCGUCUAAAACAUACACUUAGUUAAUCUUUGCGUUCAAGCAACUUAACGAAAAGGGUCUGGCUAGGAAUCAGUCGACUGAGACUUCGCGAAGUCUCAGUCGGCUGACGUCAGCGUACAUUUUUUAUGGCGCAGCACUUGUUUUCAGCCAGGUUUUGUUACUUUUCCUAGAGGAACUAAGCCAGAUUUUGCUCUACGCAUCGCUGCUUGUUUCUCCACUCGCGAUCGUUGCAUGGGCCUGCAGAUCGGCCCAUUUUUCUUCUUUCGCAUUGCACGUCACGUGCUCGUGCUAUGUUCCUUCUCUUUUUUUUUAGAUCAAUGUUCCUUCUCUUCUUUUUUUAAGAUCUAUGUUCCCUCUCUUCUCUGUGUACUUCUCGCAUAUUUUUUCUCAUCAUUUUUUAAAAUGGGUUUGAGUUGUAUAAAAAUAUAUUUUAUGACAAAGAAGUAAAAUAUCAAAAAUGGAAAAAAGAACACAAAAUAUAAUUCCUACUCUCCAUAUCAUCUUGCUCGCUCUUUGUUUUUCAUAUCAUUCUUCAAAAAACAAUUUGUAUUGUAAAAAAGAUCUUUCAUGUUAAAAAAAUUAAAAACAAAAUAAAAAACUCAGUUGCAUGUAGGGUCUGUCUAGGUCUCCAUUGACUGAGACUUCAUGAAGACUCAGUCGACUGAUGACAUCAGCAUACGUAUAUGACAUCAGCACAGGUACAAACCAGACCUGCUUCGUUUAUGUGACUGUUUGUGUGUUUUUGCUGUUAUGGGCUGGCUUUGUACUUCUACUAGGCCUUUAUCUCAUCUUUUUCUUUUCCCUGCGAUUUGUUGCUUUUUGCCGGAUUUUUUCCUCUUCUUGUACUUGGGCUGUACGACUGCAAAUAUAAUAUGUGUUUUGCUAUCCAGCUACAACCUCAGCGUUUCUCAAAAAAGCUACAACCUCAACGAGUGAGGUAACUUUUUUUGUUCAAAUCAUAGCAUUUUUUCUGGAAAAAUUCUUGUAUAUGCAAUACAGUGCAUGCUUGUAGUGUUUUUUUAGAUGGGCAUAUAACUUAUUGUCAUUUGUCGUUCAUAAAAAAAUACAAAGGAUUUGAACACAAAGAAACGAUAUUGAAGAAACAAUAAUAAUUUUGUGCUUCCUAUUGCUUGCUGACGAGCUAUGAAGUUGCUGCCCGCGGUUGUUAAAGUACGUAAGGACAAAGGACAACACACACAGGUAUAUAUAGUGUAUACAUCAUUUUUGUUACAUGAACAAUUUCAAAAAAUUACAUGAACAUUUUUUAAGAACCGUGAACAGUUUUAAAUUUUAUGGACAGUUUACAAUAAAUAUGAAUUAUGUUUUCAAACACAUAAAUACUUUUAUAAAAUACAUGAACAUUUACUAAGAAUUGCAUGAAUAAUUCUAGAAAAUGUUUCAUCGCGUAUUGAAAAAAUGUUCACCGCAUAUCGGAAAAGUGCUCAAUAAUUAUUUUUAGAAAAAACUUGAACAUGUAUUUUUUAAAUAUUCAUAUACACACAAGGAAAUAUAUUUCUACUAAUGGGAAAUGAAAAUCAUAUUAAAGGGGGAAAAGAGCAAAUUAACCAGAUAAACAAGCGGAAAAAAUAAAAAUAAUAAAAUAGAGAAAGGAAAAUUAAAAAUGAAAAACAAAGGAUAAAAACAGAAAAAGGGGAAAAGGAAAAAGGGAAUGAGAAGAAAAACUGAAGUUAAAAAAUUAGGAAACAAAUUCACAGUUGCAGUCUUGUUGUAUCGCUCGCAUUUGCGGGAUGAUUGUGACACAUGCAGUUGAAGGUUUAGCGGUAUACAUGCAAGUGGCCAAUAUCCCUUGGCGCAAGUUGCAGUCGAGCACAACACUUGCAGUUGCGUGCCUAGUGACAGACAUGCAACUGCCGCCCUACCCCCGAUAAACACCACAGAGUUGCAGUCGGGGUGAUACUUGCAGUUGCAUGCCUAGUGGUAGACAUGCAUCUGCCACCAACCAUUCACAAAAAUACCACAAAGCGCAUAGUUGUAGUCGUGUUGCACACAUGCACUUGUACUCAGGGACGACACUGGCAGUUGCGUGCCAAGUGGCAGACAUACAACUGUCCCUCCCCACUGGCAAACACCAUAGAGUUGCAGUCGUGGGCGACACUUGUAGUUGCAUGUCUAAUGACAGACAUGCAACAGUCCCUUCCCCAACAAAACACCACAAGUUUGUAGUAGCGUCGAAGACAUGCAGUAGCACUCUGGGGAAAACUUCCGAUUGCGUACAUUUUAAGACGACAUGCAACUGCCCCCUCCCCACCAACAAACGACACAGAGUUGUAGUCGGGGGACGAACUUGCGGUUGCAUGCCUAGUGACAAACAUGAAACUGCCCUCUUCCAGCAAAACACCACAGAGUUACAGCCGCAUUGAAGACAUGCAGUUGCACUCGAGAAUGACACUUACAGUUGCAUGCCUAGUGAUAAACAUGCAAUGCCCCUCCCCCGACAAAACACCAUAAAGUUGCAGUUGCAUUGAAGACGGGCAUUUGCACUUGGGGGCGACACUUGGAGUUGCGUGUCUAAUAGUAGACAUGCAAUUGCCCCUCCCACCGACAAACACCACAGAGUCGAGGGCGACAUUUGCAGUUGCAUGCCUACUGUCAGACAUGCAAGUACCCACCCCCCCUCCUGUCAUGCUCCGACAAAAAAGGUCAAUUGCAGUUGUUUGGGUAGAGUACAUGCAGUUGUAUUCUGGGGCAACACUUGCAGUUGCAUGCCUAGUGUCCGACAUGCAACUACCUUACUGCGCCCACACACACUCUCCUGCCGCCCUCCAGCAAAACAAGGGUCGANNNNNNNNNNNNNNNNNNNNNNNNNNNNNNNNNNNNNNNNNNNNNNNNNNNNNNNNNNNNNNNNNNNNNNNNNNNNNNNNNNNNNNNNNNNNNNNNNNNNNNNNNNNNNNNNNNNNNNNNNNNNNNNNNNNNNNNNNNNNNNNNNNNNNNNNNNNNNNNNNNNNNNNNNNNNNNNNNNNNNNNNNNNNNNNNNNNNNNNNNNNNNNNNNNNNNNNNNNNNNNNNNNNNNNNNNNNNNNNNNNNNNNNNNNNNNNNNNNNNNNNNNNNNNNNNNNNNNNNNNNNNNNNNNNNNNNNNNNNNNNNNNNNNNNNNNNNNNNNNNNNNNNNNNNNNNNNNNNNNNNNNNNNNNNNNNNNNNNNNNNNNNNNNNNNNCUAGUGUCAGACGUGCAACUUCCCCCUCUCCCGCCACACUCCGACGAAACAAAGGUCUGUUGUAGUCGGAUGGGUAGACAUGCAAUUGCAGUCGGGGCGACACUUGCAGUUGUGUGCCUACAGUCAGACAUGCAACUACGCCCCCCUCCCGAUGUCCUCCAACAUAACAAAAAGACUAGUUGCAAUCGGGUGGGUAGGCAUGCAGUUGCAGUCAAGGAUGACACUUGCAGUUGCAUGCCUAGUCUGCAACUACCCCCUCUCCUGCCGCCCAUCGACAGAACAAAAGUCAAUUGCAUUCGCUUGUAGACAUGCAGUUGUAGUCAAGGGCGACAUUUGCAAUUGCAUGCCUUGUGAAAAACAUGCAACUACCCCUCCCCUCUUCCACUGUUCUUCGAUAGAACAAAGGUCAGUUGUAGUCGAGGGCGACACUUGCAGUUGCAUGCCUAGUGUUAUGUAUGCAACUUUACGGUGCGCUCGUGAAAAAAAACAUAGCACAUAAACACAAUAAAAAAUUAUUUUUGGGUAAUACACAAAGAAACAAAGUAAAAAAAUAUAGACAAGAUACAAAUAAGCAAAUAAAGUAAAAGUCCAUGUAGAAAAGGCAACGACAACUCAGAAUAAAAAAAUUAACACAACAACAUGUGAGAAUAAAAAUUGUUCAUGUGUGUCAAAAUGUAGUUCUUAAAAAAUUGAAUGUUCCAUAUUUCCUAAACAAGAAAGAUAAUAAAUAAAAAAUGGAAAUACAAGUAAAGAAAUAAAAGGAAAAUCUACUAAAAAUAAAUGAAAAAAGAAAGUUAAAAAGCUAGACAAGUACACGUGUAUACUGUAUACAUACACAUAAAGUCAGCUGCCCCAUUAACUUUCUUUUUCUGUACAUACACGGUGCACACAACCCAGCAAAAAAGAAGAAGAAAACAUACAAAGAUUUACAUGGACAGCUAUGACAAUAUAAAAACAGAAAAGCACAAGAGAACGAGCUGCAAGCCACAAUCCACAACCCACGUAGCGGAAGGCAUACUAUGCUGCUGCCAGCCUCUCAUAUAGGAAAAGCCUAGUGUGUUUUGAAAAAGAAAACACAUCAGCGACUGAAUACAGUUCGAUGAAACUUGGCGGCUAAUCUCGUCGACCGAGACUUUGUAAAGUCUCAGUCGACUGAUUUUUAGCGUUCCCCUUGCAUGUAAGAGAUGCAACCGGCCACCGCCGAGGGGAGUUGCGUGUCAAGGGUUAACAUGAAACUGAAUAAAAAGGGCAUACAACACCCCCACCUCAUUUACCCCCCCCCCACCCCCACACACAAAGUUGCAGUUGUGCUGAAGACAUGCAGUUGGAGUUCGUGUCGACAUAUGCGGUUGUCUGUCUAGUGGAGGACAUGCAACUCCCCCCCUUCACCGACGAACCACUACUAAGGUGAAAAUCGUGUUGGAAAAUGUGAGGUUGUAGUCAGUAGUUGUGUGCCUAGUGGCAAAUAUGCAACUACCCCCUCCCUCGGACAAAAACACCACAUAGUUACAGUGGGAGGCAACACUUGUAGUUGCACGCCUAGUGGCAGACAUGCAACUGCCCCUCCCGACAAAAUACCACACAGAGUUGCAGUCAGGUGAGGCACUUGAAGUUGCGUGCCUAGUGGCAAAAAAACUGUCCACUCACCCCGAGAAAAAACAUCACAUAUGGUUGCAGUCGGGGCAAGACUUGCAAUUGCAUGCCUACUGGCAGACAUGCAACUACCGCUUCCCGAAAAAACACCACAGAGUUGCAGUCAUGUUGAAGAUAUGAAGUUACAGACGGGGGGCAAUACUUGCACUUGCAUGCCUAGGGAUGAACAUGCAACUACCACUCCUAGAAAACAACUUAGAGUUGCAGUCAGGGGCGACACUUGCAGUUGCGCGCCUAGUGGCAGACAUGCAACUGCCCUCUCCCCCCAACAAAUAACAUCACAUAGUUGCAGACGUGGGCAACACUUGUAGUUGCAUGCCUAGUAACAGACAUGCAACUGCCCCUUCCCAACAAAACAACAUAGAGUUGCAGUCACAUUAAAGACAUGCAAUUGCAGUCAGGAGCAAUACUUGCAAUUGCAUGCCUAGUGAUUGACAUGCAACUUCGAUUCCUAGAAAAUACCUCAGAGUUGCAGUCAGGGGUGACACUUGCAGUUGCGUGCCUAGUGACACAUAUGCGACCACCUCACUUUCCAGACAAAAACACCACAGAGUUGCAGUCGGUGGCAACACUUAAAAUUGCAUGCCUGGUGGUAGACAUGCAACAAUCCCUCCCGACAAAACACCACAGAAUUAUAGUUGCAUUAUAGAGAAGCAAUUGUAGUCGGGGGUGACACUUUAGUUGCAUGCGUCCCUAGUGUCAGACAUGGAACUUUCCUUCCUCCACAAAAAAACACGACAUAUUUUCUUUUGGGGGCAACACUUGCAGUUACAUGCCUAGAGGCAGACAUGAAACAAUUCCUCUCCCCCCCGAUAAAAACACCACAGAGUUGCAUUUGUGUUGACUACAUGUAGUCGCAGUCAGGACUGACACUUGCAGUUGUGUGGCUAGUGGCGCACACAUGCUACUGCCCCAUCCACAGACAAAACACCACUGAGUUGCAAUCGCGUUGAAGACAUGUUGUUGCAACUGGAGCGACACUUGUAGUUGCAUGCCUAGUGGUAGAUAUGCGAUUGCCCCCUUCCCCGACAAACACCACUGAAUUUUUGUAGCGUUGAAGACAUAAAGUUGCAGCCCGAGGUGACACUUUGCAGUUGUGCAGCUAGCAGCAUAUAUGCAACUACCCCUACCUCUAGUAAAAAACCAGUGAGUUGUAGUCACGUUGAAGACAUGAACUUGCAGUUGGGGUGACAUGUGAAGUUGCAUGCUUAGCAACAAACCUGCAACUUUCGCGUCCCUUAAUAAAACACCAUAGACUUGCGGGCAUGCUUAAGACAUGCAUUUGCAGUCGCAGGGGUGGAGAACACUUGCAGUUGCAUAUAUAGAGCUAGACAUGCAACUACAGAAAAGAGACAUUUUCUCCUCGGAACAGAAAAAAAAUGCAUUUAUUCCCCGUGGAAUGAAUCAUAUUUGUGUGUUUUUUUUCAGGCGAUGGGACAAUAAAAAAAUGCAACCAUUAGUGUUGUCAGGUUUGUGGACACGAGCUAUUACACGUACAUUUAUCAGAGCAUCCACCCCUAAAAAAACCUAGAAAAGACGAUAUUAUCGCACACAUACACCCGAAACAUGUAAUUUGCAUAGACGUCAAAAAGCCUAAGGCAAAAAAAAAACCAAAAAAGGAAUGAUUCGGAAACCCCACAGACCGACACCGCAUGCACGCGAAAACGAGAACAAACCAAACGUGCCACACGGAAAACCAUAAAGCCCACUGGGAGAAAGCACAAGACUUAUUACAUUUCAUUUGACGUGUGAAGGACUUAAAUACGCGUUAGACAAUAGUCAUCCAGAAAUAGCAUAAUGCACGAUUUUAAGCCGUGCUCCAAAAAAGUAUCAAUAAAAUAAGAAAAAUAAAAAUAAACUAAAAGAAGAAAAUAGAAGUGACAUAAGAAAAAAAAUAGAAACAGAUUUUUUAAACAAAAACAGCAGAACAAAAAAUCUAUAUAACGGUUUGCGAGUUGACAAAGAUUUAGCAAAGCCAAAACAAAAUGAAUGGGUUGAUAAAUAAAAUAAAAAACAAAAUGACUAAAUUUAAACAAAAACAAAAGGAAAAUAAAAAAUAACUAAAGCUAAUAAAUACUAGGUAUGUGAAGUUUAUACCACUACUCAAACCUACACGUUGCAAAAGUCGUUGAUAAUACAAAAAAAGGCCAAAAGGGGUCACACGACCCUCUCGAUCAAAAAGGAGAAACAGGAAAAAGCAAUGGCAUCACUGCUCACGGAACAAAAAAUAAUCACAUAGAAGCCCAAGUACACGAAUGAAACGACGGCCCAGGAAGAAACGAAAAGCCUAGAAGAAAAGAUACGAACAAACAAUCGAUGGUCUAGUUAGGGCCGAGAUAGCGAACAAAUUCCACGUAACUCAGUCGACUAAGACUUCAGUAAUUCUCAGUCGACUGAGAAUUAGCACAACCGAUAAAUUAUGGGUCUGUCUAGGUCUCAGUCGAAGUCUAAGUCGACUGAUGUCACCUAAGGCAGAUUAGGCCUGUUUGUUUACUCGAUAGUUGCUGGGUUUUAUUCUUAGCUGGGCCUUUUUCGAUUCUCUCUUGUUUGUUUGUUUGUUUAUUGGGUUGGGCUGGGCUGAUUGUUUCUGUUGGAAGAUGCCCGUCGCCUGUAUAACAGAGGGACCGUGUCCCCCGCCAUGUACAUGAUCUGUAACUGCACGCCGUGCUCCACUCCUAUGUGCACGUUGUGCAUGCCCGUACAUAGCUAGCUUCCUGUUAUGAUGUACUCUGUAUAAAUCCCCUUUGUGGGCUCAUUGAAUGGACAAGCCAAGUUUCUAUUCUCCAUCUGUUUCUUUGUCUUUGUUUUUUUUCUUGACAUGGGAAAAAAUGUUCAACAAGAGAAGUAAAUAAAACAACAUUUUUCUGUCGCCAGUCUAGCUCAUCGUUCAGUCCUUCUCUUCCUGCGUCAUCUUGCUUCUCUUUUUUUAUUUUAUGACAGUUUGUAUAUUAUGACAAAAAUCAAUCUUUAAUGUAACAAAGAAACAAAAUGAAAACAAGACAAACUAAAUAGUGUGGCACUUUUUUUCAAAAGAAAAGAAUAUUAAGUUGCAUACAAAUGGAGGACAUGCAAAUGUGUGCAUCCAACGUGGGUUGCGUUGUUUUUCUUAACAAUCAAAAGAAGAAGAAGAAUACAAAUUCAAAACACAACGGUAAAAUUGAAAUAAAAAAGAAAGUAGAAAAAGUAAAAGAAAAGGUCAAUAAUAAGUCUGCAUAGCAGGCCGCCCAAGCCGAGUCUGUAGUUGCAAAAAAAAAGUCAGUUGCAGCCGGGGGCGACAUUUGCAGUUGCAAGCCUACUAUCGGACAUCCCGUUGCAGUCGAGGGCGACACUUGCAGUUGCAAGCCUAGCGUCGGACAUGCAACUCCCCCUCCCCCAACAUGACAAAAAGUCCAAUUGCAACCAUGUUGAAAGACAUGCAAUUGCAGUCGGGGGUGACAUUUGCAGUUGCAUGUCUAGUAGUGGACAUGCAACUGCCCCCAACCCCUCCCGAACAUGCAACUACCCCACCCCCUCCCGCCGCCCUCUGACAAAAACACAAGACCAAUUGCAUUCGGGGGCGACACUUGCAGUUGCAUGCCUUGUAUUGGACAUGCAGCCGCACCCCACUCACCUCUCUCGCCACUCUUACAAAACAAAGGUUAGUUGUAGUAGUGGUGUGUGGACAUGUAGUUGCAUUAGGUGGCGACACUUGCAGUUGCAAAGCCUAGUGUCGAACAUGCAACUACCUCCUCUCCCGACGCCCACUUACAAAACAAAAAUGUCAGUUGCAUUGGUUGUGUAGGCAUACAAUUGCAGUCGAGGACGACACUUGCAAUUGCAAGCCUAGUAUCGGACAUGCAACUCCCUCCCUCCAUGUCGCUCCCUUAAAAAACAAAAAAAAGGUCAGUUGCAGUCGAGUGUGUAGGCAUGAAGUUGCAGUCGAGGGUCACACUUGUAGUUGCAAGCCUAUUGUCGGACAUGCAACUCCCCUCCUCUCCUAUCGCCCAUUUAUAAAAAAAUGUCAGUUGCAGCCGGUUGUGUAGGCAUGCGGUUGCAAUCGAGGGCAACACUUGAAGUUGCAAACCUACUGUCACACAUGCAAUUGUAGUCGAGUUGAAAAUGAGCGCUACCGACUCCUCCAAAAAAAAGUGCUACUGAACAGAUAUAAGGAAUAACAAAAAAAUUUAAAAAAAACUAGAAUUAUCAAGAAACAAAUAGGAAGACAAAAUAUAACAAAAAAUUAAUGAGACAAAUGCACAAAAAAGAUGAAGGAAAAUAAAAAAUAAAAUCAAAGAUAUACAAAAGAAUAAAUGAAAAAGAAAACAAACAAAAAAUAAAAAUUACAACCCCACAAAAUAAAGCUCACAACGAAAAAAAUGCCAACCCUGUCCAACGCACAGGGCAAACACCAACCACGACACGAAAACAAACAGACGCAGCCCAAUCCCGAUCUUCAUUCAUGGGCCAUUUCCAUUAAACAUCAGUGUUGAACGGAUCUUAAAGCAGCAAAAAAAUCGAACGGACAGGGGCGUCGAGAUUUAGCAGCGCCCUAACGAAAAUAUGUCAUGCAUCCGAUCGAAACAGUGGUACCGUGCAGGGCGGGGUACGGGUAGGAACAAAUAUGUCAUGCUCCACAGAUUCCGUUUGUGAUGCACCCGUUCACACCCACCACGUGCACGCUGCAGUCACGGAGUGGACAGCAGAGUGAUCCGACGAGCCAACUUCCCGCAGAUAAGUCUCGCCGCGAACCUACAAAUACCGCCACGCUCCACCCAGUCACACACCGACAAUCUACAAGCGACAAGCACCAGCACCACGGCUCGACUCAACCAGCCACACGCCGUCACACCGAUCAUGGAGCCCGGCCGCGAGCCCACCGGCACGAUCGUCUUCGCCUCCGUCGGGGUCACCAGCUUCGGCUUCGACGUCUUCUCUGUCGCCGCCCCGCAGACUCCCGAGAGCGCGUCCGCAGCGGGGCUGGCGGAGCUCCGCCACACGGACGGCGUGUCCGUCAACUUCAACGCCCAGUUCGCGGACGACGGCGGCGAGGAGGUGGCCUUCGUGUCCGAGCGGACCGGCUCGGCGGGCCUGUUCCUGUGCCGCCCCGGGUCCGAGCGCGCCGUGCCGCUGCCGGCCGUCGAGGGGAGCCUGUUCCACGACCGCCCCACCGUGAGGGGCGGCCGGCUGUACUUCGUCUCCGCGCACGAGAAGCCGGCCGCGUGGUUCAGGAGCUGGGCGGCGGUGUACGCGACGGACCUGGCAAGCAAGGGCACGGUGCGGGUCACGCCGCAGGGCGUGGCAGACAUGAGCCCCGCCUUGUCCGCGUCCGGCCAGCUCCUCGCCGUCGCCUCGUACGGCGAGAGGCCGUGGGCGUUCGAUUUCCACGAGCUCGAGACGGAGGUCGCCGUCUUCCGUGCCGCCGACCCCGCCCGCCGCGUCGUCGUCGCUGCUCGGGGCGGCUGGCCGACCUGGCACGGGGAGGGCACGGUGUUCUUCCACCGUAUCGCCGAUGACGGCUGGUGGAGCGUUUUCCGGGUGGACAUCUCGCCGGAGACUCGACAGCCCCGCGGCGCCGAGACGCGCGUGACGCCGCCGGGCGUGCACUGCUUCACCCCUGCCGCCGCGGGCAGUGGCUGCCGUUGGAUUGCCGUGGCGACGCGGCGGAAGGGGCGGGGGCACCGCCACAUUGAGCUGUUCGACCUCGAGACGGAGCAAUUCACCUCGGUUACCUCUCUCCUCAACCCGGAGCUGCACCACUACAACCCAUUCUUCUCGCCGUCCGGCGAGCGCCUCGGGUACCACCGCUUCCGCGGCGCGGGCGCGCCGGGCGACUCGCUGAUCCCGUACCUGCAGCCGGUGCGCAGCCCGGUGAGCUCCAUCCGCAUGCUCCGCGUGCACGGCUCCUUCCCGUCCUUCUCGCCGGACGCGAAGUACUUGGCCCUCAACGGCGACUUCUUCAAGUCCCCCGGCGUGACGAUCCUCCGCGCCGACGGCUCCAAGCGAUGGGUGCUCGCCAAGCAGCCCAACCUGUUCUACACCUCGUGGAGCCCCAGCGAGAGCGGGGUGGUGUUCACCUCCGCUGGCCCAAUCUUCGAGACCCCGAAAGCGACGGUCCGGGUGGCGCGCAUCGAGUUCGACACGAGCGACCUCACCGACGACCGCGGCGACGUCGACGUGGCCGUGAAAGAGCUGACCCGGCCGGAGGCAGGCAACGACGCGUUCCCGGCGGUGUCGCCGUGCGGGCGGUGGGUGGUGUUCCGGUCCGGCCGGUCGGGCCACAAGAACCUCUACAUCGUCGACGCGGCGCGCGGGGAGGAGACGAUACGGAGGGUCACCGAGGGCGAGUGGAUCGACACGAUGCCGAGCUGGUCGCCGGACGGGAAGCUGAUCGCGUUCUCCUCCAACCGGCACGAGCCGGCCAACGCCGCCGUGUUCAGCAUCUACCUGAUGCGGCCGGACGGGACAGGGCUGCGGCGGGUGCACGUGGCCGGGCCGCCGGGGAGCGCGGAGGCGGACAAGGAGCGGAUCAACCACGUGUGCUUCAGCCCGGACGGCGAGUGGCUGCUCUUCACGGCCAACCUGGGCGGCGUCAUGGCCGAGCCCAUCUCGGGACCGAACCAGUUCCAGCCGUACGGCGACCUGUACGUGUGCCGGCUCGACGGCUCCGGUGUGCUCAGGCUCACCAGCAACGCCUACGAGAACGGCACGCCGAUGUGGGGGCCGGCGCUGGGCGUGGAGUCGCUGUCGCUGGGCGCUCCCGCCGCGGACGAUUCGCUGGGCGAGUUCGACGAGCCGCUUUGGCUCAGCUGCGACGUGUGAGGGGCAGGGAUGGUCGUCGAUUGAUGGGUGCAGCCACGGCGGUUUCGGGUGGCUUCGGUCGAUAAUAAUUUAAUAGUGGUGCGAAUGAUCCUCAUUCUGGUUGAUGGUGUUGUCAGACGUUUUGUAUUGUUGCUAAGUAAUAAAACCAAGUGCUUGUGUGGAAUCCACUAUGUGUUGUCAGCUAAAGUAGUGACACUGAUAAGGGUCGACGUAUGUACUUCUGCCUGAAGACUCGGUCGGACCACGAGUUUUUCUCGUCUUUCUCCUAAAGCCGAUGCAGAAUUUGUUGGUCGGCAUGUAACCAUCGAUCAAUGUUAAGAGUAGUUAUUAUGGUAUACGACUUCUAGUCCAAAUCAGUUUUGUACCCCUAUCCCAAGUCGGUUUGUACCCUUUUAUAUACUUUGUAUGCCGCACCAAAUCAUCAACAAGCAACAGUUUUAUUCAGCUUUCAUGGUAUCAGAUACCGGUCCUAGGGUUUAGGGUAUGGCUCUGCCAACGCCACCAUCGCCGCCGCCGCCCGGCUACUUCGAGCGCCGGGCCGCACUCAUCGCCAAGGCUGCCAACGCCGCGGCCGCUUCUCUCUCGGCCCUCACCAUAGCUCCACAAAACUACCCUGCACCCAUCCUCGCCGCACCAAUAUCUCUUGCUGACACAAUCUCCGACGUCUGCCCCUACAUCCCCAUAGUUCUUGAUCUCGCCGCCCACAACUACUACCAUUGGAGACAUCUCUUCGAUCUCCACCUCGGCCGCUGCAACCUGCGCUCGCAUGUCGCCGCCAACUGUCUUCCCCGCCCCGACGAUCCGCAAUGGUUGAAAGACGAUCUCGCGAUCGUCCAGUGGUUCUACACCCGCAUCACCACCGAGAUCUUCAACAUGCUCGAUCACGACGGCGCCACCGCUGCCAACAUCUGGCACUCCCUCCGUCAGCUCUUCCAAAGCAACACCGACGCUCGGAAAAACGCUCUCCACACCGAGCUUCGCAAUAUGGUGCAAGGAGACGCCCCGGUGAACCUGUUCUGCCAGCGCGUUAAGACCAUUGGUGAUGAGCUCCGCGAACUCGGCGAUACAGUUAGCGACUCACAGCUAAUCAAUAUCGUCGUCGUCGGCCUCAGCGAAGACUUUGACAAGCAAGCCUCGUUCAUACCGAUGAUACGGCCCCCUCCUACCUUCGCUGAAGUUCGUUCCUUGCUACAACUCGCGGCGGAAGCACAAACUCGCAAGGACUCUCGCCCCAAGGUCUUUCAUGCUGCGGCUCAUCCUCCUCUGUCGUCUACACCAGCGCCGCCUUCCAGGCCGGCUCCUGCCGCCGGGCCGUCCGCAUCGUCAUCUGUUCAACCGCCCCUAGGCUGGCGUCCUAGCCCGAACUACCGCGGCAAAAACCCUAUCUACAGGCCGCCGUCGACUCGUUCGGUUCCGCCUACGACAUCACCAGCACCGAGUCCUGCACCACCCACCAGUGCUCCAUCUUCGGUUGCAUGGCGGCCUCCUCAUGAUCCUUGGACGGGGCUUGUUCAAGCAUGGCACAUGCCCUGGUCCGCUCCAUCCACCCUCGGUGCUCCGCCGGCAUACUCAGGUGCCUGGCAACCCGGCCUUCGGCCGCCUACUGGUGCUCCCGGGGUUCUCAACCCCGACAGCCGGCCAAUGCCUAUCACGCCGCCCCGACGUAUGCUCCUUAUGGUCAUUACAGCACCGACGGCGGCGCCUACUACACAUCUCAGCCGGCCCUGCUCCCGACGCCACCCCCACCACAGCCGGCCAAUGCCUACUACACUCCCCAGCCGGCACUGCUUCCGACGCCACCCUCACCUGCGACACCGAGCUGGGAUCAAGCUGCCUUUCUCUAGGCCAUGAAUAACUUUGCUGCACAAGGAAACUCAGGUACGGAUUGGAUCUUUGAUUCAGGGGCCUCUAGUCAUAUGUCUGCAUCUAGUAAUUGGUUAUCUUCUUGCACUAAAUCUCCUUUCCCGUCCAUUAUCCUUGGAGAUGGAUCAUCUAUUCUAUAUAUUGUGUUGGUCAGGCUCAACUUCCCUCUUCCACCAAACCUCUUUUACUUCGCGAUGUUCUAGUUGCACCCGCCCUCAUUAAAAAUCUUAUCUCUGUUCGCCAAUUUACUUGCGACAAUCUAGUUUCGGCUGAAUUUGACCCUUUUGGUUUAUCUGUAAAGGAUUACCUGACCAAGGCCGAGAUCGCUCGCUUCAAUAGCUCCGGUGAUCUUUAUUCUCUUAAUGGAGUUCCUGCCGCCACCCCUCCAACAUCCAUGCUGGCCUCCGUCGAUCUCUGGCAUCGUCGCUUGGCCAUCCCAACCCCGCCGUCUUAGCUUCUAUGCUUAGUGAAUUUACCAUACCAUGUAAUAGGGACUCUCAUAAUUCUGUGUUUUGCGAGUCUUGUCAAUUAGGCAAACAUGUGCGUCUUUCCUUUAGUUCCUCUAGUUCUUGUAGCACUUAUCCCUUUGAAUUAAUACAUUGUGAUUUAUGGACCUCUCCCAUUGCAAGUGUUUCGGGUUUUAAAUACUACCUUGUUAUCCUAGAUGAUUUCACCCACUUUGUCUGGACUUUUCCUCUACGCAACAAAUCCGAGGUCCAUUCUCUUUUCCUUAAUUUUCAACGCUAUGUGUCUGUUCACUUCUUCCUCCCAAUUCGCUUUAUCCAAUGUGACAAUGGUCGCGAGUUUGAUAACAUUAAAAAUCGUACUUUCUUCUUACAACAUGGCAUCCUGCUUAGGUUCUCAUGUCCCUACACCUCCCCUCAAAAUGGUAAAGCAGAACGCUCUCUUCGCACCNNNNNNNNNNNNNNNNNNNNNNNNNNNNNNNNNNNNNNNNNNNNNNNNNNNNNNNNNNNNNNNNNNNNNNNNNNNNNNNNNNNNNNNNNNNNNNNNNNNNNNNNNNNNNNNNNNNNNNNNNNNNNNNNNNNNNNNNNNNNNNNNNNNNNNNNNNNNNNNNNNNNNNNNNNNNNNNNNNNNNNNNNNNNNNNNNNNNNNNNNNNNNNNNNNNNNNNNNNNNNNNNNNNNNNNNNNNNNNNNNNNNNNNNNNNNNNNNNNNNNNNNNNNNNNNNNNNNNNNNNNNNNNNNNNNNNNNNNNNNNNNNNNNNNNNNNNNNNNNNNNNNNNNNNNNNNNNNNNNNNNNNNNNNNNNNNNNNNNNNNNNNNNNNNNNNNNNNNNNNNNNNNNNNNNNNNNNNNNNNNNNNNNNNNNNNNNNNNNNNNNNNNNNNNNNNNNNNNNNNNNNNNNNNNNNNNNNNNNNNNNNNNNNNNNNNNNNNCCCCCGGCCCCUACUCCAACUCCACCACCCAGCCCUACUCCUUCGUCUGACUCUUCCGCUGCGCCGGACUCACCGGUACCCACCUUACCCCCUCGUGCUAUUCCUACAGAAGCCCCGAUUAAUGAUCAUCGCAUGCGUACUAGGGCCAAAUCAGGAUUUCAUCAACCCCAAGACCGCCUAAACCUUCAUACCUCCGUAUCUCUCACUUCUCUUCCAAAGAAUUACAAAACUGCUCUACUUGAUCCCAAUUGGGCCGCUGCCAUGCAAGAAGAAUAUAAUGCUUUACUUCAAAACAACACCUGGCAACUUGUUCCUCGUCCUCCCAAUACAAAUAUUGUUUCUGGCAAAUGGAUUUUUCGCCAAAAGUUCCACUCCGAUGGGAGCCUCUCACGAUAUAAAGCCAGGUGGGUUUGUCGUGGCUUUUCUCAGCAACAAGGAAUUAAUUACGAAGAAACCUUCUCUCCUGUUGUUAAACCUAGCACCAUUCGCACCGUUCUUAGUGUUGCUGUCUCCUCUUCAUGGCCCAUUCACCAACUUGAUGUUAAAAAUGCUUUCCUCCAUGGUUCCCUUCAAGAAACUGUCUACUGCCAGCAACCUCUGGGUUUUGAAAAUCCAUCCUUUCCAACUCAUGUAUCUCUUCUUCAGAAAUCUCUCUACGGUCUUAAACAGGCCCCACGAGCUUGGUUUCAACGCUUCUCCUCCUUCAUUCAAACAAUAGGCUUCACACCAUCUCUCUCCGACACCUCUCUUUUUGUGUAUCAUCAAACUUCUGACACUGCCUAUUUACUUCUCUAUGUAGAUGAUAUCAUUCUUACCGCCUCCUCUCAAAAGUUCUUAGAUCAUAUUGUCUCUCUUCUUAGAUCUGAAUUUUCUAUGACUGACCUAGGACUCCUUCAUCAUUUCUUAGGCAUUGCUGUUGUUCGAGAUUCCUCCAGCCUUUUUCUUUCCCAACGCCAGUAUAUUCUUGAUCUUCUUAAUCGUGUUGGUAUGCUUGACUGUCAAUCAUCUCGCACUCCUGUCGAUACUAGUUUUAAACUUUCGUCUACCGGUGAACCCUUUUCCGAUCCUACUCUCUAUCGUAGCCUAACAGGUGCUCUCCAAUAUCUCACCAUUACUCGUCCUGAAAUCUCUUUUGCUGUUCAACAAGCAUGUCUCUAUAUGCAUGAUCCCCGGGUUCCUCACUAUAAUCAUGUUAAACGCAUUCUUCGGUAUUUAAAAGGAACUCUCAAUCAUGGUCUCCACCUCAAUAAUUCUUCUCCAAACUCGCUUACCGCAUACUCUGAUGCAGACUGGGCUGGUUGUCCUGACACUCGAAGGUCCACUUCCGGUUUUUGUGUUUUUCUUGGUAACAAUUUGAUUUCUUGGUCUUCGAAAAGACAGGUUACAGUCUCACGUUCGUCGGCCGAGGCUGAGUAUCGUGCUGUGGCACAUGCCGUUGCAGAUACAAUCUGGAUUCAGCAGUUACUCUCCGAGCUACACAGGCCUAUUGAGCAGGCCACUAUUGUCUACUGUGACAACAUAUCAGCAGUCUACAUGACCAGCAAUCCAGUUCAACACCGACGCACAAAGCAUAUUGAGAUUGAUAUUCAUUUUGUUCGUGAAAAGGUUGCUCUUGGUCAGGUUCGGGUGCUUCAUGUUCCCUCUACGGCACAGUUUGCUGACAUUUUCACCAAGGCACUGCCUACUAAGCCGUUUCAAGAUAUCUGUUUCAGUCUCAACGUCGUCGAGCCUGCCGUUGAUACUGCGAGGGGAUGUUAGAGUAGUCUUUAUGGUAUACGACUUCUAGUCCAAGUCAGUUUUGUACCCCUACCCCAAGUCGGUUUGUACCCUCUUAUAUACUCUUGUAUGCCGCACCAAAUCAUCAACAAGCAACAGUUUUAUUCAGCUUUCAAUCAAGAACGUCUGUCUUGGUCAUUAUUCUCCUGAACAUUAUUUUCGGGGAGGGCCUAAAACUCAUCAAGAUGAGAUAUCAUCAAACGGAAUUGCUAUUUUUGGGAUGGGCCUAAAACUCAUCAAAAUGAGAUACUAUCAAAUGGAAUUGCUAUUUCACGUAAAUAGUUACCUCACAUCUAAUCCUGGAACCAUAGGAUUAAAUUUGUGAAAAGAUGAAAGCAAAUGAUCGAACAAUCUUUCUCAAUGUUCGAAGACCGGGUAUUUAUACCCUUAUUACAAGGCAGUUAGAAUUACAAUGUCGGUAACUACAACCGACUGAAGCAUUGAUUAUUAGGAUUAAAUUAAUCCUUAACAAAAUUUACUAGAGUAUGAGAUUGUGCAACAACGCUCAUUUAUUUUCUGAUGAGUUGUCAACUUGUCGCUUGUUGUUGUCCCGUGUUUUUUAUUUCUUGAUCGUGUGUGCUGAGUUGUCUUUCUUGGAUCAGACCCAAUAGCGAAAAUAAUUUCUUUCUUUCUAUUCAUUUUUAUGUGCCGGGUUGCGUGUGCGUUUGUCAUUGUCUUAUUAUUAUUAUUAUUAUUAUUAUUAUUAUUAUUAUUAUUACUAUUAUUAUUAUUAUUAUUGUUUUCUUUGUCCAUUUAUGCAGAUUAUCCUAGUGCGAUUGGCAAUUUUUGUUCAAGUGUGUGUGUCCAUACCUGCAUAUUUUAUUAUUUUUGUUUGCAUAUGUCUCUAUACAAGCAAAGUAAAAUUUUCUCAAGCAUCCUUUGUGCCAUAGAAGAUUUCAUGCAUGUUAGUGUUGUAUUUCAAGUCUUUUUAGGUAGCAGAGCAAUCUUUUUUGUGUGUGUGUUUGUAUGAAUAUAAAAUAGCAAGGCCCAAUUCUUUUGCUCGGAAACUAACAAUUAGAUUUAUUCUUUUUAUGUCUAAUUUUGUUCGUGUAAGCAAAUGUUCAAGUAGAAUGAAUCCGAUGAUGAAACUUUGUGAGAAUAAAAUUGCACUUUUCUUGUUUUUUAUCCCAGUAGAGUGCGUGAAUGUUUUCGUUUAUUUUAAUAUUUGUUGUUCUUCUCCUUCUCAUUUUUCUUAUUCCCGAUUUUCUAUUCAUGAUAAUUUUAGCACCUCAACACUUUUUGAAGUGUGCGAACACUUAUUAAAAUUCAUGAAUUUUAAAUUGUGAACACACUAUUGAAUUCAUGAUUUUUUAAAAUAUUACAUAAAAAUUUAGAAAAUAUUUGAACAGUUUCAAAUUGGAUUUGCUAAAUCAGAGGUUUUAAAAAUGUCUCAUUCAAGUUGUGGUUCGUCCGAUCUAUUUGUUGCAAUCUUUGUGCAAACUUAAUCCCAUUUUUUUUGCCACGUGCGCCUCGCGUCAUCGUGUGGUAUAGUUUGUUGGUCUAUUUGUCAGGCCCAUUUAUUGUUCGAUCUCUAUUAUGUUUCCUCCUAGCCUUUUCAUGAGUGUUUUUGUCAUUUGAAUUGGUCAGCUAUCUAGAAGCGAAAGAGACAGGGUUCUUCAUUCGCAAUUGGGGUUGAUCUUUUUUUCCCAGUUGCAAUCCCACCGUCGACUUGCAACCGAGCCCUGACAGUUUUUGUUCCAGUUGCAAGUCUAUCUUUGACUCGUGACUGUGACCUAGACUUUUUUUGUCCCAGUUGCAUGUCCACCCUCGACUCGCAACUGUGGCCCAACCUUUUUGUCCUAAUUGCAAGUUCACCCUCGACUCGCAACUGGGCACGAAUCUUUUAAGUCCCAAUUGCAAUUCCAUCCUCGACUCGCAACUGGGGACCAACCUUUUUUUGUCCCAGUUGCAAUCCCACCCUCAACUCGCAACUGGGCCCGACAUUUUUUGUCCCAGUUGCAUGUCCACCCUGGACUCACAACUGGGGCCCGAAUUUUUUUAUCCCAGUUGCAAGUCCACCAUCGAUUCGCCACUGAGGCCCAACAUUUUUUCCUAGUUGUAAGUUCACCCUUGAAUCGCCAUCGGGGCCCGACCUUAUUUUAGUACCAAUUGCAACUCCAUUCUCAACUUACAAUAGGGGCAUGUCCUUUUUUGUCCUAGUUGCAAGUCCACCAUUGACUCGCAACUAGGGCCUGACCUUUUUUUGUCCAAGUUGAUAAUCCAACCUCGACUCACAACUGGGGUCAACCUUUUUUGCCCCAGUUGCAAGUACACCGUCGACUCACAACUAGACCCAACCCUUUUUCCCCAGUUGCAAGUUCACCCUCGACUCGCAACCAGGGUCUGAUCAUUUUUAGAACCAAUUGUAAGUCGAUAGUUAACUCGCAACUGAGGCCUAACCUUUUCUGUGCCAGUUGCAAGUCCACCAUCGACUCGCAACUUGGGCCCGCCCUUUUUUUGUCCAAGUUACAAGUCCAUCUAUGACUCGCAACUGAGGCGCGACCUUUUUUUGUCCUAGUUGCAAGUCCACCCUUGACUCGCAAUUGGGGCUCAUCCUUUUUUCCAGUUGCAAGUCCACACUCGAUUCACAACUAGGGUCUGGCCUUUUUUUGUCCCAGUUAAUCCCACCCUCGACUUGCAACUCAUGUCCGACCUUUUUGUGUCCCAGUUGCAAGUCCAUCCUCAACUCGCAACUGGGGCCGACCUUUUUUUGUCCCGUAAGUCCACCCUCGACUCGCAACUGAGGUCCGACCUUUUUUUGUCCGAGUUGCAAUCCCACCCUCGAUUCACAAUUGGGCCCCAUCAUUUUUUUGUCCUAGUUGCAAGUCAAUGGUGGACUCGCAACUAGGGUUUUGUCCCAGUUGCAAGUUCGCCCGCGGCUCGCAACUGUGGCCUGAUUUUUUUAGUCCCAUAUGCAAGUCCACCCUCGACUCGCAACUUUAGUCUGACAAAUUUAUGAAAAAUUUCUAAUUUCAUGACUGUUUUUUCAAAUUCUCGUGCAAUUUUUAAUUGCAUGAACAUUUUUUAUCUGCUAUUUUUUCAAUUCUUUAUUAUCUUUAAAAAUUCAUGAAGAACUUUUAGAAUUUUGUCAAUAAUUUUAUGUGUUCAUGAAGAUUCUUUAAUUUAUGAACAUUAAAUUUACACUUUUCGUAUUUAUGAAAAGCUAGGACAUUACGCUGGGGAAGGCAAAGAAAAACGAAACAAACCACAUGCCAAAAACAACCAAACAAACAUACUAGAAAUGGUUUUAAAAGCCGGUUGCGCUGGGGAAGAUCAAGAAAGACGGGAAAGAACCCACGAGCUGAAAAAAGCAAAAAAUCUAAUGAAAACAAAAGUAGUAAUUUUACAACUGAGAGCGUGUUUGUCUCUAAAUGGUAUUUUGGUGUGAUGACAAUGUGAUUAAUGGAACUAAUUACGGUUGUUAAGAUUUAUCUCAGGCCAUGGUACCCCGAAUAUUUAUUGUGGAGAUUGUUGACCCCCUCCCCCCCACACCCACACACUUCAAAAGAUCAAAUGUAUUAUUUUCUGAUGACUCAAAGCUUUUGUUUCUGUUUUAUUUGAGUCAUAGGACAACUGCACUGUCAAGAGGGUCAAGGUGGUUGAAUGACAAUGUGAGAAAACCCCCAAAAAAAGAAAAAAGUCUAUUUUACUCCUCUAAACAAAGUGGGUGGUUUACUUUACCCCGAUCUAUUUUUUGGCUCCUUCUACACCUCGAACAAAACCAAACCGGAUAAAACAUCCCUCCGGCUGGUUUGUCUCCAUUCGAUGCUGAUGUGGCACAGUCCAACGGCGGUUUUGACCGGGGUGGGGCCUACUUGUCAGGUUGGACUGUUAUAGAGCUGUCGUUCCCGUUGCGAUCUGGAUCAGACAGUUCCCGUGGCAGGUUGUACGCGUCCUGGCCGAGGCGGAGGCGCGCGCUGAAGUGGAGCUUCUCGCGAACUGUGUGAGCAGCGGGCAGAGGACGUCACGCUGGGUGACGUAGACACAGAGUCCGCGCAGGGCCGCGGCGUCCACAGGCGAGUCAUGGACGUGGAGGUCAGUAAGAGGGGAGGAGCUGGGCUCAAGGCGGCCGGAGAGGAUCUCGAGCAGCGUAGACUGCCGGCGCCGCUGGGUCCGAUGAUGGCAAGCAGCUCGCCGGGGCGCGCGCGGCAGCUGAUGUUGCGGAGCAGUAGACGGCACCGGCUGCUGCGGCUCACCGGCGGAGGUGCGGGCGCAGCAGGGUCGCCGGUGGCGUCGAGGAGGUCGUCGGGCCUGCUCCAUAUCUUGAGCGAGUGAGGCCAGGCGGAGACAGUGAUGCCCGCGGCCUCCACCUCGCACCUGCUGCUUUCUACUCCUCCUCCGCUCUUCAUUGAUUCGCUCGCUAGCUCGUCGUCUUCCUGGAUGGUUGCUAGUAAAGGUGGUGCUUCACCUGCCGGAUGCAUGGAAGACGAUGAGCUUCGUGGUUGCUAGCUUUAUGGUUUGUGUUGGCUGAAGCUCGGGUGAAGCUUGGAUGAUUGGGCUUGGCUGAGCCUAGUUUGGCUUGCUCGGUGGGCAUACAUGGGCAUGGGAGUGUGAGCUUGGAGUGGAGUGGCACAUGAUGAUACCAUGUACGUGCUGGUCUUCUUGGAAGGUGGCGGGCGCCGCUGGGGCUGAAGAUGGCGAGCAGAGAGGCCCUUGACCAUGGCGUCCGCGAUGCGGGUCAGGGCGAGGUCGUCGACGAGCGCGUCGACCGCGGCGGGGUCGUACGCGUCCGAACCGAGGCGGCCGGAGGCGUGCGCUCAAGUGGAGCAUCUCGCGCACGGUGAGGAGCGGGAAGAGAACGUCACACUGGGUGACGUAGCCGCAGAGGCGGCGCAGGGCCGCGGUGUCGACAGGGGAGCCAUUGACGCGGAGGUCAGUAGGAGGCGAGGAGCUCGGCUUGAGACUGCCGGAGAGGAUCUCGAGCAGCAUGGACUUGCCAUCUCCGCUGGGCCCGACGAUGUCGAGCAGCUCGCCGGCCGGGCGUGGCAGAUGACGUUGCGGAGCACGAGGCGGCACUGGCUGCUGCCGCUCAUUGGCGGAGGGGCAUGUGGAGCAGGGCCGCCGGCGGCAUCGAGUAGAAAAUGUGAACGUCGGCUAUUUGGCAUGGUCGUCACUUCAGCUCCUCGAAGCAGCCCUGCUCCUCGUCCUGGUCCGCGUCCGCCUUGCUGCACCCCCAUAUCGUCGUGCUCCUGCUCGGCUGCUCCUACGCGCUGUACCGCUCUUGUACGCCGCCGCGCUCCGCAUUGGCAUGCUCGUCCCCGCAGGUUGCAGCGUUGCGUCGCCCCGCUGGCGCACCUGCGCACAGCUGGUCUUCCCUGGCCGCAACGGCAGCUCUAUAACAGUCCAACCUGACAAGUAGGCCACACCCCGGUCAAAACCGCCGUUGACUGUGCCACAUCAGCAUCAAAUGGAGGCCAACCAGCCGGGGGGUGUUUUGUCCGGUUUGAUUUUGUUUGGGGUCUAGAAGGAGCAAAAAAGUAGAUCAAGGGGUAAAGUGAACCACCCACUUUGUUCAGGGGAGUAAAAUGGACUUUUCCCCAAAAAAUAAUACUAGCCUUCCCGCACCUACCACCAAAAAAGGAGCUCUUCACACUUCACAUACAUAUCCUCACUUUGCCCACAAGGUUCCCCAUAGUUUCCGGACACCAGGUGUGCACGUGGUCCGUCAGCUGUCAACAAUCACAAAGUGAGAAAACACUAUAAAGGAACUGCCUUCUCAUAUUUCUUAGACGCUCCAACUCUUUGAGACUUUGGGGAUUAUAGGAUCUCUUUGAGACUUUGGGGAUUAUAGGAUCAAGGCCCGAUCUAUGAUUUGACCAAACUGAUUUGUGUUCCCCGCAAGAUUUCUUCACCAACAACUUGUUACUCUUGGAGCUUGGGCUCCUAGGAGGUUAGGGUUCCUCUGGAAGCUUGCUUGCUUAUGGUGUGCUCUGGAGACGUAUGUAAAAUUAUGGUGAUCACCUUCAAGACCAUCCCUGAGUGAUUUGAGGCUUAUCCGUUGGGGUGACUCGAGCAUAACACAAUGAGCCACUUGGUGGCUUUCCAGACCUUGGCGCCGCCACCGCUCCAACGAAGAGAUUAGCACUUCCCCAAGGAAGUGUGGCCUUCAAGAUAAAAUCUGCAUCUCCGGCUUACUUGUGAUCAAUCAUUUCCAGCAUUUUACUUUGCUUUGUAUGCUUGUGGGCUUGUUAAUUAGAUGGUUGCCUAGUUUACAUCGUGUUGACACACGAACACGUCACGUGUACCCUCGACGCCGGGGGUGAUGCAUCGCAGCUCACGUUGAAGGAGACCCGACCGACAGCGCGAUACGCAAGACAGUCGGCGGGCGCUUUUGCAGACCCGAAACCCCACACCCCGGGAGGGACCCCGUCAGAGAGUGCGGCGGCUAUGGGCUGCCCUAGGUCGAUUCGCUCGCCCCUAGAGCUUUGGGAUUCGCAGCUCUCAAAUUCGAGGAACAACGAAGAACGAGAGAGAAAAACGGUGGAGAGAUAAAACGUAGAUGAAAAAGGAGUAUAUUGAUUUGUUCGAUUGUGUGUUGUUCAAUCGGCCAUCACCCCCAAUAUAUAUAAGAGGCGGCUGGACUUCCCGUACAAGUAAAGGAUUCAUCUAGGCUUUCCUUACAAGAAAUUACAUCAAUUCACGUCCUAGAGUCCUAGUUCUAUUCCAACUCGGAUUCAGUCUGAAUCUGGCCCAACUUCUGUCUUUCUCCUUGUGCGGGCCGCCGAGCUUGCAUAUGAUCUCCGAUCAAGACGGCCCAAAUAUCAAACUUGUGCGCCUCGACGAUACGAACAACCCUCAUGUUGAUCACCUUUUCAAAUAAGGUCAUCUUGAAUACUUUUCGAGGUCAUCUUUACCUUCCAGUCGGACUCGGUCUUGCAGUAGACUGGAUUAUCCGAGUCUCGUAAUGAAUUUGCAGGCCAUAUACUAUCUCUGAUGAUGAUGACUCCAAAACCAAAGUUUACCGUAUUAAUGAUACGCACAACUUCUGUAUUGAACACUUCUUCAUCCGAAGUCAUCUUGAUAAACUUUCGGGCACAUGUUCAGUUUCACUCGGAUUCGAGCUCAUCCACUCGGAUAUUAGAGACUUUCGCUCGGAUCGUCCGACUGGACUUUUUCACUCGGAAGACAAUCUUUCACUCGGAUGACUAUAUUUCCACUCGGAAGGCAAUAUCUUACUCGAUCGGCAAGUUUUUGUUCCGAUGGCAAUCUUUUCACUCGGAAUAUUUUCACCUGGAGGACAAUUUCACUCGGAUGACCAUAUUUCCACUCGGAUGACUAUAUUUCCACUUGGAAGACAAUAUCUUACUCGAUCGACAAGUUUUCGUUCCGAUGGUAAUCUUUUCACUCGGAAUAUUUUCACCUGGAGGAAAAUUUUACUCGGAUGACUAUAUUUGACUUGGAUAAUAAUAAGUUCAUCCGGUCAGCAAACUUUCACUCGACCGGUAAAUUUUCACUCGGAUGGUAAACAUUUUCACUCGGAUUUCCGACUGAAAACACAGCCUGAUCUUGUCUUGUCUCUCCAAGCCUCAUACGACCUCGGAUUGAGACGAACUAUAUAUGAAAAUCGAUCGGCUCGACGAGGCGAAACUUUUCUGUGUUGAAGGUUUUUCGAUUCAAGGCCGUCUUGAGGACCGAAUUGCUCACGCAUUGCAUCAACAUGUGUCUGGUGUCAAGCGUAAUAUUUUGGUCUCUGUCCUGUCCAAACCGUAUUGACUGUAACUUUUGCAUAUGAACUCGGAUUAAGAUGAUUUAUAUAUGAAAAUCAAUUGCCUCGACGAGACGAAGACAAUUCCUUUAGAAUGCUCCUUCAUCUGAGGUCAUAAUGAGGGCGUAAUCGGCCGAAAAGCACUCAGAACACUAAAUUUUGUCACUCGGAGUACAGCUUCGGCCACUGAGAUGAGGUCGAAUGGCGAUAGCCUAAACAUCAAAGUUGUUCCACUCGACGAUGUGAAACUUUCUCAUGCUGAAAACCCUUUCACUCUGUAUCUUGCCAAAAUCAGGUGUCAACACAUGCCCCCCUGUUUUUCGGCAAAGCUUGCACACCGAAAAAUAAUAUGCAUAGUGUUCGUUCUAAGGACGAUGUCAACACUCCAUCGUCCAUUUAUUUUUCUCAGGGCGAUAAUUAUGUAUCGGCCAUGUUUGUGCUAAGGGCGAUAAUCGUAUAUUGGCCAUUGCCUACUUAGGCUUCCUGCCACACACUCGGGUGGUACUUCUUCAAAUAUUUGCCAUUGAGAGCUCGAGGUAACAAUGCCCCUUGUAUUGAUUCCACCAAAUAUGAAUUUCCGGGAACAACUCUUGUAAUCCUAAAAGGACCUUCCCAACUUGGAGACCACUUCCCGAAUUUUCUAUCUCUUGAACCAAUCGGCAGAAUCACUUUCCAGACGAGAUCACCAACUUGAAAAUUCUUCAACUUAACUUUCUUAUUGUAAGCUCUUGCAACCCUCAACUCGUCUCUCUCUAUGGACUUCAAAGCAACCAAACGUUUAUCGGCAACCUCAUCAAUAUUGUCCAUCAUCAAGUUAUAAAAGUCUAUUGCUGAUAAAUCAUUUUGUUUGGCUAUUCUCAAAGCAUUCAAAUUUACUUCCACUGGUAAAACGGCCUCUUGACCAUAUACUAGCUCAUAUGGGCUCACCUUCGUAGCACCAUACCUUGAAAUUCUAUGUGCCCACAAAGCUUCAGAUAACAACUCAUGCCAUCUCCUUGGAUUAUCUUCAAUCUUCUUCUUGAUGAGUUUGAUUAAAAUUUUAUUGCUAGACUCAGCUUGUCCAUUAGCUUGGGCAUAAUAUGGAGAGGAAUUGAGCAACUUUAUGUUAUAAGAUUCGACAAACUCUCUGACUUGGUGUGACAUGAAAGAUGAACCUUGAUCUGUUGUUAACGUUUGAGGAAUACCGAAUCUAUGAAUAAUGUGCUCAGUUAUGAAUUGAAUUACCUCUGUAUGUGUCAUGUUCAUGAGAGGUACUGCUUCAGACCAUUUAGUGAAAUAAUCAGUUGCCACCAAUACGAACCGAUGCCCCUUUGAGGAAGAUGGAUGAAUUUGCCCAAUAAAGUCUAAACCCCAUCCUCUGAAGGGCCACAGCUUGAUAAUAGGAUGCAACAUAGCAGCAGGAGCCAAUUGAAUAUCACCAAAUUUUUGACAAGCUUCGCGCCCUUUAUAAUAUCUGAACCAGUCAUUAAUCAUAGUCGGCCAAUAAAACCUAGCACGUCGCAAUAACCAUUUCAUCUUGGGAGCCGACUGGUGAGUGCCACAAAUGCCUUCAUGUACCUCUCCCAUAGCAACUCUUGCCUGGUCCUCAUCCAAACACUUUAGAAGAACAUCAUCGACUGUUCGGCGAUAAAGACGAUCAUCUCUCAUUGUAUACUUGAAAGACAUACGCCGAACAGCCCUGUCCACCCUUUCACUCGGAUUGCACAAGUAAUCAACAAUGGGCUUCCUCCAGUCGGGAUUGUCACCUGCACUAGAUUUUUUGUUAAUGACUGAAGCAGUGGGUUCUGGUUCGGCCUCUUCUAUACUGGUAAGACAAGACAUCGGACUUUGAGAAAUAUGAAACAUGCCAUGAUCAACAUGGUAUCUAGAUGCUUGCUGUGCCAACUCAUUUUCUUUCCAGUUGUCAUGUCUAGAUAUAUGUGCAAUGCUAAAACAAUCCAAAGUAGAGAUUAUAUCUAGACAUUUAUCAAGAUAAACAUUAAGUGAUUCGUCCAAACACUGAAAGACUUUGGAUAUUUGCUGCACCACUAGUAACGAAUCACCAUAAGCCUCAAUAUGUGUAACACCUAUACCAAGUAACAUCUCUAGGCCGAAUAACAAUGCUUCAUAUUCGGCUUGAUUGUUUGUGCAAAAAUAUUCUAAGCGGCAUGAGGCUUAAAAAACAGCACCAUGACGAGAUAUAUAAACAAUACCAACACCUUGGCCAUUGCUACAAACUGAACCAUCAAAGUAUAAUCUCCAUGGUACUAAUGAAACAAGGUUCAUAUCAACAUCAUGCUUGUCAUUAAUCUGAUGUUCAACAAUGAAAUUAGCAACAAUUUGGCCUUUCAUGGAUUUUAGAGAUUCAUAAGCCAAAUCAUAUUCAAUCAAAGCAUAAGCCCACUUGCCAAUUCUACCACUAAGAAUUGGCCUAUGCAACAUGUAUUUAAUGACAUCGGUUUGACAAGCUACUACAUAAGCACUCGGCACUAAAUAAUGUCUCAGUUUUGUGCAAGCAUAAUAUAAGCAUAGACAUAAUUUCUCAAUAAAUGUAUACCUUGUCUCUGCGUCCAAUAAGCGGCGGCUCAAAUAAGUGAUGGCAUGCUCUUUUCCUUCGGUCUCUUGAGUUAGAACAGCACCAAUAACUCCUUCCUCUGCUGCAAUGUAAAGUCUGAAGGGUUCCCUAUGCUUGGGUGCUUUCAUCACCGGAGGAGUGCACAAAUAAUUCUUGAUCAUAUCAAAUGCUUCUUGCUGUUUUGCCCCCCAAGUGAAAUCAGCAUCAUUCUUUAACCGAAGGAUAGGAGUAAAUGCAUCAACUUUCCCUGAUAGAUUAGCUAUGAACCUUGUCAAAUAAUUGACCUUGCCAAGGAACUUUUGCAUAUCUCUCUUGCAUGUUGGAGCCUCCACUUUAUUUAUGGCCUCUAUCUUUUUGGGAUCAAUCUCUAUGCGAUCUUUAUGAAUAAUGAAACCCAAAAACUUGCCAGCUGAUACGCCGAAUGCACACUUUAAAGGAUUCAUCUUCAGUCCAUACUUUUUCAUUCUUUCGAAGGCUAAACGUAUAUCGGCCAAGUGAGAUUCAAAAGCAUCCGAUUUGACAACAAUAUCAUCAAUAUAAACUUCAAGUAUGACACCGAGUAAAUCAUGAAAAAUUAAAUUCAUAGCCCUUUGAUACGUGGCUCCAGCAUUUUUUAAUCCGAAUGUCAUCACUGUCCACUCGAAUAAACCAAGGAAACCAGGACAUCGGAAGCCGUUUUGUACAUGUCCUCUUCGGCCAUAAAAUUUGAUUGUAUCCGACAUUACCAUCUAGAAAGCUAAUAACCUUAUGUCCAGAAGCAUCAUUAAUAAGCAUAUCGGCUAUUGGCAUAGGAUACUCAUCUUUGGGUGUAGCCCUAUUCAAAUCUCUGAAAUCAAUGCACACCCUCAACUUGCCGAAUCCUUUCUUCUCCACUGGGACAAUGUUAGAAAUCCACUCGGCAUACCUGCAAGGUCGAAUGAAAUUAGCUUCAAGCAGUCGACCGAUCUCUUCCUUGAUCCGGUCAUAUGUUUUCGGAUUAAAUUUUCUGGCCGACUGUUUAUAAGGUCUAAAACCGGCCUUUAUAGGCAACCGAUGCUCCACUAGCUCUCGACUUAACCCUGGCAUCUCAUGAUAUUCCCAUGCAAAGCAACAAACAUAUUCUUUCAAUAGCUCGAUUAACUUAGCCUUACAAUCGGCUUUCAAAUUUUUGUUUAUAAAUGUUGGUCGAGUGACUGAACCAUCUCCAAUAUCUACCUCUUCUAACGGAUCGGCUGAUGUAAAACCUUGUCCAAGUUUAUCCAUGUCAUCCAACUCCUCUAUAGACUCAUACACAUCAUUCUCACUGGACCGAUACUUUACAAGACGUUUUUGUAACCACUCGGAAUUAGGAUCCAUUUAAACAUAUCAUACCUUGGAGCCGAUUGCAUUCAGUCGGCUUUAAAGAGACGGGCACAAAACCAUUCUUGGUCGCGCUGAGAAAAUCAAAUUCUGAUAAGUCACUGUUGGGAAUCAUAGCAUAAUUUUAAAAUUUUUCUACGCUCACCAAGAUCCAUCUAUGGCGUAUACUAGCAACGAAGGGAAAGGAGUGCAUCUACAUACCCUUGUAGAUCGCGAGCGGAAGCGUUCCAAUGAACGUGGAUGACGGAGUCGUACUCGUCGUGAAACAAAUCACCGAUGACCGAGUGCCGAACGGACGGCACCUCCGCGUUCAACACACGUACGGUACAGCGACGUCUCCUCCUUCUUGAUCCAGCAAGGGGAAGGAGAGGUUGAUGGAGAUCCAGCAGCACGACGGCGUGGUGGUGGAUGUAGCGGGUCUCGGCAGGGCUUCGCCGAGCUUCUGCGAGAGGGAGAGGUGUAGCAGGGGAGGAGGGAGGCGCCCAAGGCUGUAAUACUACUGCCCUCCCUCCCCCCUUUAUAUAGGCCCCCUGGGAGGGGGGGGCGCCGGCCAGGAUCCCAUCUGGAUGGGGGGCGGCGGCCAGGGGGGGUAACUUACCCCCCAAGUCAAGUGGGGCGCCCCCCCACCCUAGGGUUUCCAACCCUAGGCGCAGGGGGGAGGCCCAUGGGGGCGCCCCAGCCCACUAUGGGCUGGUUCCCUUCCCACUUCAGCCCAUGGGGCCCUCCGGGACAGGUGGCCCCACCCGGUGGACCCCCGGGACCCUUCCGGUGGUCCCGGUACAAUACCGAUAACCCCGGAAACUUUCCCGGUGGCCGAAACUGGACUUCCUAUAUAUAAUUCUUCACCUCCGGACCAUUCCGGAACUCCUCGUGACGUCCGGGAUCUCAUCCGGGACUCCGAACAACUUUCGGGUUUCCGCAUACUCAUAUCUCUACAACCCUAGCGUCACCGAACCUUAAGUGUGUAGACCCUACGGGUUCGGGGGACAUGCAGACAUGACCGAGACGCCUCUCCGGUCAAUAACCAACAGCGGGAUCUGGAUACCCAUGUUGGCUCCCACAUGUUCCACGAUGAUCUCAUCAGAUGAACCACGAUGUCGAGGAUUCAAUCAAUCCCGUAUACAAUUCCCUUUGUCAAUCGGUAUGUUACUUGCCCGAGAUUCGAUCGUUGGUAUCCCAAUACCUUGUUGAAUCUCGUUACCGGCAAGUCUCUUUACUCGUACCGCAAUGCAUGAUCCCGUGACUAACGCCUUAGUCACAUUGAGCUCAUUAUGAUGAUGCAUUACCGAGUGGGCCCAGAGAUACCUCUCCGUCACACGGAGUGACAAAUCCCAGUCUCGAUCCGUGCCAACCCAACAGACACUUUCGGAGAUACCCGUAGUGCACCUUUAUAGUCACCCAGUUACGUUUUGACGUUUGGCACACCCAAAGCACUCCUACGGUAUCCGGGAGUUGCACGAUCUCAUGGUCUAAGGAAAAGAUACUUGACAUUGGAAAAGCUCUAGCAAACGAAACUACACGAUCUUUUAUGCUAUGCUUAGGAUUGGGUCUUGUCCAUCACAUCAUUCUCCUAAUGAUGUGAUCCCGUUAUCAACAACAUCCAAUGUCCAUAGUCAGGAAACCAUGACUAUCUGUUGAUCAACGAGCUAGUCAACUAGAGGCUUACUAGGGACACGUUGUGGUCUAUGUAUUCACACAUGUAUUACGAUUUACGGAUAACACAAUUAUAGCAUGAACAAUAGACAAUUAUCAUGAACAAAGAAAUAUAAUAAUAACCAUUUAUUAUUGCCUCUAGGGCAUAUUUCCAACAGUCUCCCACUUGCACUAGAGUCAAUAAUCUAGUUACAUUGUGAUGAAUCGAACACCCAUUGCGUCCUGGUGUUGAUCAUGUUUUGCUCUAGGGAGAGGUUUAGUCAACGGAUGUGCUACAUUCAGGUCCGUAUGUACUUUACAAAUAUCUAUGUCUCCAUUUUGAACACUUUCACGAAUGGAGUUGAAGCGACGCUUGAUAUGCCUGGUCUUCCUGUGAAACCUGGGCUCCUUCGCAAGGGCAAUAGCUCCAGUGUUGUCACAGAAUAGAGUCAUCGGGCCCGACGCAUUGGGAAUCACCCCUAGGUCGAUAAUGAAAUCCUUCAUCCAGACUGCUUCCUGUGCUGCCUCCGAGGCCGCCAUGUACUCCUCUUCACAUGUAGAUCCCGCCACGAUGCUUUGCUUGCAACUGCACCAGCUUACUGCUCCUCCAUUCAAAAUAUACACGUAUCCGGUUUGUGACUUCGAGUCAUCCAGAUCUGUGUCGAAGCUAGCGUCGACGUAACCCUUUACGACGAGCUCUUCGUCACCUCCAUAAACGAUAAACAUAUCCUUAGUCCUCUUCAGGUACUUCAGGAUAUUCUUGACCGCUGUCCAGUGUUCCAUGCCAGGAUUACUUUGGUACCUUCCUACCAAACUUACGGCAAGGUUUACAUCAGGUCUGGUACACAGCAUGGCAUACAUAAUAGACCCUAUGGCCGAGGCAUAGGGGAUGACACUCAUCUUUUCUCUAUCUUCUGCCGUGGUCGGGCAUUGAGCUGUGCUAAAUUGCACACCUUGCAAUACAGGCAAGAACCCCUUCUUGGA